UAUUAGCAUAAUACACACGAAGGGCCAUUGAUAUUGAUGUUCAUACAUCCGAAUCAAUUUUCGAGUCUACGUCAUGAUUCCUACGUCACGAAUUCUCCAAAUUAUGAUGUAUAUCUAUUCUUUCCCCUUUUGGUAAACAUAUCUCACUCUUAUUUAAGGCAAACCUCAUAGAGGCAAUCACAAAACAUGAAGAAAAUUGAUUUUGUUCCUAAUCCUCACUUUCUAAAAAGAAUUUUCGUUGAAGCUAUAUAUAUAUAUAUAUAUAUAUAUAUUGAAUCUUUUGAAAAAAAUUGCUUCCUGAGCAUAUGAUUUCUUGCUGGGUUUCUUCAAUUGCUCUUCUUGUUCAGUUGUUAAAACUUUCCAGUUUCCUCUCUGUAGUACAAAGAAUAUUUGCUCAUUGAAGUGCCACCUUCGUAGUGUUAAUUUCGGUGAUGGAGUCCGCUGCUCAAGUGAGGGAUAUCGAUGCUUUGUAUGAGCUAAUUCGACAUGAUCAAUAUUUUUUGGACAACUUCGACGAGAAACCUUUUGUCGAUACUCCUUUGCAUGCUGCUGCAAGGGAUGGAAAUGUUGAAUGGUCCAUGGAGAUUAUCAGACUAAAGCCAUCAUUUGCCAGGAAGCUAAACCAAGAUGGCUUCUCUCCGGUGCAUUUAGCUUUGCAAAAUGAUCAAACUCAGUUAGUGCUUCAGCUGAUAGAUAUUGAUCCGGACCUUGUUCGUGUCCAAGGAAGAGAAGGCAUCACUCCUUUGCAUUUCGUGUCUGAAAAAGGAGACAUCCAUCUGUUGAGGGAAUUUUUGUCUGCUUGUCCGAAAUCUCUUGAAGAUGUGACCAAUAAAGGCGAGACGGCUCUUCAUAUUGCUUUGAAAAACGAUAAGGUCGAAUCUUUUCAUCAAGCCUUAACAACAGUACGACCACCGUGGCUUGGCCCUGAAGAAGCUCAACAAUACAAUCAAAGAAUCCUCAACUUGAAGGAUAGGGAUGACAACACUUUGUUACACAUAGCAACAUCCAAAAGUCAAGUCCAGGCAAGCUCGAAUCCACACACACAUAUAUAGAAAUUUUUCAAUGAGGUGCAGGCACUUCAUUUUUUUUAAUGCAGACAUGCUAUUAAAUUAUGUGAUUUAAUAAAGUCAAUUUUUAAUUCAUUAUAAAGCCGUGUAUUUUAAUAGCAUGCCUGCAUAUAAGUUAGUAGAGUGUUCGUAUGAGAAAAAAAAAGAGAGUAUUCACAUUAGAGAAUGACUAUAUUUAUAUAUAUAAUAUCUAAUUAAUGACCUUAUCUUCAUUUUAACAAAGUAAAGAUAUCAUUAAUAAAUUUAAAAAAAAAGUAGUUUAACAAAGUAAGGAUAUCACUAAAAAAAAAAGCAGUUUUCAAUAUAUUAAAAUAUGUGUUUUUUUUUUUAAUUUUAUUUGCAUUCUUAUUUUAUUAAAAUUUCUCAUUAGGGAAGCACUAUAUGUAUCUGGUCACAAAUAAAUUUCAGUUGAAUGAUGUCUAAAUUGAUGAAUUUGUUUAUCCAAAGCAGAUUGUCAGGUGUUUAUUGAAUUGCAAAGUUGAUACAAAUGCCCGGAAUUCGGAAGGUUUGACACCUUUAGAUAUUUCAUCACUUGAUCAAACUAAAUCAGAAAACCAAGAGAUUGCGGCAAUGCUGCGGGAAGCUGGAGCACUAGAGGCAACUUCACUUCCUAUUACCGACAAGGAUAGACAUUUAUCGAGGUAACAGGAACACUGCUCUUUUACUAAAUUACAGUCCAUUUAUCGAUUAUCUAUUUAAAAACAAUAUGGCAUUUUCAUAUUAUGUACAUCUCAAAAAUUGUUUAAUGUCCUUCAGAAGUAACGAUCAGAGGCUGAACGAGGCUGCUAAAACAGGAAAUGUUGAUGCCUUGUAUGAAUUAAUAUGGGAGGACGCAUAUCUUUUAGAUCAGAUAGACCAAGUACCAUUCGUGGAUACUCCUUUACAUAUAGCAGCAUCAAUGGGGCAUGUCAACUUUGCCCUGGAGAUAAUGAGGUUAAAGCCAUCAUUUGCGAGAAAGCAAAACCAAUAUGGAUUUAGUCCUCUGCAUCUUGCUUUGCAGAAGCAAAACCAAUAUGUACUUGAUCACGAGCAUCUUAAGGAAAAGAAACAGACCCAAAUGGUGCGUCGGCUCAUAGAUGUGGACAGAAAUCUUGUUCGUGUCCAAGGAAGGGAGGGUGUAACGCCUCUACACUAUGUUGCUGAGAAAGGAAAUGUCGAUCUUCUAUGCAAACUUCUAGAGGCUUGCCCUGAGUCCAUCACAGAGGUGACAAUCCGUAAAGAGACUGCUUUGCAUGUUGCUGCAAAAAAUGACCAGUUGGAGGCCGUUGAGUGCAUGCUAGGAUGGCUUCGAUAUGUCGACAUGGAGGAUAUCCUUAACUGGACGGACGAUGAAGGCAACACUUUAUUGCAUAUCACAAUCUCCAAAAGUCAAAUAAAGGCACGAAAUUUUUUUAAAUUUUACUUCAGUUAGUCCCUAUAUUUUCAUGAUUAUUAAUUGCAUGCAUAUAUAAAUAUAUACUUGCAGUUGGUGAGGCUACUAGUUAAAAGAGCACGUGAUCAAAUAAAUGCCCGGAACUUAGAGAAUAAGACACCCAUGGACAUGGUAGAAGAACAUUUGAGAGGGAAACCUGAAUUUAAAGAAGUAACACGCAUGGUGCGCAAAGCUGGCGGUAGACAAGGGUCCUCCCUUCCUGAUGGGGAUAUUGCAGGUUACUUAAAACAAGGUUUGACAUGGCGUCGAAAGGUGCUUUUGUUCUUUUACCGCUCAUCACAGCGCAUUACGGAUGAAAAUCGAAGCGCACUACUUGUGGUUGCUGUAUUAAUCGCGACAGCCACAUUCCAAGCAGCGCUUACCCCGGCUGACGAUCUUCAGGGAAAUAAGCCAACUGGAACCGGCAACUCUGUUGCCAGUUUUGGAUCACAAUCAGCAUCGACAUCGACAUCGGCAUCAGCAUGGGCAUAUGUAACACCAUCAGGAAUAGCAAAUGCAACCGCCUUUUCUCGGAGCAAUGGAACCAGCAGCAGCAUCCCAAGAAGUGACAAGAUUCUAUUCGCUGCGGGGCAAUUAUAUGGCGAUGCCAUCAGUGAUAUGAUCUCCACACUUUACGCAUUUUCAAAUAUCACAGCAUUUUGUAUAUCUAUGCUGGUGAUUAAUUAUCACCUCCCGUAUGGCUCCGCAGCUACUCUGGUAUAUCCUCUAGUUAUUUGCUUUUGCCUGUUAGUGGUUGGCAGAACCCCGUUGUCGCUACUUGCCUCAUUCUUAAUGCUUAUCGUCUUUCGGAUUUUUUUAUUUGUACAACUGGACUUCUCCAAGAUUCGAUUUAGACGAAGCUUCUGGAUUACACAAGUUUUGGGCUCCGUUUUUAAACAUUACGGAAGCUUCCGCAAUAAGAUGAUGAAAGAAGCUGAAAAAUAGCUAUAAUGCCAAUAAGCUGCCAUGGGCAAAACACAUGUCCGUUGGUUUGUUGAUGUUCUCUGCUGGCUUGGCUAUAUCUACUUAGUGUGACACUUCCUCUCAAGUAAUAUUGCUGGUUUUUUUUUUUGUGUAAGAAGGCGUGCUUUUCUGUAUUGUAUUUUCUGAAUUAUGUUCGUUUGCUUUUGCUCCAUUUUGUAAGGUCUUGCAUGUUUCAAUGUAAAAUUGCUCUUGUUGUAUCUGAUAGUUGUAUUGUUCACCUUUGUGACUGUGAAUAUAAUGAUGUUAAUUUAGUUAAAACUAUAUGCUUGUUUGGCUGAUAAGAAAAUGAAGGAAAAUUUAUUGACUUAGAGAGGAAAAACAGAAAUUGAAUUCAUUAUGAUUGAUACAGUGAAAUGAGAUUACAAUACACUAUAUAUAUAUAUAUAUAGUAGCAUCUGGAACUUUCCAAGCGUAACAGAAUCACAUACACAGUCUCUGAUAUUCACCAUAACAUUUUGGUGGGAAAUAACAAACUAAUAACAAACUUUUAACAGCUUGCAUAACAAUCUUCCAGUAGCUUCCAGCAUCUUGUCCAGCGUGGCAUCUGAUUCAUUACUCUACUUAACAAUUUGCUGACAUCAAUUAGCUGAGUCAACAUAUUCUUAACAAAUUUGUAUGAACAUAUGAAAUAGCAAUAUCAUUGGGCUUUUGAUGCUCCCACAGACUACUUAAAAUUGUACCUAUAAAAGUCUGUUAGAAGAAAAGCUGAUUCAAAAUACUUACGGCAAUAUAUAAGUAUGCCUCCGGUAAUAGGGUGAAAGCCUACACAUGAAGAAAAACAAACAACAAACAGCAAACGCACAAACAUAGCAACAAAAGAAGACAAGACAAUGUCUGAUGAGAUUAAAAAGCUGACAAUUGAUGAACCCUUCAACACCCCUCCAAAAGGCUCAGCUGGGUCAUAAUAAAUGUCAACAUCCUCUGCCCUAAGUGACUCAUCAACCCUAAGUGACUCAUCAACCUAUGUAUCGGGUUUUUCAUUCAUCAGCAAAGAGUUUCAGCACUUGAUCUGAAAAAUAAAGACUGCUUUUGACACUCUAGAAAUUCAAUUUCAUUUUUCCAUGUUAUUGAUGAUCAAACUCAGAUUAGCAACUGAAAAUAUAAUAUAACAAUUUGACAUCAAAAGUAAGUCCACUGAAAAUCUUUGGAAAUAUAUUAAUUAAAAUUAUGUUGAUGAAAUUUUUUAAAAUUUUAUGGUUUUGGUUUACGAAUAGUGUUGGCGAAGGGCUUUAUUGUACAAGUACAGGUGCUGCUUCCUCUUCAUCUAUAUUAUUUUAUUGUUAAUUUAUUUUAGUACUUUGUUUCCUCAUUUGUUGAAAUCCACUGGGUGCUUUAAAGUUACCUGAUUGACACUAAAAUUAUCAUUUUUUUCCUUCAUCCUGUUCUCAAAUUCAGUCACGUUCCUUCGUCAUUUGUUCACGAAAUCCAAGUGCGGGCAACCAAAUGAGAAAGCCUGUAUUUUGACAAGCUCAAUCAAAAUUCUUCGGUUCCUUACGUGUUGAUUUCGACCUCUAUAAAUUAAAUUUAUUUAGCUUGAAGAGAGAAUUUGAUAAAAAUUUAAAUAAAGAAAUUGGGCAAUGAGAAUAUAUUUAUAAUUUUAUUAACAAUAUAUGGACAAAUUGGACAAUUAACAACUAUUUUUUUAUGUGCUAGAAGGGUAUAACGGUAAUUAUAUAUUAAAAUUAUAAUUUCUGUUAAAAGUAACGGUUUCCGUUGAUGAAUGAGGGUGUGAAUGUCUUUUUUGAAAUAUUGGAAGGACUUUUAUCCAUCUGUCUAAACGUUGUGAGUGUGUUAGUCUUUUUCCCUAUUUACAAGUACAAUUGUAAAUUUAUUUUCCCAUUCUUCUUCCCUUCUCUUCAAAAUUCAGCCCGAUUUUCUCCAUUUAAUCAUUCGCAUCUACAACAUUGCAAAUCUAGAAUUAGAAUUAAAAAUUCUUCUGAUUUUCCAAUACCAAUAAGUCAAUAAAUCAACUAUUAUAGUCAAAACCAAACCCUAAAACAAAAUAAUCAUUUUUUUUCCUUCAUCCUGUUCUCAAAAGGGGUUAUCUUUGUUGCUAGGCAUGUGGUGUUUUACGAAUCAAAAUUUCCUUUCUCUACUGAUCCUCAAUUCUCUAAGCAAUCUUCUACCUCUGUUUCCGAGUAUAGACAUCCUAUGUUUAAAACUUCUUUUGUGUUAGUUCUACUACAUGAUCCUUCAGGCUCAAGUGACAACAUUGUACAACAGCUUCAGCUCCAUGCAGUUCCAGCUUCCUCUUCUUCCUCUAGUUCUUCAUCAUCAUCACCUUUACCUCCAAAUCCAUAUUUCCCUGAUCCUUAUCACAAUAUGUCCCAUAAUUCCCAACACUCUUCUUCUUCUACAUCUAUUGUGCCUAUUCCACAGCCUUAUGUCCCUGCUCAUGUACCACUGCCAACUCAUCCAAUGGUUACAAGAGCAAAAGCAGGAAUAUUUAAGCCAAAGUUUCUUGCAUAUUCUUCUGUUCUUGAAGAACAUGAACCUGCUACAAUUUCUCAAGCUCUCUCCAAUCCUAAAUGGAAAGCAGCAAUGCAGGCUGAGUAUGAUGCACUCAUGAAAAAUGAAACUUGGGUUCUUGUUCCAGCCUCUCAAGCUACUAAAGUUGUUGGUUGUAAAUGGGUGUUUCGCAUUAAGUAUAAUGCAGAUGGCUCUAUCUCUGAGUACAAAGCUCGUUUGGUUGCAAAUGGGUUUCAUCAAACCCCUGGUAUUGAUUACUUUGAGACUUUUAGUCCAGUGGUUAAGCAAUCUACUAUGAGAAUUGUACUUAGUCUUGCUGUUAUGAAGAACUGGAAAAUAAGGCAGAUAGACAUCAACAAUGCUUUCCUUAAUGGGCAACUCAAUGAAGAUGUUUACAUGUUUCAACCUGAGGGAUUUGUCUAGCCUUCAUCUGGUCAUGUUUGUAAAUUGCUUAAGGCUCUUUAUGGUUUAAAACAGGCUCCUAGAGCCUGGUUUGAUCGGUUAAGGAAAGCAUUGUUGAAGUGGGGGUUUCAGAACUCAAGAACAGAUUCAUCUUUAUUCUUUAAACAUGAACUUGGAGGUAUUGUAGUUGUGUUGGUAUAUGUGGAUGAAAUUCUUAUUACUGUAGANNNNNNNNNNNNNNNNNNNNNNNNNNNNNNNNNNNNNNNNNNNNNNNNNNNNNNNNNNNNNNNNNNNNNNNNNNNNNNNNNNNNNNNNNNNNNNNNNNNNGUAUUACUGUUGAUCACAAUAUAAGUUGCUACGAGCUAAAUGUAAUUCAUAUAAUCAUAUCAAUAAAAUUUCUCUGAUUUAGUUACUUUCUUCUCUUCCGUCACUUUCUGCUAGCCAAACAAACUAUCAACUAAGAUCCGUGAGUUCUAACUUUUACAAAUGUAAUAAUUACCAUGAAUUUGCAAAAACUUGCAGCAAAUAUUUGUGUCCCAAUAGGUUGACAAUUGCAACACAUAUCGAAAAACUGUAAUAGUACCCUUGAUUAUAAUUACUUGACCAUAGUCAGUGGCGAACUAUGUAUACGCCUGGCAGCCGAGGUGUCAGGAAUUUAAUUUAAUAGGGGUGCCUAAGUUCAAACACUAACAUAAUUAAAAAAAUGGUCAAUAAAUAACAAAUAUUAAAAUAUUUAGGGCUAGUUUGGCAAUCUUAUAACUUUUAAAAUAAUUGUUGUUACUUGCGCUAUAAAAAUAAUAAGUUGUGAAUGGAAUUAGUUAAACGUUUGACAAAAUUUCUUCUUAAAAGUGCUUUUGUAAAUCUCAUUGUUGAACUAUUAUAAGAGUUUAAAUGAUUAAAAUGGACAUAAUAUUAAAUAAAAUAUAUUAUAUAGAUAUAAAUACAUACAUAUAAUAUUUUUUAUUAUGUAUAUUAGUAACUGAUAACUAAAAUAAUUAUCUUUGUUUUAUUAAUUAUUUUUUAUCUCAAUAUAAUUAGUAAUAAUAAUAAUCUCUAGAUUUAAUAAUUUUAUUUCCUAAUUGAAUAAGGAUAAUUUUAGAUUUUUAUAAUAUAUGUAAGGAUAUAUAUGGAAUUUUAUUAAUUAGAAAACUUAUCCUGAAAAUUAGAUUUUGAAAGCCUACUUCUUUUUUGCUUUCCAAAAUAUACUGUAUAUAAGAUAGAGUGAUUUUACCGAAAGUGAUUAAAAAAAAAUCUACCAAACAGUAAAAUUAAAGUUUAGCUUUUAAAAUCACUUUUAAGUCUCUCAAAAGCAAUCCCAAAUAGGCCAUUAAUUCAAUACAAUUAUAAUUGUUCUCAUGUAUUUUCAUAUGUUAAAAAUAUUGAAGAAUAACCUCAUUAUCAUUACUACAAACAUAUUUUUUUCUACGUAUACAAUAAAACUAUCAUUCAACAAUUGGUUUCCCAUAUGAUUUUGUGGAAGAUUUUUCAGAAAAUUCAUAGCUGAAAAUACCCUUUCUAAUUUAGUUGUGUUGCCUGAUAAAAUCAUUGCUAAUGUUACCAACAUAUAAAUUAAUGAAUACAACUAUCCAUUAUCUCAACCAUUUUUCUUGCUAACUCACCAGUCUCUUUUAAUCUUAAAAAUGUUGUCAAAACCCACAUUCAUAAUAUAAUCAUCAAGUUGAAUUUCAAGUGCCAUAAUGCAACAAUCUUUCUUUAUGGGUUCAAAGUGUUAAAAAGAAUAUUUAAUAUUUUACUUGUUUUUAAAUUUUAACAAGGGCAUUAUGGUAAAUCAAAUAAAAUAGGACAAAUAUUAAAAAAAUUAAAAAAUUGAAAAAGGGUUUCAGCCCCUGCUAAAAUGGCACCGCAUCUAAAGCCUAGGGUGCCUUGAGGCAACAUACCAAUAAUAAUAAUAAAGAAAGAAAUCAAGAAAAAAGAGACAUAAUAAUAAGUAGUAACAUUAGCAAUGUUAAUUGUAUUUUAUGUUUUGACCCCUAUAAUUUUACAAGUUGAUUUUAUGUCACCGCCUACUCAAAUUUAUGGUUUUGGUCAUUGUGUUUGGCCCUCUCAAUUUUAGUGAUUCUAUACUGUAUGAAAUGUAAGUUAUGCAACCCAAGAGGGGGGUGAAUUGAGAUUUUAAAACUUACGCUAAACAAUUCGCACAACAAUUUAAUGUAUUGCCUUAAUCAAAUGUAAAAACAAUAAAUUCAAUAAAACACAAUGCUAAAAGAGUAAGUACAAUAAUAAAAGAGUAAGAGAAAAGAAAGCAAACACAACAAUUUUUACGUGGUUCGGCAAUCCUCGCUUACGUCCACGCCUCCAAGCCAACCAAACUCGAGAAUUUCACUAUCAAAGCCUCCCAAAUCUUGAAGUUCUUACAAUUAAUUUCCAAUGUGUCAAUGAACCUUUACAAUCAAGAGAUUAUCUCUCCAAUCUAUUCACCUCAAUUAUUUCUCACACUUGUACACUUACAAUUUGAUGAGAAAUGAACAAUUACAACAAAAACUCUCUUUAAGAGUGGAUUUGUAAAUAAUAGCAUAAUAAUAAUUCAAUAAAUGAUGAUUUACGAAAUGGAACCUCAAUAUGUGUUAUAUGAUCUUAUUUAUGCUUGCAUUAGUCUUGAAAAUGAAGAUGGAGUUAAGGUUUUAUAGCUAAAGCCCGAAAACUAACCGUUAUAGGCAAAUUCCAGCGCUCAAGCGGUUAGCCGCUUGAUUUAUCCAGCUAGCCGCUCCAGAACAAUGAUGUUACCAUUAAAUUUGAAUUUUCCUAUAGUAUCAUUGUUCAUUAAAUUACAUUUGUGACCAAAACUUUCUAUAAUUAUAUUAUAGCCCAACAUGUCAUAAAACUUUGCAAAUAAGUCUAAUUUCAGAAUUUCUAAAUAAUACCUGUCAUUCCUAAAUCUUAUUGUAAUUAUGAUAUGACCUAGUAUAUAAUAACAUUGUUCAAAAAGGUCCUUUUCAAAAUUUAAAAUAAUACCCAUAAAUUUUAAAGUUCUCAAAUCUUUUUAAUUUAGUCCAAAAUUUGAAAAUAUGAGACUUUCCUCAAGCGGUUAGCCGCUCACUCUCUGUCCAAUUUUUUAUUUCAAUUGUUUGGAUUACGUUUUGGUCCUCAAACUUUCUUAAAUUGUAAUAUGACCUAAAAUAUUUCAAAUAUUUGCAAAUAAAUCUAAAUUCGAAAUUCAAAACAAUACUUAAUAAAAUAAAAGAUUGCAAAACUUUUUCAUUUUAGUCCAAAUUACUCAAAUCCACAAAAUACUUUAUCUUAUAAAUAUAAAACCUUUUAGUUUAUGAAAGGUAAUUANNNNNNNNNNNNNNNNNNNNNNNNNNNNNNNNNNNNNNNNNNNNNNNNNNNNNNNNNNNNNNNNNNNNNNNNNNNNNNNNNNNNNNNNNNNNNNNNNNNNNNNNNNNNNNNNNNNNNNNNNNNNNNNNNNNNNNNNNNNNNNNNNNNNNNNNNNNNNNNNNNNNNNNNNNNNNNNNNNNNNNNNNNNNNNNNNNNNNNNNNNNNNNNNNNNNNNNNNNNNNNNNNNNNNNNNNNNNNNNNNNNNNNNNNNNNNNNNNNNNNNNNNNNNNNNNNNNNNNNNNNNNNNNNNNNNNNNNNNNNNNNNNNNNNNNNNNNNNNNNNNNNNNNNNNNNNNNNNNNNNNNNNNNNNNNNNNNNNNNNNNNNNNNNNNNNNNNNNNNNNNNNNNNNNNNNNNNNNNNNNNNNNNNNNNNNNNNNNNNNNNNNNNNNNNNNNNNNNNNNNNNNNNNNNNNNNNNNNNNNNNNNNNNNNNNNNNNNNNNNNNNNNNNNNNNNNNNNNNNNNNNNNNNNNNNNNNNNNNNNNNNNNNNNNNNNNNNNNNNNNNNNNNNNNNNNNNNNNNNNNNNNNNNNNNNNNNNNNNNNNNNNNNNNNNNNNNNNNNNNNNNNNNNNNNNNNNNNNNNNNNNNNNNNNNNNNNNNNNNNNNNNNNNNNNNNNNNNNNNNNNNNNNNNNNNNNNNNNNNNNNNNNNNNNNNNNNNNNNNNNNNNNNNNNNNNNNNNNNNNNNNNNNNNNNNNNNNNNNNNNNNNNNNNNNNNNNNNNNNNNNNNNNNNNNNNNNNNNNNNNNNNNNNNNNNNNNNNNNNNNNNNNNNNNNNNNNNNNNNNNNNNNNNNNNNNNNNNNNNNNNNNNNNNNNNNNNNNNNNNNNNNNNNNNNNNNNNNNNNNNNNNNNNNNNNNNNNNNNNNNNNNNNNNNNNNNNNNNNNNNNNNNNNNNNNNNNNNNNNNNNNNNNNNNNNNNNNNNNNNNNNNNNNNNNNNNNNNNNNNNNNNNNNNNNNNNNNNNNNNNNNNNNNNNNAAUAUAAAACCUUUUAGUUUAUGAAAGGUAAUUAUUUAAAUAAACUCUUGAGUUUCUCAAAUGCUAAAUCAUGUAUCAAUUAAAUCAUACCGACUUUACAAGAAUUUGUCACAAUAAUUUGUUCGUUGAGCUCUAAACUUUAUUCUUGAUUUUGCCGUUGUCCGUUGAGUGUCUUGAACUUGAUUCACUUGCAUAAAUAUUAUCCUUAAAAAACUAGUAAAAAUGUGAAAUACAAUAUUUAUUAAAUCACUUAAGACAUGUUUGUUAUCAUCAAAAUUACAUUAUGGGUAGCCCUUUAGGCUAACACUGUAGCCUACUCAAGUAUAUAGUUUCUUCAUUAGGCCCCAAAACCAAAAUCCUAAAAGUAUCUCCAAAAAGUUCUAUUAAUUUUACUCUUCAAAUAUUUAUUUGCUUACCUAUGUGGUAAAAAGGAGAGUGAAAAAAUAUGUUAUUCUCCAAAAGACUCUUUAAAUAGAAAUAAGUUAAUAUUAUUUUAAUCAAAUAAAUAUUUUUUCAAAGGAAAAAUAAAUGGUAAUUAAAGCAUUUCUCUCUCUCUUUCUACCCAAUAAAAAGUAAUAAAAUAUAAAUUGAAGAGAGAGAAAGUAACUCUACAAAUUAAAGAGAGAGAAUUAUUUCUUAUUUGAAAAAUCUUAAUUAGAGUAUCUUUUGAAGUCUUAAAUACUGAUGUAACUCUUCAAAUAAGUAAUAAAAUCUUAUUUGAAGAUUUUUUUGGAGAUGCUCUAACUUCACCACUAGAUUUACUUGAGUAUUCAACAAUACUCGACUUACUCGAGCGUAGGUGAUUUAGUUAUACUUAAUUGACUACUAAAACAAUUUAUUCGACUUACUCGACGAUACUUUACUUAGCUCACUCCAUGUACUAAUAUUUUACUAUUUUUCUAAGUGGUACAUUUAAUUACAAAAAUCCAUGAAAAUUUGAUAAUGAUGAAAUGCUUAAUAAAUAAGGGUAUUUGGUCGAAUUAUAACAAUGUUUGUUAAACACUGGUCUAAUAAUAAGUAGUCAUUUUCUGAUGAAAUAAAAUUAAAGCUGACAAAAUUUAACAUUACUGGUUUACUCUAUACAAAUACAACAUGAAUAAAUAUGUAUCUAUCAUGAAAAUUGACAUGAUUAUUAAAUGAAUUUGGUCUAAGUCAACCCAAUUGUUUCCCGUGUCAGGCUAGAAUUCAAUUUUUCAAUGCAUUUACUUGGUCAAUGACGUGAUUGUUAAAUAGUUAACCAAAACUAAUUCAUAUUUGCAUUAAAAUAUACUUAUAUUUUCAAUUCUAAAUUAAUUUAUAGAAUCUUAUCAUUAAAACUCAAAAUUUGGUCAUGAUUCUAGAUGAACAUAUAUUUGAUGUUCUAUUUUGUAAAAUUCUUGAUAGAUUUAAAACUUCAAUGGUUCAUACAUGUUGUAUUUGCAUCAAAUGAGUGUGUAGUAUUUGAUGUAAAUCGUGUUAGAAUUUAAAUAGGUAUUCAGUGAAUUUUUAGGUUAUAUCAUGUUAGAUGACACAACUACCUAGUUAUUAAAAGAGCGUAUCAAGUCACUAUUUUAUUUUUCGUAUCGAGUUCAAAUUUUAAUAUUUUAACAUUUUAUUUUUCGUAUCAAGUUCAAGUUUUAAUAUUUUAACACGAUUAUUAAAUAAGUCGUGUUUUAACCAACAUAAAUUUAAAACAACACAAAAUUGACACAAUAUGACUGGCUUAAUGACCUAUUUUGUUAGUUUUAUUUAAAACCAUCUAAUCUAUUAAAAAAAAAAAAAAAGGGUCCAUGGGCCUAGCCCAAAUAUAAAUUCAACAAAACCAGCUCCCGCUCAAUCACACUCUCUCGGUCGUUCCCUUCACUCUCCAAAACCCCCCAUUCCAAACAAAACCCUCAUUUUUCCCUCUUAACGAAGUCACUUUCUCGAGAACCAAACAUUCCCUUAGAUCUCCAAUUUCAUAAUGAGAGAAGAAGAAAUAGAGAAACUUCGAGGAUUGGUUCGCGACUGUGUGAGUAAGCAUUUGUACUCGUCGGCCAUUUUCUUCGCCGAUAAAAUCGCCGCUUUGACCAAUGACCCUACUGGCCUGUACAUGCAGGCUCAGGCUCUGUUCCUUGGCCGCCACUACCGCCGUCCAUUUCACCUCCUUAACGCCUCAAAAAUUGUGCUCCGUGACCUCCGAUUUCGUUACUUGGCUGGUAAGUGUCAGGUAAAGUUCUGUUUUUUGAUUGCAUUAGAAAAUUUGAAUUUCAGAUUUUGGGAUUUGUGCUUUUUGCGUUUUUAGUUUUUUUUUUUAUGUUAUGAAAAAGGGAAAUUUUGAAAAUUUUAACUUGAAAUUCGUGUUCUUUUUAUUUUAGAACAAAAGAAUUUCAAUGAAAAAUAUUUGGAAAUUGAAUUGCUCUAGCAAAUUUGCAUGUGUUGUGUGUUUUAAGAAAAUGAAAACUAGAUUUUGAGCAAUUAAGGAGAGAUUAUGGACUUUGAGCUGAAUGGUUUUGAUCAAGUUUUUCUUGAAUGUUUAUUUGUUUAUACAACUGGGUAGUUUUUCUUUUACUUAUUUAUUUCUGGUCUGUCCUUUGUAUAAUUAGGAGGAACUGAAGGAGUGGGACUAGUGUUUGUCGAUGCUCGGUGAUGCUAAGGUUGAUGAAGAUGGUAAUGUUUAUGACACAAAGGAUAUCAAUGUCAUGUACUUAGAUAAAGAUGGGGAAGACGGAGAAAUCAAUGUAAGUUUUUGUUUGUAAUCUCAUUUUAUCUGGCCUUUUAUUUUUUAAUUUGUUGCACAUUUGUUGUAUACUUGACCCAAUAUUUCUUUUUUCUAUUACAGAUCUCUUCAGCUAUAUGCUUUUUGAGAGGCAAAGCAUAUGAAGCCUUGGGAAAUUGUGCCCAAGCUCGGCUGUGGUUAGUUUCUUGCGAUGAAUUUACAUGAAAAUCACUCUGCUUAAUUGUAAAAUGCUUUAUGGUUAUUUUCCCUUAGUUUUUCAGUCAAAAUGAUACCAACUUAUACUGUCUAACGGUCUUCUGUUAUAGUAACUUAGGUGUAGUAAUUUAACGUACUGUUAAAGAAAGGAAAUGACUUUAUUGUUUUAAUGGGAGAAUUUUGAACAUUGUUAUAAACUUGUUUAAGUUGGGCAUAAGUAAAUUUAUCUUCAAUUUCAUUACUGAGCAGAUUUUGUUUGAAUGCAUGAAUGUUUGAUAUAUGUGUUUAAUAACCAAGGAGUUUGUUUAGAUACUACUUUAAGAAUUAUCUAUAUAUAGAUUGGGUAGUCUAGAAAACUCUCCUUGAUUAAAUCAAUGUAUAAUUUUGAUAAGACAGUUUAAAAUGUUAACAUCCCAUGUCUUCUGGAGUCCAUUUGGUGACAGAGGAAUGGUAGUAUAUGCUGGGAUGGUUUAGUUCAAUAAGGCUAUUAGUUCUGUUCUGCUUUUUCAAAGAGGUUGAUUGCCAAAUUAACAGCCACAUGAAGGAGAUUGUCUUUUUUUUUUUUUUUGUAUCCUGAAUUGUUUUUGCUUCCAACCACAAUUCUGGUCUUCUAUUGGUUCACACUUCCUACUUGUAUCUCGAUGAUUUUAGCUGCAAUACCUCAUUACUAAAUUCAGCUCUAACAACAGAGGAACUUAUUUGCUUCCUCUUUAUCUUGUUCCAUUACUAACUUUCAUGUGCAGCAUUUUUAGAAGGUUAAAACUAAUAGUACAGAAAGGUGGUUUUAAAUCAAAUGUAACAAGAUUCAAUUGACAGAUCAGCUAUGCUUCACUCCAUGUGGUUACCUACACACCUGGAUAUUUGUUUUAGAGUUUUAUGCUGUCUGAAUUAGUGGCCUCAUUUUGUUAUCUGAUUGAAAGCUUGCAUGUAUUUCAGUAAGUUAGGUUCUUCCCUCAACUCUUUUUCUUUAGUAACUAUUAUGGUAUUGUUUUAUAACCUUAAUUAGCUUCUCUUUGGUUUUUCAUUUGUCAUUAUAUCUGCUCUAUUCUGUUCAAUUCCUUUUUCUCUAUUCUCUCAGUUAUGUUGAACUAAAACGCUAUAGUUCAUACAAAGGCUUACUAUAUUUUUUCAUAAUGAUUUAAGGUACAAAGCAGCAAUCAUAGCUGAUCCUUUGUGCUGUGAGGUAUGCAUGACACGCUAUCAAUGUUUUUUUUUUCCUUUCCCCCUAGGGAUAAGCUGGUGGGGGGAGCGUCCCGUUCUCAAAAACUCCUUACCUUGAAUUUUGUGGCUGCAUAAAUUUCAGACAUGACUUUCUAUGCAAAAUAUUACAACCUGUGGAAACUGUUGCCUUCUCAAGGAUUAGAAAAUUACUCAAAAGAGGGCUAGAUUUUUUGAGCUAGGCUUGUCCCUUUUUUUUUUUUGUAAAUAGAAUUUUAAUCCUUUUCUUUAAUUUGACCUCUGCUGAUCACAUAGAUGUCUCAUUUGGAUGUUCCUUAUAAGAUAUAUCGAUUCUCAUUCUUUAUGAUUUUUUUUAUGGCUGUACCUUGAUUUCUUUUUCAGGCUUUGGAAUGCCUUAUAGAAAAUCACAUGCUAACAUGCGAGCAAGGUAAUGAUGUAGUUUUUUCCUAGUCAUCUGUUUCUUUCAUCUGAGAGAAGUGGAUUAUGAAAAUGUUUACAUUUUGAAUUAUAGUUCUUACAUAAGUGUGCACGCGCACACACACACACACACACAUAAAUGAAAUUAUAGUCACACACAAACAUGUUGAUAUAAAUUUAAUUUUGGUAAAAAUUUCUUUGGCUGUGUUCAACUAGCAUUGGAUUUUUCAUGGAACAUGUUAUAAUAGGCUAAUACUUUAAAUUAUUGGAUUUGCUGUUGAAUUUCAGAAACAAGUUUACUUUCAUCAUUGGAAUUUGGUUUUGAAGAUGGAUGGCUUUGUUCAUUCUACUCAUGUUUGAUAAAAAAGGUGAACUGUGUGCAAAUUUAUAUGCUCUUCCAAAUGUAACCAUUUCAAUAAUAAGUUUCCCAUAUGUUUUCGUGAUGUUGAUUCUUUUUGCUGUGUUUGAGUGCAGUGAACAAUUUCUUUCCUUCUUUCCUGUCUCCCUUUGUUUUAUGCAGUAUGACAAAGAGAAUGUUGUAGAAGCCAAAUUCAGAGAAAUUGAAAAAGAAAGAUGUGACAGUGUCCAUUCGAGCCCAUCCUUCUCACACAGUCUGAAAAACAAUACUGAUCUUUUAGAGGGCUUAUUAUUCUGUCAACCAGCGAUACUAGAUUUCAGAAAUCUUCUCUUCACACAGUGUUCUUGGCUCUGUAAUUGUCAAAAAGUUGAAAAGCCUUUUUUCUGUCUGAUGCAUUAUAUAUAUGCAGUUUAAUAUUUGUGGACUUCAAUAAUAUUGAUUACCUUGAUUAUAAUAUUUUCAAUUGUAUGGUUUUUGGGUUUCUUCUUGGUAGGGAAGAUUUUUGUCUUUAUCUUUUUUUGGCUUGAUUCUUCUUUAUUAUUAUUAUUGUUACUAUUUCCCUUUCACAAGGAAAAAAUUGGAACUUGCUCCACCUCGCAAAAGUUUUAGAGCGCAUUUAAUUCUCGAAUUGGAGAAUUGGAAUGGAGAAUGGGAAUGAUUGAUUGUGGUUACUUGCUAAAAACAUGAAGAAAUGAGGAUUGAUUUUGCGUGGAGCCCACAAGUUUGGAAAUGAGGUACUGGAAUCCCAUUGCCAUAAAAGAGGUGGGAAUGAAAAUGGGAAAAUUAACACUUUUAUUCUUAAAGAAAAUUAAAUAUUUUUUUUACCUUAUAUAAAUAAAUAAUUAAUAAUAAUAGUAGUAGUAGUAAUAGUUAUAAUAAUAAUAAUAAAAAUUUAAUGAUAACAUUAGUAGUAGUAAUAAUAAUAAUAAUAAUAAUAAUAAAUAUUUCUUUUUUACCUUAUGUAACUAAAUAACUAAUAAUAAUAGUAAUAGUAGUAAUAAUAAUAAUAACAAAAUUUAAUGAUAACAAUAGUAGUAGUAUUAAUAAUAAUAAUAAUAAUAAUAAUAAUAAUAAUAAUAAUGAAAAUUAUAGUAUUACGCUCAAUAUUAUAAUAAACAUGUAUAUAUUUAUUUAUUUUGUUAGUGAAAUAUAUAUAAUUUUAACUAAGGGCAUCAUGAUAACUUUCAAUAAUCUAUUCUGACUACGAAAUAAAAUAAAUGCAUAAAUGAAAUUCAGCUCAUUCGAUAGUAAACAAUUUAUUAUGGUUCUCAUUUCUUAUUCUGGUUCCAAAUUCUAUCCCAUUUCAACUCCUGCUCAUUUUGAUUCAUGGGAAGUAAACGCACUGUUAAUUUGUCGCUGUUGUUAAAUAUAUCCUUUGUGGAUUUCAUAUGAGGUUUGAAAUGUUAUUUAGUGAAAUUUAAUUUCUUGUUGGCUCUAUUCACCACAGCAAGGCUACAAAUCUUGAUGGGACAUUCGCCCCCGCUUGGAUAGGUUAUGGAAAUGCUUUUGCUGCUCAAGAAGAGGGUGACCAAGCAAUGUUGGGUUAUCGCACUGCUGCUUGUUUGUUUCCAGGGUAAUUUUUAGCAUUAUUUAUUCAUUUUUGUACCUUCCUGAUUUUCUUUUCCUUGGAUCAGCAUAUUCAUGCAAUGAGGACAAGGACAAAGCCACUAACUUGCUUUUGAGCAAGUUUCAGAACACUUUUAGAAUUUCAUUUUUGGCUUUUUUUUUACUUUCUUGGUCUCUGAAAGAUAUCUUAAGGGUAGGGUUUGGUUGAUUUUGCUCAUCUUGAUAUUAUUCAAUUCUUGUUCAAUUAGAAGAACAGUGUGCUUUGGGUGUAUAAUCAUGUGGGUAAAAAUUUUUUUUGGUCCCUCAAGUUUCUAUUAGGUUUCAUGUAAUCCAUGAAAUUUCUGUUGCUUCAGCUUAAUCUGUUUCAAGUGCGCUACCACUAAAAAAAUUGGGUUUCAUGGGUUAUCAACCAAGAUUUUUUUUUCUCCUUUGAUUUAAUAUUAAUAAACUGUUUUACCAAUAUAAACUUUUGAUGAAUGCUUCGCAUUUGAUUUCCAUAUUUCUUCCUGAGAAAUGUUGUAAGUUGAUUAAACAUAGUCUUAAAUCAACCCAAGGCAUUGUUGUAAUGUCUUUCUAUUGUGAUAAUAAACCACACUGUCAUAGUAGUUUUAUGGUCGUAAAGAUCAAUGAAUUUCAUUGUUUAUUGUUUAGUGAUGGUAUGCAUUGUGUUGUGGGAGUACUCUUAUCACUAUGAAUUGUCUUUUUACAGGUUGAAUCUUGAUGUUCUCUUAUUCCAGGUGCCAUUUACCAACUUUGUAUAUUGGAAUGGAGUACAUGCGAACUCACAGCUUUAAGCUUGCCGAACAGGUGUAUUACCUUCUUCUAAAUAUAGGCUGCCUUUCAUUUUUCUCUUUAGAUUUCAAUGAGAACUCCUAAGAGGUUGUUUGUUUGCAAUAUGAAGUCUGAUUGUUGGAUAUUCAGAUGUUGGUCUAUACGAUUUGCUAGUUGAUGUUGUCUUGGGGGUUUCAUUUUCCUCUUUGGAUUUAAUGUGAAUACGACUUCUUUCCUCUUUGUUUAAUUGUGACAACUUCUAACAGAUGCUAAUCACAAUCUUUAUUCAUGAUUCUGAGACCUGUGUAAUUAGAAUUUUGGUCAUAUCGUCCAUUUUCCUUUGUUGUCAAAAUAAUGUCUUCUUUAUCCAAAUCUCUUAGUCAUAAUUCUUUGAAUAUAUUGUUGAAUUUCUGAUUAGCUGCCCUUUCUCCAGUUUUUCAUGCAGGCAAAGACCAUAUGCCCAUCAGAUCCACUUGUAUAUAAUGAACUUGGUGUUGUUGCUUACCACAUGAAGGAUGUUUGGUUCACUUGAGUUGCUGUUUUCUGUUGAUCCGUUUACCUUAUUAGUGUUUCAUUUUUAAUAAUAUUAUUACUUAAGUAUAUGAAAUUCUAGUUGAUUUAAACUUAGGUCUUGUUUGGUGUUGAGGUGUUAUAGCUUUUAAGCUACAGGUGUUGUGGAAAAAAGCUGCAACUAUUAAAUAAAAGUUAAUAGCUUGUAGUAAAUAUAAUUUUUAAAUAAUAAUUUUGACAAAAUUAGUAAAGAUAUAAUAAAGUUUUCAUCAUACAAGUGUAAAAUCAAAUCAAGUUAACUUUCAAGCUACAACAGCUGGUGUUUACCAAAUACUUUAGUGCUUUAGUUUUUAAGCUAUAGUUGUCCAAUUCAAUCCCAAACGGUGCCCUUCAGGAAUUGUGCUCUUUUUAUUGUUAUAUGUUAUGGCUUUUGUAUGAGUUCCCAAUCACCAGUUUGACCAGCAAUUAUUUGAAAUGUGUGGUGGUUUGAAAAGACCUUAGCGCACAUUCCGUCCUCUUUAAGUGAAAUGUGGGAACCAACCGUGGUGAAUCUUGCACAUGCUUACAGAAAGUUAAAGUAUGUUUAAAUUUAUUGGAAUAGGCUGUGUCACUUGCAUUUUCUUGUUCUAUUGCCUACUCAAGAUAUUUAUCCUUUAUUUUAUUGUGUUUUUGUUGAAUUUUACAUGAAAUAUCAUUCAGAUAUCUAGAUUUGUUUUUUUUUUUUUGGCUAAAUUUUCAAGUAGAGGAUCAUCUUUAUCUUGAUAAAUGCAUUUUAUUUUAGGGAUUCCAGCAUAGGGUAAUAAUGUAAGAUUUUUCAGUUUGCAUCGUCUGAGAUUGUGAGCAGCAUGAAGAUAUAAGAAAGAAGUAUAACCUUCCUUAUACCGUCAUGGCUGCUUAUGAUCAGCUUUGCCCAAUAAGCUUGAGAGACUACUAGGAGCCGUAGAAGUUGUCUGUAGCACUUCCUAAAAGGACUUGAUGCAAAUAGUUUAAAUAAGGAUAUGCCGGAUUAUGGAUUGGUCUACUCUCUACUGGCUACUUCAUAUGCUACCCGUUUAUAUAUUUUUCUCUUUAUGGAAGAGUACUUUUUUUUUCAUGUUUUUGUUUUUUUCCUUCUUAGUAGGCGGUGGAUUUAGGUUUAUUUCUAGUAUUGCUAAUCUAUAAACAUACAUUUGACUUAUUGUUUAUUGAACCUGAUUCUAGAAUCUAUCAUGUUUCAGGAUAUAUCAUGAGGCAAUAUCCAGUUACGAGCGAGCGCUGACGUUGUCGAAUAGAAGUUUGAGCACAAUAGAAGUUUGAGCACCUAUGCAGGUCUUGCUUACACUUACCAUUUGCAGGUAUGGUGGAUUUAUUAUUAAUUCAUUUUUCAAUGAAAACUUGUGUGCCUAUGAAUAUUCUGCUGAUGUGAGGAGUAGUUAGCAAAUUGAUCUAAGUAGUAUUUGUUAGCAAAUACUAGUUUAUUGGAUGCAUCUAAUAUUUGCAGCUUAGGGUUUAAAAAACUAUUGUCAGAUCUUCACCGUUGCGUUAAAAAAACUGCUAGAGUCUAUGGUGGCGAAUUUGUUUCUUUUGGGUCUCUUGUGCAGGAUAACUUCUCUGCGGCCAUUACAUAUUAUCACAAGGUAAACUCAAAAGUGCUCUUGCUGUUUCCUUUAUGUGCAAUAAGCUUACUGUCUAUCGUAGUCAUCCACUGUUGAAGAGACAACUCUAAUCUCGCUACAUUAUAUGGAUCAUUGAUUUGCUUUUUCAUUCUAAUCUGCAAAUCAGGCAUUGUGGCCGAAGCCAGAUGAUCAGUUUUGUACCGAAAUGUUAAGUUUGGCUCUUGUUGAUGAAGAUCGCCAUGGCAUUGACCCCAAAAUCGAAUUUGAGUGUAAUUUGUUAUUCAUACCUAUAACAGUUUAAUUAUUUUGGUAUUGGUGAAGGGCUUUUAUUGUAUAAGCUCAGGGGCGUCAUCUUCAUCUAUAUUCUACCUUUUACAUUAUUAAUUUAUUUCCUCAUUUGUUGAAAUCUACUUGGCUUAGAAGUGAUUUAAAUUGCUUUCUUUCAUGGAACCAUUUUCUUCACAGUUUUUAUUAUUUACCACCAAACAGUUAAGUCUAGGGAAAUUUACAAAAAGAGCCAAAAAAAUUAAGCAUUUUUCAACUUUAACCCCCCCCCCCCCAAAUUUUUUCUAUCAACAUUAGUCAAAUCACCAAAUUGUGGACGAAAUUACCCUCAGCAUUCUCACGUUUCCCUCAAGCAAAUUCCUCCCCCUCUCACCAAAAUCUCAUCACCGGAAUCCUGUAUACAUCGUCGGCGGCAUAGAUCGGCAGUGGAGGAAGUUGUCGGCGGCUGAAACAAGCUAAAUCACGUUGAAAAUCUUCGGAGAUCUCCAAAAUCAAAGACAAAAAUUGGAAACCUUAGGUGAGUUGUUAUUGUCGUUGUUGUUGUUGUUGUUGUUGUUGUUGUUGAUGUUGUUGUUGUUGUUGUUGUUGUUUGGGCUGUUGUUGUUCUUGUUGUUGUUUGGGUUGUUGUUGUUGUUGUUAUUUGGGUUGUUGUUGUUGUUGUUGGUGUUUAAUGGCGGUGGUGGGUGAGAUGCAUGUGGGAAAGGGAAGGGAAGAGAAAGGGAAGGGAAAGGGAAGUGAAGGGGAGCGCGAGGCCGCGGCUGUUGCACGCGAGAUGCUCAUCUCGCGCGCGCGAGGCCGCGCCUAACGCACGCGAGAUGCGCAUCCCCCUCACGCGAGGCCGCGCCUGUCGCAAGCGAGAUGCGCACGAUACGCUCAUCCCGCGUGCACGGAUGGGCAUGCCACGCACAUUCCGGAUGAGCGUGCUGCGCGCAUUCCAGAUGAGCGUGCCGCGCGCAUCUCGCGGGCGACAGGCGCAGCCUCGCCCACGAGAUGCGCAUGUCGCGCGCGAGACGCGUGCCAGCCUGCGCGCUUGGCGCAGCUCUUGGUGCCUGUCGCACCCCCGUCGCACCAAGAGACAGCUCGUUGUUUGGUGUUGCCUUUUUUUUUUUUUGCUUUUGUUCAUAAUUUAUUAACAUAUAAUACUUUUAACUUGUACUAGAUAAAUGGGCAAAUCAAAAAUAGCAUUGCAUAACCCACCCGGACCGACGAAAGAACGAGGAAUGAUGAAGAUACCUUAUGCUGAUCACUUUCCCGGGCGUAUCACGAGUAUGUGCAAAUUAGAUGUCGUUGUUAAUGUCAUCUGGGAAAAAUUAACAAAGCAACAGUUGCAACUAUUCAAAGACAAUAUAUUUGGGCAUUUCUUACAGUGCCGAAGCUAUCCGUUCAGUGGCGCAAUUGUGCACAAUAUAUUGCUUCGGCAAGUGUCCCAUGGCGCUGGAAAUGAAUAGAAUGAGUUAUGGUUUCAAGUUGGCGACCAUUUAAUAUGGCUAUCGAUUGGAGAGUGGUGCCUAGUAACGGGACUUUGCUAUGGCAAAAAUGUCGUCCUGACGAAGCAUAAAACAAUGCAUAGGUUACUUAAGAAGUACUUUGGAGGUAGGAAUCGAUAUAAAUCUUGGCCAAUUCGAGGAAAGAUUUAUGAACUUAGACUUUAAGACUAUGGAUGACACCGAUGCGCUAAAAAUCGUCAUGUUUUACUUUGCUGAUAGACCACUAAACGGAAGAAAAGAUCAUUGUCAAAUCAAUUUCAAGUUGCUUAAUAAGGUAGAUGACAUAAAUCACUUUCGAAGUUGUUCGUGGGGUCGUUUGUCAUAGGAAACAAUAUAUAAAAGCAUUAAUAAUGCAUUGAACGGCACAGCCAAUAAAUUUAAGAGGGCAAGCGCAGAAAAUCCCUUGCAUAGAAUUAAGAAAUACAAUUUUUACGACUUUACGUCUGCAGUGCAUGUGAGUGAAGAAUUUUUUUUUAUAACUUAGUUUUGUUAUAAUAAUUAUUUAAUGACACGUUUUUUUACUUCAUAUCUUUCCUUGUUGAAGGCAUGGAUUUUUGAAGCGAUUGGAGGACUACCAUCAUAGUGGGUGGUGAAAAUUAGGAGGAAGGGUCCUCAGAUCGUGCGAUGGAAGCCCAUGGCUUCUUCAAAUAUAAACUUCGGCGAAGUCUAUAUAUACCUCAACGAGCGUCUUGAAGUCAUUUAUAUGUAUGUAUGUAUAUAACCGUUAAAUAAUAGAUGGUUAUACUAAUUGAAAAUUUGGUAUUCUUUACGAUAGGAUGGCACCAUUUUCCAAACCCUCAAACCGGAUGCAAAUGAGAAAGCCACAAAUUAUUGGAAGACCGUCGAGGAUUACGUGCCAUAUUUGCCAAGUUAGGUCCGUAAUGUGGGUAUCCUUUAUAGUAUCAUUGAAAACUGGAUGCAAAGUCAUUUAUAUGUUUGUUUUUUUUUUGUAUUUACUAUUUUCUGUUUUACUUGGUGCAGCACCAGCCUUCAAUCAACGAGGUGGAUCAUGACACCACGAGCCAAAUAGGACUGCAGCAGAGUCAUGUUGAGGAUGACUGUGCUGCCGACGACCAUUAUGAAUCCGCACACGAUUCAGAUGAUAGAAAUGAGCCGGAGGUAACUUUUUUCAUCCUGAACAUUUUGUUUAAUCACAUAUACCUAAUUUCAGCACUUUGUCAUUACUUUCUUAUUUUGUAAUAAUAAGUAAGGACUAAGUUUCGCAAUGAUUAUUUCGUUCAACGACUGGACAAAAUAGAGUCUUCCAUUCACGAGUUGUGGUCGGAACUUCAGACUGGACACAGUUCCAUUAACGAACUGAGGUCAGAACUUCUGGCAGAACGCAGAGAAGCACAACAAUACAGAGAAGCAGUCAUGGGUUUAUGGCUUCGUUUGGCGCGGGUUCUUCAAAGGGCACGUACGUUGAUUCUCCGUUUGGCCCCUCGCACACAGUGAGCAAGUUUCAUAUGCUUUUGUUAUGUUAUUAUAAUUUCAAACCCGAAAUUAUUUUAAUAUGUUCAUCUCCUCGAAACAACAAGCCCCAGAUGGCUAUGGUCCAAACGUUGAUGCUAGCUACGGUACGCAUACUGAUGCUGGUAAUGACGACGAGCACACCCCUAUGUCGUUGUACAGUUUAUAUGGGGACAUAAGUGGCGACAGUGUACAGAUAUUCACGGAGGUACCUCCCGGUGUUUGUAAGUUUGGCCGUCCGUACUGACCGUCGUAUAUCAUUGGCAGUCCUUACUUCAUUCCUCCUUUCAAGAGAGUUAGGAAUGCCAGGCCUAUGAAAUUGAUGAAAUUGAUGAACAUUACAGACUAUGAAAUUGAUGAAAGAUCGAGUGUGGAUAUGAAUCCACUUAGGGGAUUAGAAGAUUCAAGGCUAUGUGAGAAGUUUGAUCAGUGGUUUGCCGGCAAAUUUUUCGUGGAUCAGCCCGUCCAACAGUCCCGAAAUUUCUUUGAAAUACUCAUGGGCAAUGCUUUGAUGGGGUGGCUUGGUGACGAGGUAAGUGUGUUUAAUGGUCAGUACAUUACAAUAUUGUUCAUAUUUCUGCUAGCAUGAAUUAUGUUCUAAAUUUACUUGGUUUAAUCCCUUCACAACAUAUUCACAUGUAUUACCGCUUGAUUAGCGAGAAGCAACGUCGGUUUUCAAAUGCACUACCGCAGCGUGUCACACAUACAGAUACAUACUUUUGGGCAUGUUUACGAACUCUAUAAUCAUUAACUAUAAUUUUGAUAUUUUAAAUAUCUCGAAAUGUUAUUAAUUUUCUACUCAUCGUAUAAUAGGUGUUCCUAAAGCAAUUAUGGAACAAUGGUAGUUGUGAUGUCCAUUCAUUACAAUAUGGCAGCAACUUGAACUGAUAUAUGGAUGGGCGGAAAGAUAUUAUGUCCAAACCGUUUACGGACGUUGAUAUGGUAAGAAUUGUCACUCAAUCUUAUGGUAAUUGUGUAUAAAAUAUACUAAUUUAGUAUUUUUUUAUGUAGAUAUUCAUCCUUGUGAAUUUGGGCGGCGAUCAUUGGGUACUAGCUCAAGUAGACCUUCGCGCGAAGAGGGUGCGGAUUUACGACUCGUUGGUUAUCUUUCGCGAUGACAAAACAUAUUUGCGUAAAUUCAAACCUCUUUAGGUCGUCUUCCCUCAAUGGCUACAAGAUGUUGGAUUCUACAACAUCUGACCUGAGCUGCAGAAUGCCAACCCUUGGAAAGUAAGAAUCGUUAAGGAUGUGCCCCAACAAGAACCUGGAAGUGGUGAUUACGGCGUAUUUAUGUUGAUGUUUACAAUGUAUUUGAUGUUCGGGCUAAAACUUGAUUUUGAUAGUAGCCACGGGCAUUACUUUAGGAAGAAAAUUGUUGUAGAUAUAUUCACUGGCGAUAUUGCCUUGUAAGUCAUUGUAUUGUGUUCAGACUUGAUAUAUGGAUGUAGAUUAUUUUUUUAAUAGAUAUAAACUUUUGAUAUAUUCAUAUAUUUAGCUAUAAGUAAUUUUGAUCUACUUUAAUACUCAUUAUGCAAAUGAACAUAAAAUAAUAUACCUCAUUACAUAUAAUUGUAAAAUAAAUUAUAAUAAGAGUUCAGAAUUUAUAAUUAGUUACAAUGAUACAGUCAGUUUGGAUUCGACACAAUGAGAUUUUUACAUCUCUUGCGGUUAUGACCUGGUUGGUUGCAUCGACCGCAUCUCACAGUUCUUCGGUUAACAUUCUCACCGAUAGAAGGAAUUCUUAACUCUGGACGACGACCAGGUGGUGGUGCUUCGAUCGGUGGGUUAACUCUGAUUUCCUGGAUUUCUUCUGGAAUGUCCCAAUCUGUCAUGUCACCAACCAACGCCACUGGUUUUGCAUAUGCCAUGACCAAUGAAUAUUUAAAGUAAUAAUCAGAGCAAAGACUUAUGUAAUCCACACGGACAGUCAGACAAGCAGCAAUUGCAUGCGCACAAACAAGCUGAUCGAGUUGGAAUACUCUACAGGAGCUAGUUCUUUCAUGAAUGUCAACUAUCCCUUCCUUCAUACCUUCACCCAAAACGUGAAAUCGAUGCUGAGACACAGGCCGAAUGGUCAUUCUUUCGGCCAAAAUUCUCCUUUCUCCGACUAUCUCAUCUGCCUACGUCCUUAGACGAGUGCUCAUCGAUUCAGCCACAAUUUUCCUAUCAUAAAGCCAUUGUUGUAAUAUUUUUCUAAAGUGAUCAAUAAGAUAAGUUACAGGAAAUUUCGGUGGUUCCCUAAUUAAAGAAUUCACGCUUUCCACAAUGUUGGUGGUAAGUAUAUUGUAUCUCCUACCUUUAAAUUCAAACCUUGCCCAAUUACACGUACCCACAUUAUUCUCUAAGUAAUCAGCCGUGCCUGAGUGGAGCAUCCACAACCCUUCAAGUUGUCUUUUAAAUUCUUCGUGUCCAUAUGCCUUUGCUGCAUUAAUAAAGGCUGGCUCGAAUUGAUCCCAAAUAGCUUUGGACAUCCUAAAUUUAGACUUAAUGUUGCCUUUGACAUGGUAAAAAAAAAAACUCCAUGAGCAGCAGUGUGAAAUGCUUUUAAAAUGGCUCUUUUGAUGGCAGUGCAUCGAUCAGAGAUAAAUACUAACUCUGUUCUAUCGCCAAUCACUCCGUGUAACUUCGUCAUAAACCAUUCCUAAGCAUCAUUAUUUUCUGAAUCCAUGACCCCAAUAGCUAACGGAUACAGUUGAUUAUUACCAUCCAGACAUGCUGCUAUAAACAUGCUUCCACGAUAUAGCCCCUUUAAAUGAGUGUCAUCUACAGCGAUCACAGGCCUAAUGUACUGCGUGAAGCCCUUGAUGGAAGAUCCAAGCGCAACAAAGUAAUAUAAGAAAUUAUCAUCUCCAUCCAGCUAAAGGUAUGUCACUGUGCCCUCAUUCGCUUUGGUCAAAACGUGAGAGUAUUUGGGAAAUAAGUUGUAUGACUUUGCAGGGUUCCCUCGUACUAUUUCAAGACCGACUUCUUUAGCCCGAUAUGCUUGCUGAUAUGUUAAUUGGACCCCGUAUUCUUACUGCAUGUCUGCUCUAAUGUCAUUCGGCGUGUAUAUCCGUUUAGCUUGAAUAAAUUUAUCUGCAAUAAGAUGGCCAACAACCCGACUCUUAACUUGACGGAGGCCACUAGGUAAAACCUUAUUAGAGCACGUAUGAACAUUGUCAACUCUUCUCACUAUCCAAGGAACAUUCUGCUCAUUCGAAUCUUUCGUUGCGCAAAGAUGCCAAUUACAUGAUUCCGAAGAACAAUUAGCCUUAAAGCGUGUCGUUAUGGACCGUGCAAUCUUGAAAUCAAACUUUUCCCGCAAUGACACUUUGUGCAAUUCCAGUAUUAACUCAUUCUACUCAGCGAAUAACUUUCCCACACCAAUGUCAGCAGAAUUACAGCUUCUAACUAAGUCUGGGGCAACCAAGUUUAAAGGCAAAACUGGAGCAAGACUCACCAGGGGAUUAACUGUUGUCCUCCUCCUCGAACGGGCCAUCAGAGGAAUAGGUCGGUUGUCUCUAUUGUUAAUAGGAAUAUCAUACUGAUGCUCAUCCUCAUCAUUGAUAGGAAUAUCGGAAUGACCAAUGCCUAUAUCAUCAACUUCAGUAUUGGAGUUCAUGCCUUGCACACUAUUGAACGGUUCCAAACAAGCAUUAUCAGCUUCUGUGUUUUUGGUGUCAUAACCAAGAUCAUCAUAACUGCGGAACUCAUUAUUGUGAAAUGGAGAGUAAUGUUGCCCUAACGAUGUCCCUAAUGGUAACACAUUUUCUUCAACAUCCGCUAACAUAAUGCCAUUAUCAUCAAUAGUGUCAUUGUUUUCGUUGACUGGUGAGUAACGUUGCUGGAACGACAUGUGUUGUGGUAACACAUCUUCCUCAAUAUCGGGGACAGACUCGUUUACUCUAAACGAAGUUUCACUUUCCACAAGUGGCUCAGGAUUUUCGGCCGGAACUCGAGGAUAUGUGGUGACAAAUAUAGGGAGGCAUCCAUAAUUGACCACAUCAGAGGCCAUGUGCAAUACAACAUUAACCAUUUCAUCAUUAAAUAUGUCCAUAGGUAGUGAACAUGCACGAUAUAUUGUGUUACUAGACCUCAAAGUUGUCUUCAUCAUCAAACUAUAUUCAUUAGGAUUUAUCUGUAAAACUUCAUACACCCUUGCCAGAAAUUGCUCAAACGUACAAUCUUUCCGAACUAAAAAUGUUGUAUUCUUCGCAUUCACGUACUCCGUACGGCCAUCUGCUAACAUCUCCCACCAACCGUCGUAACAUAAUUGAAGUACAACGGAAUCCAUUAAACCUAAAAAUUAUAAAAAAAAACAUAAGAGAUAAGAUUUCACGCUACAAAACCUAGUAAAGUGAAUAUGCAGUACAUUUAUGUGGAUGAAAUGAAGUAUACAAUUUUGGAUUUGCUUCGUCUCAUCGUAAGCUUCAAAACGAUAUAUUAUACGCCUAAAACGGACACAUCUAGCCCAAGUUAUUACUUUCGAAAAAUAGCUUAAAUUUAGUGAGACAGGCAGUGGGACAUGUGCCUGUCUCACAUAAAACCAGUGGGAACAAGUGAGACAGGCGCCUGUCUCACAUAAAACCAGUGGGUUUAUAUGUGCGACAGGCGCCUGUCCCACUUGCCCGUCACACAUAUUUUGGUGAGACAGGCAAGUGGGACAAGUGCCUAUCUCACAUAAAUCUGCUGGUUUUAUGUGAGACAGGCGUCUGUCUCACUUGUUCUGGGCUUUUGUUUUGCUCGAUUUUUUAGGAGUUUAAAUGAUUGAUCUUCAUUUCUCAACUCAAACUAACUACUUUAACAAGUCACAUUAUUUUGUUAAUGAAAAAUAACAACGUUUGCAAUAAAAAACGCACUUCAAUUUCGAACUCAAAUGAUAAAAUCAAUAGAUUAAAAGUUUAGGUUAUGGUAAGAGUAUAAACUAACCUUAAGAAGCUCUCCAAUUGAUAAUUAUAUCUUCAAUUAUGUAAUGCUUGUUUGAUGAAAUUUGUUAAUUUAUUGAGAGUGAUGGAGUUUGUUGAGUAAUGAAGUUUGUUAAGUUGAAAAGGGAAAAGUGGUGGAAGUGCUGGAAUUGAAAAGGGAAAAGUGGCAUGCUUUGUAAAUUUGAUGAAAGUGAUGAGGGUAAUGUAGUACAAAAAUAGGGUGUUUGGCUAGUUAUGAUAGAAAAAACUUUGAGGGGUUAAAGUUGAAAAACGCUUAAUUUUUUUGGUUAUUUUUGUAAAUUUCCCUUAAGUCCAUUAAGAAAUUAAUGAUGUCACAUGGAUAUUUCAAGAAUUUUAGUUUAUUAAGCUGGAAGUAUUAUAAUAUUUACAAUUUUAUCAAUUGAUCAAUUUGGAUAAAUAAAACAACCAAUUGAUAAAAGUAUUAUCUCUUUGUGUAUGUUAACUUUAUUUUUUUAUUGAUUUGGAAGAUUAAACUUAUUUUCACAAUUUAGGGGUAAACCAGACUUUUAGUAUAAAUUCUAUUAAAAUUUUGUUAUUUUAGCAAGUAAAAUGUAAUAGUUGGAAUAUUAAACUGUAAAAAUAUAAUUAUUAAAAAAAUUUACUAAUAAAGUGAUAUAUUAGACGAAGUUAGGCGAUAAAGAGAUAACAUCCCUCUUAGGAAUUAAUUAUAUUAGUUUACAACCUUGUAAUCCUUUGUUAAGCAGCAAAGUUAAAUAUCUUUUAUUGAGUAUUUUUGUUUCCUAUUUAACACAUGCAAUCUUUAUUAAAUGAAUAAAGAUUUUUUUUAAAUAAAUAAAUAAAAGAGGAGCAAAGCCGAAAUCAAAAGAGUUAAAUUUCGUCGAGCCUCGUGUACUCAGUUUAGAAUUCUAAAUUCACAAGUCUAAUUAGGUUUAUAUUAUUAUUAUGAUAUUAGUUAGAAAGGCAGCUAGUAAGCAAGUCGAAUAAGACAGCUAUUAUUAUUAUUAUUAAGUUUUUUUGGCCUCCUGCCUUUCCUCUUAUGUGAACUUUGGUGAACGACUAAAGAAAGCAUCAGCUAAGCUUCUGAGUCUCAUCCAAAAAUUAUUGGUUUAUACCAAGAUUCCUAAUUGCUACCAUUUGAAUUGUUUUUCAACUUCUAGUUCUCAUAAUUUUGAGAACAAUGAAACAUGAAAAUAAUUGCUUUCUUUGGUGAUUGAUUGAUGUGAUUCUAUUUCAUUGGAUCAUUUUCUAUUUCAUUAUUAUUAUUAUUAUUAUUAUUGUGGUCGUCGUUUGUUUAGGUCACUUUGUAGUGUAGAUCCCGAUAAGCAAUGAAUUUUUUUGUCAUUUAUUCUUUUAGCAACUUUAAUAUUUUUCCUUAAGACUUUUCGUUUUCAGUGGAAACAGAGAUGCACGCGAGGUAGUUGUUAAUUUAGGAGUUGAGUUGAGUUUUUAUUGAGUAUUGAAUUAAUAUUUAUUAAAUAAAAGAAUAAAAGGAUAAAAUUGUAAAAUAAAUUCUUAUCAUUAAUAUAUUAUUCAGUAAAAAUUGAGUUGAAUAUUAAAUAUAGGUUAUAUUGUAACUUUCUUUUAAGUUAUAUGAUUUUAUAAUUAAAUCUAGAGUCGUGCUAAAUUACCGGGUGAGUAAUUUACGACCCAACCAUUUUGUACAAAUAUGAAUAAUUAUAAGAGUGGAUCCAGGCUGCAAGUUACUACUGAUGCUUUAACUUAGCGAAAAACCUUAAGUCUUUUUUUUUUGGAUUAUUUUCUCCAUUUCGAUAACACCACUCGAACUUUAGUUGACCACGUGUCAACAUUUCAAUGGUAUCAUAUCAAAUUAUUAGCUGUGAAUCAUUGAGUAUGAAAACAUACCGGACCCACAACUUUUGCUUUUACGUGAACGUGAAUCAGAUUCUUGGAAGCUGUGAAGUGGGGACUGAUCGUUUAAAUUAUUUAAAGCCAGCAAUAAUUGAAGUUUUAUUUAUUUAUUUUUUAUUUUUUAAAUGAGGCAAUAAUUGAUUAUUACUUCGGGAGGUUGCCAAUUUUUUCCCUAUAGUAAUUAAUAUAUACCAUUUUUUUUUUUACUGUUUUUAUAAUGGCCAAAAACCCGACAGCAUAAGUUUAUAAUAUUACCUUUAUUUUCAACUACUCUUUUAUUUAUAUUUAUUAUAAGUUAAAUAAAUCACAUAAAUAGAAACAAAAUAAAAAAUUAAAUAUGAAAAAUAAAAAAUAAAUGUUUUGAUAUGAGCAAAAAAAUUAAUAAUAAAUUUUUUUCUUGUACUUAUUUAUUUUGUGAAAAUUUUCUUAUAAUAAAUAUAUAAGAAACUUAUUAUAAAAUGAUAAAAAAAUUAUUAUAAAAAAACUUGAAUGACAAAUAAAAAUUUAUUAUAAGAUAAAUAAUAAAAUAUUUUGCCUAUACUUUUUACAUUUAAUUUUAAAAUAUUACAAAAUGUUUAUUAUAAGAAAAUAUUCACAAAAUAAAUAAUUAUAAGAAAAAAAUUUUAUUAUUAUUUUUUUGCUCAUAUCAAAACAUAUAUUUCUUAUUUAAUUUCUAUUCAUGUAAUUUAUAAUAAAUAUAAAUAAAAAAAUAACUAAAAAUAAGGGUAAUAUUGUAAACUUAUGGUGUUAGGGGAUUUUUAAUAAUUAAAAAAAUAAUUAAAAAAUACAUGAUAUAUUUUAAUUACUGUGAGGGGAAAAGUGGCAAUCCCCUUAUUACCUCCACCAAAGCUUUAUGAAAAGGGAGCUGCUACCUUGUUUUCCACGGCAUAAGACGAUCGCUCUUAAUUUUAAAUGACUCAAGUUGACUUACCGUUGAACUGGAAGGACAUAAAGCGAAUGACCUUCUCAUUUUCCAUCUGCCACAAAAAUUUAUUUAAAAAAUAAGUGCAUAAACUAAGCCGGUCUUAACGUUUAAUUUUUAACCAAUAUAUAUAUAUAUAUAGAAAAAUAAUAUUUACAUUCUAAGGUUUAGGAAAAUAAUCACAAAAACUCUUGAGUUUUUAAUAAAAGACACCGAAAUUCAUUUAUGAUUAUAAUACCCUUUGACUCUAUAAAUCUCUAAAAAUAUAACUCUAAAAUUUUAUAAUAAAUAGAAAUAUGGCAUUAAAAUAAAUGUAAUAAUAUAUAUAUUUCAAAAUAAUUUUAAUAUUUAAAAAUAUUUUAAUAUUUUUAAUCUAUUAGACCUCUUUUAUUAUAUUAAAGCAAUUUUUAAUAAUAAAUAGAAACAAAAUAUUAAAAUUAAAAUUAUUUUGGCUAUUAUGUAAAAGUUAAUUUUAAUAUUAUUAAUAGGGGGAUUUUUUUAAUUGUAAAAUCUAUUUAACCCAAAGAUUUAUUUAAAAUCUUUUUCAUAUUACAAUUAUAUUAUUAAAAUAAUUAUAAUAAUUUAAAAUUUUAAUAUUAUUUUAAAUGUAAAAAAAAUUAUUAUUAGUCUACCAAAUAGAUUUAUAUUAUUUAUAUUAAAUUUGUGUUAAUUAAAAACUUUUAAAAUCAAUUUUUUAAUUACUAUAAUCAAAGGGUAUUAUGGGUAAAAAAGAGUUUUUGUAUCCUUUUUUUUAAAACUUGAGAGUUUUUAUAACUAUUUUCUCAAAUUUGGGAAAUGUCAUUGUCCUUUUUCUUUUUUUAUACGAACUUGGAUCUUAGUUUUUUACAAGUAUUUAAAUAUUAGUACGUGAAAUGUAUUUUAAAAUAUCCAUCAAUUUAUUAUUUCUUAAAGUACAUUUUAUUAAUAAAUAGCAUAAUACACACGAAGGACCACUGAUAUUGAUGUUCAUACAUCGGAAUCAAUUUUCUUUAUGGGGAGUCUACGUCAUGAUUUCUAUGUCACGAAUUCUCCAAAAUAUUAUGUAUAUCUUGAUUUCUACCUUUUAUGAGGAGUCUACGUCAUGAUUUCUACCUUUUAUUAAUAAAUAGCAUAAUACACACGAAGAUAGGGGUGAUCGCGGAUCGGAUUUUAUGGAUUGGACAUCAAUCCAUAUCCGAUCUACGAUUUUACGGAUUAUAAAUUUUCAAUUCAAUCCAAUCCAUGAAUUGGUGAAAUUCAAUUCAAAUCCAAAUACAAUCCAUACAUCUGCAGAUCGGAUACGGAUUUGACCAAAUUCAUAUUCAAUCCUUCAUUUUGCGGAUUAGUUUGCGGGCUGAAAAUUUUUAAUACUGUCAAAUCCACAAACUAACUAAAUAAAAAAAUAAUAUAAAAAUAAUUUUACUACCGAUCAAAUUUAAAAUUAAAUAAGAUUUCAAUAAAUUAAUUGUUUAAAUAAAGUUAGAAAAUACAUUUAAAGUUUCAAAAUAAAACACACCAAAACGAAAAAAAUCUUAUUUGUUUAGAUCGGUACAUUUUUUUUUAUGCGAAUACCACUCUAUUGGUGGGGGGUUAGGUAGGACCCCUACUUGGCAUUUAGAACAGAUAAUGAAAAACACAUAUGGAGGGGGACAUAAACCAAAACCUCCAAUCUAGAGAAAUAAAUAUAACAGUAAAAGAAAUGACUUAGGCAUAGCCUAACAUAAGAAGAAAAAGAGUAAUGCAGACGGUGACAAUAUCUCUUACGAUACUUGCGGCCGGCAAGUAAUUUAAUGUCAUUUUUCGAGUGACCGACAACGAUAAAAUCAGGGCUAGAGUCAAUUCUCUCAGAAUUCUCAAGAGCAGACAGAAAAUAGUCAUUAUUCGCCAAAUGUUCGUCAGAACUAUCAUCAUUAUCAGUAUGAGAAUUGUAAUGCCUAAAAUAUGUGCUGGAUGCUCGAUGAAGCUAUAUAUUAUACUCACUUGGUUCUCAGAUCCUAGAAUCAUGAGUCGUGACAUCCUGGCCAGUCGGCUCCUGAAUGGAAGUAGAGUUUGUAGCGUUAACUUGGUUCUCCGUAGGUACAAUCGGAGACCCCACAUCUGCAAUUUGCUCAGUGAUGGAAGGCUCAAGUCGUGGAGUAUCCAAGGGUUGUGGAGUAUCUGACGGCAGAACUUCUGACUUCUUAUUAUCUACUCUGGUUUGCCAAUUCCCACUGGGUCGCUGGGGAAGGACCCCUGGAUUGGCCACGAAACACGUCUCAAUGGUAUGGCCAAGGCGCUUGCAGGAAGCACAGUAGAGUGGGAUUUUCUAAAAAAUUACACUCUGCCAAAAUCCAAAAUCUCUCACACCGAUUCGUAUUCGUGGCAACGAAGGUUGAGUGACAUCAUACUCCACUAACACCCUAGUUACAGAAGGGCGAUCUAAAGAGGCAGUAGCUUGGUCAAUUCGUAAUGGCUUGCCAAUAGCUGAUGUAAUAGAAAAUAAUGCUUCCUUACAGUGCAUAAAGUGGAAAGCAAGUAAGGAAAUGAAAUCCAUACUGGAACUAUAGGGGACUCCUCGGAACAUCGAAAAUCGAUGGUCUAUUUAAAAAUUCUCAUGGCACUCUCAUUGAUGUACCAUGUCUGUCUAACCCGUAGGCGGGAGUAGUCCUCCUCAACAUCCAAUUGAAUUAACACAUGUCGAUUAUCUAAAAAGGACACCUUGGAAGUUCCCUUCAAUCUCAUAGUAUUAAAAAAAUUUCAAAUUAAUUCCAUACUAGGUCUAUUGUAGGAAAAUUUACCUACCAAUGUCAGCUUGAAAGGAAUAGGCAUCGCUUGAAUUUCCGCAGUGGAAAAUUGCGCUUUAGGCUCUCCCUCGAACGAAGUGACAAUCUUGAUUGGAAUCGACGAGCUAGUUGGGACGUUCAUAAUAUCCACCAAAGAUUUUUUAGUGGGUUUAUUUUGAUUCGGAUUGGGGACAGAUUCUAAAACCGAGGCAUGAGAAUGUGCGGAUGUGGGCUGAAUGGUAUUUUAGAUUAGCGGAUUAUUUUGGGGGUUAUUUAAUAAGAUCGGAGAGGGCAUUUUGGAGGGCUGGGUGUUGGGGUUUAUUUCGAAAACGGAUUGGGCUUGGGUUUGACUAGUGGGAAAGGUUAAUGGGGCAUGGGAAGAGCUAGUGGGAGACACACAUGAGGAACACAAUUCAUGUGCUAUCGAAAGUGUCUUAUGAGCAUGGGAAUUACACGCGUGCAGACUUUUAAGCUGGUGUUGGGUGGAUGUUUGCUGACCAUGGCUGGGUUCUGUGGUGAUUGCUUGCAGCUGACUUUCUGUUGACAGUUGUAGCUGGCCGUGAGCUUGUGAUUUGCAUGGGGUUUUUUGUCGUGUGGGAGUUGUUUGUGUAGGUGGUGAUUGUGGCUGGCUGGUGGUUCUAUCUUGGACCGAAUCUUGAGACAAAUGGCCAUGGAGUACGGGCUGGUUUUGAUGGUGUAUAGGGGCUGUGACAGCAGGAUGAACUCCCGAAUGGUGUGUGGUUUGUGUUGGCUACGGGCUAGAGGCUGGUGGCUGGUUGGUUUGAGAUGAAAACCCAUUCACCAAGUCUGGUGGUGAAAGCUUGGAGUUGGCUGUUGAAGAGGUGACGAUGGCGGUUGGAGAUGGUUGUUGAAGGGACGACGAUGGCGAUGUGUUUGUAGAAGUUGAGGGCUGUUGGGGUUGAGCUGGCGUUUGACUCCUGUAUUUUGAGUGAGUUUGCCUUUGGGAUCUCCUAAGAAAAGGAGGUUCAUUUCUGGAAGUGAGGGGAGGAGCCGGUGGUGGUUGGUUGCUAUUAUCGUCAACCGGCUAGAUAAGAAUCGACUUGUCUCGAGUAUUGGUUUCUUCCCCUUCUUCUAGUGAAUGGAGGGGUGAUUUUGCUACCUCACGGCAGCAUUCAUAGUCAUUGAUGCCACCAUUGAUUGCCAUUUCUUUUUGCUCACUUAUGGCAUUAGGUGUGAUUGAAGGUUGUUGAAGUUUCGAGAGGAUAGCGGCAGUGGACAAUGGUGGUUGGUUUGCAUGGGGUUGGAUUUGAGAUGGAGGGUUUGCAUGAGAGUGGUUUGGUUUGAUUCGCGGUGAUGGCAACUGGACGUCCGGUGGCGGUUCAUUUGUGAAUUUUGGGGGUCGUCUAAAUGAUUUCUUAGGAGGGUUCGAACUCCUAAUAAUUUGUUCUUCUGCAGAGAAGGUGUAGACUGGUGAUGGCCGGUUGCCAUCAUCGGCGGCCGGAGAGGCCAUUAAGGCCAUUUAAGGCUUUUGAAGGGGGAAGGGGGAGACAUGUAGUUGAUAUUAGCAAUUAGAUCAGUAUAUGGAAAUUAACUAUUUAAGAAGUUAUAUUUGUUUAUUUAGUUGUUUUUAUUUUAUAUUAUUAUUGGAUAAAAUAUAAUAUAGUGUUAAUGUAACUAUAUUUUAACUUAUUUAUUUACUAGUAAAUACUAAUAUUAUAUUUACAAGUUUUAUUUUUUAAUUAAAUAAAUACUUUUUAUUUUUUUGCGGAUUCGCAGAUUUUUGCGAAUUUACAGAAGUAGAUCCAUAUCCAAUCCAUCGAUUGCGGAUUAUCAAAUUUUCAAUCCAAUCCAAUCAACGAAUCGGAUUUCUACGGAUCAAACGGAUUGAGCGGAUCGGAUUGGAUUCUGAACACCUCUAUAUGAAGGACCACUGAUAUUGAUGUUCAUACAUCUGAAUCAAUUUUCUUUACGAGGAGUCUACGUCAUGAUUUCUACGUCACGAAUUCUCCAAAAUAUGAUGUCUCUCACUCUUAUUUAAGGCAAACCUCAUAGAGGCAAUCACAGAACAUGAAGAAAAUUAAUUUUGUUCCUAGUCCUCACUAUCUAAAAAGAAUUUUCGUUGAAGCUAUAUAUAUAUAUAUAUUGAAUCUUUUGAAAAAAAUUGCUUCCUGAGCAUAUGAUUUCUUGCUGGGUUUCUUCAAUUGCUCUUCUUGUUCAGUUGUUAAAACUUUCCAGUUUCCUCUCUGUAGUACAAAGAAUAUUUGAUCAUUGAAGUGCCACCUUCGUAGUGUUAAUUUCGGUGAUGGAGUCCGCUGCUCAAGUGAGGGAUGUCGAUGCUUUGUAUGAGCUAAUUCGACAUGAUCGAUAUUUUUUGGACAACUUCGACGAGAAACCUUUUGUCGAUACUCCUUUGCAUGCUGCUGCAAGGGAUGGAAAUGUUGAAUGGUCCAUGGAGAUUAUCAGACUAAAGCCAUCAUUUGCCAGGAAGCUAAACCAAGAUGGCUUCUCUCCGGUGCAUUUAGCUUUGCAAAAUGAUCAAACUCAGUUAGUGCUUCAGCUGAUAGAUAUUGAUCCGGACCUUGUUCGUGUCCAAGGAAGAGAAGGCAUCACUCCUUUGCAUUUCGUGUCUGAAAAAGGAGAAAUUCAUCUGUUGAGGGAAUUUUUGUCUACUUGUCCGAAAUCUCUUGAAGAUGUGACAAAUAAAGGCGAGACUGCUCUUCAUAUUGCUUUGAAAAACGAUAAGGUCGAAGCUUUUGAUCAAGCCUUAACAACAGUACGACCACCGUGGCUUGGCCCUGAAGAAGCUCAACCAUACAAUCAAAGAAUCCUCAACUUGAAGGAUAGGGAUGGCAACACUUUGUUACACAUAGCAACAUCCAAAAGUCAAGUCAAGGCAAGCUCGAAUCCACACACAUAUAUAUAGAAAUUUUUCAAUGAGGUGCAGUCACCCUCAUUUUUUUUAAUGCAGACAUGCUAUUAAAUUAUGUGAUUUAAUAGAGUCAAUUUUUAAUUCAUUAUAAAGCUGUGUAUUUUAAUAGCAUGCCUGCAUAUAGGUUAAUAGAGUGUUCAUAUGAGAAAAAAAAAAUGAGAGUGUUCACAUUAGAGAAUGACUAUAUUUAUAUAUAUAGUAUCUAAUUAAUGACCUUAUCUUCAUUUUAACAAAGUAAAGAUAUCACAAAUAAAUAAAUAAAAAGUAGUUUAACAAAGUAAGGAUAUCAUUAACAAAAAAAAGCAGUUUUCAAUAUAUUGAAAUAUGUGUUUUUUUUAAUUUUAUUUGCAUUCUUAUUUUAUUAAAAUUUCUCGUUAGGGAAGGACUAUAUGUAUAUGGUCACAAAUAAAAUUCAGUUGAAUGAUGUCUAAAUUGAUGAAUUUGUUUAUCCAAAGCAGAUUGUAAGGUGUUUAUUGAAUUGCAAAGUUGAUACAAAUGCCCGGAAUUCGGAAGGUUUGACACCUUUAGAUAUUUCAUUACUUGAUAAAACUAAAUCAGAAAACCAAGAGAUUGCGGCAAUACUGCGGGAAGCUGGAGCACUAGAGGCAACUUCACUUCCUAUUACCGACAAGGAUAGACAUUUAUCGAGGUAACAGGAACACUGCUCUUUUACUAAAUUACAGUCCAUUUAUCGAUCAUCUUUUUAAAAACAAUAUGGCAUUUUCAUACUAUGUACAUCUCAAAAAAUGUUUAAUGUCCUUCAGAAGUAAGGAUCAGAGGCUGAACGAGGCUGCUCAAGCAGGAAAUGUUGAUGCCUUGUAUGAAUUAAUAUGGGAGGACGCAUAUCUUUUAGAUCAGAUAGACCAAGUACCAUUCGUGGAUACUCCUUUACAUAUAGCAGCAUCAAUGGGGCAUAUCAACUUUGCCCUGGAGAUAAUGAGGUUAAAGCCAUCAUUUGCGAGAAAGCAAAACCAAUAUGGAUUUAGUCCCCUGCAUCUUGCUUUGCAGAAGCAAAACCAAUAUGUACUUAGUGGCGAGGAUCUUUUGCAGAAGAAACAGACCCAAAUGGUGCUUCGGCUCAUAGACGUGGACAGAAAUCUUGUUCGUGUCCAAGGAAGGGAGGGUGUAACGCCUCUACACUAUGUUGCUGAGAAAGGAAAUGUCGAUCUUCUAUGCAAACUUCUAGCGGCUUGCCCUGAGUCCAUCACAGAGGUGACAAUCCGUAAAGAGACUGCUUUGCAUGUUGCUGCAAAAAAUGACCAGUUGGAGGCCGUUGAGUGCAUGCUAGGAUGGCUUCGAUAUGUCGACAUGGAGGAUAUCCUUAACUGGACGGACGAUGAAGGCAACACUUUAUUGCAUAUCACAAUCUCCAAAAGUCAAAUAAAGGCAUGAAAUUUUUUUAAAUUUUACUUCAGUUAGUCCCUAUAUUUUCAUGAUUAUUAAUUGCAUGCAUAUAUAAAUAUAUACUUGCAGUUGGUGAGGCUACUAGUUAAAAGAGCACGUGAUCAAAUAAAUGCCCGGAACUUAGACAAUAAGACACCCAUGGACAUGGUAGAAGAACAUUUGGGAGGGAAACCUGAAUUUAAAGAAGUAACACGCAUGGUGCGCAAAGCUGGCGGUAGACAAGGGUCCUCCCUUCCUGAUGGGGAUAUUGCAGGUUACUUAAAACAAGGUUUGACAUGGCGUCGAAACGUGAUUUUGUUCCUUUACCGCUUAUCACAGCACAUUACGGAUGAAAAUCGAAGCGCACUACUUGUGGUUGCUGUAUUAAUAGCGACAGCCACAUUCCAAGCAGCGCUUACCCCGGCUGACGAUCUUCAGGGAAAUAAGUCAACUGGAACCCCCAACUCUAUUGCCACUAAUGGAUCACACUCACCAUCGACAUCGGCAUCGGCAUCAGCAUGGGCAUAUGUAACACCAUCAGGAAGAGCAAAUUCAACCGCCAUUUCUCGGGGCAAUGGAACCAGCAGCAGCAUCCCAACAAGUGACAAGAUUCUAUUCGCUCCGGGGCAAUUUUAUGGCGAUGCCAUCAGUGAUAUGAUCUCCACACUUUUCGCAUUUUCAAAUAUUUCAGCCUUUUGUAUAGCUAUGCUGGUGAUUAAUUAUAACCUCCCGUGUGGCUCUACUCUGGUAUAUCCUCUUGUUAUUUGCUUUUGCCUGUUAGUGGUUGGCAGAACCCCGGUGUCGCUACUUGCCUCACUUUUAAUGUUUAUCGUCUUUCGGAUUUUUUUAUUUGUACAACUGGACUUCUCCAAGAUUCGAUUUAGACGAAGCUUCUGGACUACACAAGUUUUGGGCUCUGUUUUCAAACAUUACAGAAGCUUCUUCAAUAAGAUAAUGAAAGAAGCUGAAAAAUAGCUAUAAUGCCAAUAUGCUGCCAUGGACAAAACACAUGUCCGUUGGUCUGUUGAUGUUCUAUGCUGGCUUGGCUAUAUCUACUUAUUGGUGGUUUUAUUUUGAGUAAGAAGGUGUGUUUUUGUGUACUGUAUUUUCUGAAUUAUGUUCGUUUGCUUUUGCUUCAUUUUGUAAGGUCUUGCGUGUUUCAAUGUAAUUGUUAGAGUGCAAUUUAUGCACUAGUUUUGCAUUGUUUACUUCCCUUAAUAUCGAUGUUUUGCACUUAAUAAUAAUGUUUUACUUGUGUUUUACUUUUGUAGGUGCAAUUCUAUUGAUUGAUGAUAAAAUUGAGCUAAAAGAUGAUGUUUAAGGAGGAUUGUUCUCUUGGAGAAAUUUCUGAGCGUCAGAAGAACUUUGUUGAUAAGGCGUGGGCGCGUGCUGUCAACUGCGGACCUGCAGUUUUUAGUUUAACGUGUUUUGUAUUUUUGGUUAUUUUUGUAAUUACGAAUUUAAUAUUUCAGAUAUUAGUAUUUUAUUUUAAAUAGAAUUCUAAAAGAGAAGAGAGAGAGAGUAUUUAAGAGAGGAAUCUAUUGUGAAAAAGGGGGGAUUUUGGAUUGGAGAAAAAGAAACCCUAGAUCUAAUUUUUCUCUUCUCUCUAUGAGGAACUAAACCCAUUUUUCUGGUUGAAGGUUAAUGAAGCUUUGUUAUGUGAAUAUCAAUCUUAGUUUGUUUAUUCGAGAACUUGCUUUGUUAUGCAUGUUGAAGCCGCAUUACGAGAUUUUAUGCAUUAAAAUGAUAAGGGCAAAUCCUUUUCCAUUUUUCUAUUCUCGCAUUUUUUUUUCUCUACCCGAAGACCUUUAUUUGCUAUCUUUGUUUGAGCCUUAACCAUUACCCAUCUAAUUUUCUCCGUCUACUUAACCAUUUUUCUUCUUUUUGAGCCUCAAUUUAAGGAGAUUUUUGGACUCAUUGUGUGGAUAUAUUUUGUUGCUUUUUCUACCUUGUAAUAAAGUUUCUCAAUUAGAUCAACAAGCAUUAUGCUUGAAUUAAAUUGUGCAAGGUUCAUUUCCUUGUUUUGAUUCAAAAAAAAAAACAAAACAAAAAAAAAAGAAAAAGAAAAAAAAAGAAAAAUCGAAAAUCACUGUUCACUAUUCACUGUUCACAAAAUCCCUAAUUUUCCAGAACUUGUUUUCUUCUCCAGCCGCUUGCAGCACACCAGCAGCAAACCAGCCCGCCGGAAAACGCACCAUCCCGUGAGCGCAGCACCAGCAUCCCGUGUCUCGCAGCCCAGCAGCGCGCAACGAAGUCCCACCAGCGAAAGCAGCCGCGCGCAACGCAGCAAGCCCCAGCCAUCACCAUCGUGCGAAAUCAGCAGCAACCGUGCACGCAACACAUCCCGCGAAGCAGUAGCAGUAACGCCCCGCAACGCAGAUCCUCAGCUCCAGCCCGCGCGCACAGCGCAAAUCAAUCCAGCAAUCACCCUCGUGAAGCAGCAGCAGCAACGCCUCGCAACACAGCCACGCACCAGCAUCCCGCACGCAACCAGCAAUGUGCAACUAGCAACCAACAGCCACAGCCCACGCAUCAACAGCAACGCGCGCGCGCAACACAAUCAGUGCCAUCCCGCGUCCAUCAAGCAAGCUCCAGCCGAGCAGCAAUCGCAACGCAACCAGCCUACGACCUGCAUUCCAGGCGCGUGAAUCGAAAUCCGUGACAAGAUGGAGCAGAAUUUGGCCGCAUACUUCAAGAGUGUGGGAUUUAUCCCACCAUUCCCGCCAAACCCAUAGACGUUAUGAGGAUCAAAGCUCACAAUUCAGGGAAGUUUCUUUUUGCCCUUAAUCUUUUAUCCUUACGCUUUAAUUUUUAUGUGAGCUUUGAUUAUCUUACAUUGGGGACAAUGUAAGUUCUUGGUGUGGGGGAAGGAUUUUUGCAUUAUUGAUGUCUGGAAUUAUUGUUUUCACUCUACUCAUCUAUUUUCACUCUACUCAUCCUUAAAUGAUUUUGGAGUUAGUAUGCUUCAUAUAUUAUUAUUCUUCUUUUCUUUUCUUUCUCACUACUUUUUUCCCAUCUAUCUCAAACUAUUCAUAUCUAUUUUUAUUUUACCAUACUCUUUCAUCACUCACAUUUUAUCUUUCACUUUUCAUAUUACUACAUACAUCUUUCUCACUUCUUAUCAUUUUUACCUUUUCUUUUAUAUAUCACUCAUACUUUCUUCUCAUUCUACACCACUAUUGAUGGUUGAUUCAUUUGAAGAGUGUACAUGAUUUGAUGGCAAAUUUACCAACUUUGUGAGGAUUUGAGCCUAUGAGCAACCACUUUGCUAUAAUAUUUUUGUUAUGUGAAUAUCAAUCUUAGUUUGUUUAUUCGAGAACUUGCUUUGUUAUGCAUGUUGAAGCCGCAUUACGAGAUUUUAUGCAUUAAAAUGAUAAGGGCAAACCCUUUUCCAUUUUUCUAUUCUCGCAUUUUUUUUUCUCUACCCGAAGACCUUUAUUUGCUAUCUUUGUUUGAGCCUUAACCAUUACCCAUCUAAUUUUCUCCGUCUACUUAACCAUUUUUCUUCUUUUUGAGCCUCAAUUUAAGGAGAUUUUUGGACUCAUUGUGUGGAUAUAUUUUGUUGCUUUUUCUACCUUGUAAUAAAGUUUCUCAAUUAGAUCAACAAGCAUUAUGCUUGAAUUAAAUUGUGCAAGGUUCAUUUCCUUGUUUUGAUUCAAAAAAAAAAAACAAAACAAAAAAAAAGAAAAAGAAAAAAAAAGAAAAAUCGAAAAAAAAGAAAAAAAAUGUUUACAUUCUUGGUGACUUGAGUAGAAAUAAGCAUUUUGAUAUCAUAAGUUCAUUCAAUGAGUUCAUUCUUCUCAUUUUGAUCUCUUUUUCUUUCGUAAACCUUUCUUUUUCAUUCAACCUAUUUAACCCCAUUACAACCCUUUUAAGACCCUUAGAUUUUUGCAAUUUUAUUCAUGUUUUGUGGAUUGAGAUGUGAUAUAUGAGCAAGCUUAUGGUAAUAGCAUUCUUUGAUUUGAUUUGAGUGAAUAAAUGACACCCUAAACACUUUGAGUGCAUAGAGUGAAGUUAUUGAGAGGGCUAUUACAUCUUGUUGCACUUGAAUUUUGAAUGGAUCUUCUUGGUGGUUGAAUGUUCUUAUUCUAUCUUAUGAGAUUCUAUGCUUUAAAAUCCUUGUCUCUCGAAUGUUGAUCGACUUAAUUUCUUGAGGUAUGCUUGCUUAAAAUUAUUUUUGGAUGAGUUGAGAUGAGAAUUGAGUGGAGAUUUGGGAUUAAUCUUGAGUUAUAUGCUUGAGGACAAGCAUCAUCUUGGUGUGGGGGAAUUUGUUAGAGUGCAAUUUAUGCACUAGUUUUGCAUUGUUUACUUCCCUUAAUAUCGAUGUUUUGCACUUAAUAAUAAUGUUUUACUUGUGUUUUACUUUUGUAGGUGCAAUUCUAUUGAUUGAUGAUAAAAUUGAGCUAAAAGAUGAUGUUUAAGGAGGAUUGUUCUCUUGGAGAAAUUUCUGAGCGUCAGAAGAACUUUGUUGAUAAGGCGUGGGCGCGUGCUGUCAACUGCGGACCUGCAGUUUUUAGUUUAACGUGUUUUGUAUUUUUGGUUAUUUUUGUAAUUACGAAUUUAAUAUUUCAGAUAUUAGUAUUUUAUUUUAAAUAGAAUUCUAAAAGAGAAGAGAGAGAGAGUAUUUAAGAGAGGAAUCUAUUGUGAAAAAGGGGGGAUUUUGGAUUGGAGAAAAAGAAACCCUAGAUCUAAUUUUUCUCUUCUCUCUAUGAGGAACUAAACCCAUUUUUCUGGUUGAAGGUUAAUGAAGCUUUGAUUCAUCACUACUGUGAGAUCUUUCUUGUGCUUUAAUUGUUUUAUUACUUUUUGGGUAUUUGUUUAUUCUCUGAAUUAUUUUCAUGAUUAUGUUUGUUAAUUAGGUAAUUGGCCACUAUUUAAUUAUCAACUUAAUCUAUUGUCAAUUAAAGGAUUCAUCGUAUGAAGAAUUUAAUGUUUGUGACAAAUAACAUAGCAGAGAGUUGUGUUGUGAGAAUAAACAAUCUAAUUUAAAUGAAUCAUCAUAUGUGUUGAUUAGGAUUUGGGUCUCUCUGGUUUUUCAGGCUGUCAAUUGAUUAAAUUCUAUGAUCGUAUCUAGGGUUGUCUAUUGAUUAGGGAAAUAACCAACGGUCGUACCUUGGUUAUCGACUAGUUAAGGAGAGAUUGGCUAUUAGAGAGUCUCAGUAGCUAUAACCGGUCUAUUCAUGAGUAAUAAUAAUCUAUAUUUGAAUCAAUGAUCAGUAGUCGAAUCAAGCUGAGUUAAUUCCUUCAACCAGAGCUUUCUCCAAUUUGAAUUACAACUUUAAUUUGCAUUCUUGUUAUUUUAAUUUGAUUUUUAUUAUUGUCAACAAUUCCCCUAUUUUACGUUUUACGUUUCAAAAGGAUUUAAUUAAUUACCUAUCUCUGUGGACACGACCCUGCUCAAUCACUAUACACAAUUUAUUUAGAGUAGGAAUUUACUUUUGUUGGCUUCGACACCCAUCAAAUAUUAAUUACUCUUGUUGUAUCUGAUAGCUGUAUUGUUCACCUUCGUGACUGUGAAUACAAUGAUGUUAAUUUAAUAAAAUUAUAUGCUUGUUUGUUUGAUAAGAAAAUGAUGGAAAAUUUAUUGACUUAGAGAGGAAAAACAGAAAUUGAACUCAUUAUGAUUGAUACAGUGAAAUGAGAUUACAAUACACUAUAUAUAUAUAUAUAGUAGCAUCUGGAACUUUCCAAGUGUAACAGAAUCAUAUACAGUCUCUGAUAUUCACCAUAACAUUUUGGUGGGAAAUAACAAACUAAUAACAAACUUUUAACAACUUGUAUAACAAUCUUCCAGUAGCUUCCAGCAUCUUGUCCAGCGUGGCAUCUGAUUCAUUACUCUACUUAACAAUUUGCUGACAUGAAGAAAAACAAACAACAAACAGCAAACGCACAAACAUAGCAAAAAAAAGAAGACAAGACAAUAAAGACUGCUUUUGACAACCUAAGUGAUUCAUCAACCUAUGUAUCGGGUUUUUCAUUCAUCAGCAAAGAGUUUCAGCACUUGAUCUGAAAAAUAAAGACUGCUUUUGACACUCUAGAAAUUCAAUUUCAUUUUUCCAUGUUAUUGAUGAUCAAACUCAGAUUAGCAACUGAAAAUAUAAUAUAACAAUUUGACAUCAAAAGUAAGUCCACUGAAAAUUUUUGGAAAUAUAUUAAUUAAAAUUAUGUUGAUGAAAUUUUUUAAAAUUUUAUGGUUUUGGUUUACGAAUCGUGUUGGCGAACGGCUUUAUUGUACAAGUACAGGUGCUGCUUCCUCUUCAUCUAUAUUAUACGGUUUACAUUGUUAAUUUAUUUUAGUACUUUGUUUCCUCAUUUGUUGAAAUCCACUGAGUGCUUUAAAGUUACCUGAUUGACACUAAAAUUAUCAUUUUUUUUUCCUUCAUCCUGUUCUCAAAUUCAGUCACGUUCCUUCGUCAUUUGUUCACGAAAUCCAAGUGCGGGCAACCAAUUGAGAAAGCCUGUAUUUUGACAAGCUCAAUCAAAAUUCUUCGGUUCCUUACGUGUUGAUUUCGACCUCUAUAAAUUAAAUUUAUUUAGCUUGAAAAGAGAAUUUGAUAAAAAUUUAAAUAAAGAAAUUGGGCAAUGAGAAUAUAUUUGUAAUUUUAUUAACAAUAUAUGGACAAAUUGGACAAUUAACAACUAUUUUUUUAUGUGCUAGAAGGGUAUAACGGUAAUUAUAUAUUAAAAUUAUAAUUUCUGUUAAAAGUAACGGUUUCCGUUGAUGAAUGAGGGUGUGGAUGUCUUUUUUAAAAUAUUGGAGGGACUUUUAUCCAUCUGUCUAAACGUUGUGAGUGUGUUAGUCUUUUUCCCUAUUUACAAGUACAAUUGUAAAUUUAUUUUCCCAUUCUUCUUCCCUUCUCUUCAAAAUUCAGCGCGAUUUUCUCCAUUUAAUUAUUCACAUCUACAACAUUGCAAAUCUAUAAUUAGAAUUAAAAAUUCUUCUGAUUUUCCAAUACCAAUAAGUCAAUAAAUCAACUAUUAUAGUCAAAACCAAACCCUAAAACAAAAUUAUCAUUUUUUUUCCUUCAUCCUAUUCUCAAAAGGGGCUAUCUUUGUUGCUAGGCAUGUGGUGUUUAACGAAUCAGAAUUUCCUUUCUCUACGAAUCCUCAAUUCUCUAAGCAAUCUUCUACCUCUGUUUCCGAGUAUAGACAUCCUAUGUUUAAAACUUCUUCUGUGUUAGUUCUACUACAUGAUCCUUCAGGCUCAAGUGACAACACUGUACAACAGCUUCAGCUCCAUGCAGUUCCAGCUUCCUCUUCUUCCUCUAGUUCUUCAUCAUCAUCACCUUUACCUCCAAAUCCAUAUUUCCCUGAUCCUUAUCACAAUAUGUCCCAUAAUUCCCAACACUCUUCUUCUUCUACAUCUAUUGUGCCUAUUCCACAGCCUUCUGUCCCUACUCAUGUACCAUUGCCAACUCAUCCAAUGGUUACAAGAGCAAAAGCAGGAAUAUUUAAGCCAAAGUUUCUUGCAUAUUCUUUUGUUCUUGAAGAACAUGAACCUGCUACAAUUUCUCGAGCUCUCUCAAAUCCUAAACGGAAAGCAGCAAUGCAGGCUCAGUAUGAUGCACUCAUGAAAAAUGAAACUUGGGUUCUUCUUCCAACCUCUCAAGUUACUAAAGUUGUUGGUUGUAAAUGAGUGUUUCGCAUUAAGUAUAAUGCAGAUGGCUCUAUAUCUUAGUACAAAGCUCGUUUGGUUGCAAAUGGGUUUCAUCAAACCCCUGGUAUUGAUUACUUUGGGACUUUUAGUCCAGUGGUUAAGCAAUCUACUAUGAGAAUUGUACUUAGUCUUGCUGUUAUGAAGAGCUGGAAAAUAAGGCAGAUAGACAUCAACAAUGCUUUCCUCAAUGGGCAACUCAAUGAAGAUGUUUACAUGUUUCAACCUGAGGGAUUUGUCUAGCUUUCAUCUGGUCAUGUUUGUAAAUUGCUUAAGGCUCUUUAUGGUCUAAAACAGGCUCCUAGAGCAUGGUUUGAUCGGUUAAGGAAAGCAUUGUUGAAGUGGGGGUUUCAGAGCUCAAGAACAAAUUCAUCUUUAUUCUUUAAACAUGAACUUGGAGGUAUUGUUGUUGUGUUGAUAUAUGUUGAUGAUAUUCUUAUUACUGUAGAUAAUAAUACAGUGAUUGAAAGGUUCAUCAAAUAUCUUGGAGAUACUUUUGCUUUAAAAGACCUUGGUUAAUUCAAUUACUUCCUUGGUAUUGAAGUUACUCAAGGUACAAAGGACAACUUACAUCUCUCACAAGCCAAAUAUGUAAGAGAUUUGCUCACAAAAACUGCAGAGAAAGUGAUACUCAAAUGAGUACAAGACAAAAACUAAGAAGAGCAAGAAAUGAAGAUAAUUUGAUUGUUAAUGUUACUGAAUAUAGAAGCAUAAUAGGUGCAUUGUAGUAUUUGGUACUCACAAGACCAGAGCUUGCUUUCUCAGUAAACAAGUUGAGUCAAUUUCUUGCUGCAUCUACAGAGAAGCAUUGGACUGCUUGUAAGAGAAUUCUAAGAUACUUAAAGGCAACUGAGGAUUAUGACUUGCUAUUUAAACCAGGUGGUGGUGUUGUCUUAACUGCAUAUACUGAUGCAGAUUGGGCAUGUGAUGUUGAUGAUAGGAAAUCAGUUGGAGCAUAUUGUGUUUAUCUUGGGCAAAAUCUUAUAUCAUGGUCUUCUGAGAAGCAACAAACAAUAGUUAGAUCUAGCACAUAUAGAGCAUUAUCAACAUCAUGUGCAAAAAUCGUUUGGGUUCAGGCUUUGCUUGGUGAACUUAAUAUUAAGUGCAAUCAAACACCAAUAAUCUGGUGUGACAACAAUGGUACUGCUGCAUUGGCAACAAAUCCAGUAUAUCAUGCUAAAACCAAGCACAUAGAAUUAUAUGUACAUUUCAUAAGAGAGAAUGUGACAAAUAAACAAGUGGAAAUCAAGUAUGUGCCUAGUGAAUGGAAUAUUGCAGAUGUGCUUACAAAGCCUAUGGCUUACUGUUGAGUGUUAGAAAAUGCAUAUUUAUAAAGGAGAAAACCGUCAUUUUACAUUUUAAGUCUUACUAACAACCCUUACUUUUAUAUAUUUAACCUUCUUGUGAUUUAAUUACAUGUGUUUUAUUUUAAUUAAGUAUUUUAUGUAUUUUAGGGGCAUUAUAGUCAUUUCACAAUAAAGGAGAGAUCAGACAGCAAAACGGACAUCACUUUUGAACUCAGGACGGUCGAAAACCUUAGGAGGAGCAUAAAAGGAAAAAUGGCACUAUUCACAUGUACGGUACUAUUCACGUGUACGGUACUGUAUACGUUACUGUUCACGACACUGUUCACAUAGACGGAUGAUGACGUGGCAUUGACCGAUGAUGUGGCAUUGACUGAUGAGGUGUCACGAUCCUGUUGGACUAAAAUUCUUAUGUACUGUUGAUGGUGACGUGGCAGCAUAUCAGUGGACGAAAAAUCUCGCGUACGGUGCAUGCAUCACACAGGAUUAUUUUCAACCAAACCGCGUUACUGUUCAUCCGGGUCAAACCGCGUUACUGUUCAAAGUCGGGUCAAACCGUGUUACUGUUCAUCCGCGUGGUCAAACCGUGGACUGUUGACUGAUGACGUGGCGCAAUCCUGAGCGUCCAAACUGUUUUUAAUCCGAUGGCCAUGAUUUACUCCAUGUAUCUAUAAAAAGGGGGCCUCCCCCCCCUAAUUUGAUAUCUCUGAAUCCAUUUUUGGGAUCCAUUUUCUGUAAUUCCUUCUCCAUCUUGUAUUUUCUUCGUAUUUUAAUAAAUUCUCAUUUUGCCUCUAGUUCAACUAUGAGUGGCUAAUUUUCUUUCAAGCUUGGGUUGAAGGUGAAGUCUCAACAUGUGUCAUGGGCUUAAUUUGGUAAAUUUAUUUUCUCUUCCCCUCUAAUUUUUGUGGAUGUUUUGACUUCUCGUCGACAAAUAAUAAUAGUCUUGUCUAGAUACCGCCUUGGUUACACCGGCUCUCUAGUAUAAGGUUAUUAUUAUUUGGCACGAUAAGCCCUUAGCACCAUAUUGAUUAGAGCGUGGUUCAUGAGGUGUGGAUUCCCCCCUCAUGAUUUAAUUGGCAUUAAUACGGAUUAUUUAGCCCAUGAUGCAUGUUGAUACGGAUCCAGAUACCCAAGUACGUCAUUUCAAUAGAUCUUCGCUUCAAUUUAUUCUCGUCAUUUCAAUUCCAAUUUCAGAAUUUAUUAUCGCCAUUUUAAUUUAAGUUUUAGCAUAUUCCAAUCAUUUCCACCACAAAUCCAAUCACCCAUUCACAAAAAUUAAUUCUACACAAUUAAAAUCCACCUCCUCGUGGGAUCGACACUCGUCACCAUUAAUCUAUACUACAACAGAUUCGUGCGCUUGCGAGUACAUUAAAAUUUGCACAACACUUACUGCUUUUUAAAUUACUAUAGAGACAAGCUUAAUGUUGUUUCAUGACCGUUAAGCUUGAGGAGGAGUGUUAAGAUGCUUAAUCAACAGCAGCAGACCAGUGGCUGAGAUUUGUGCGACAAGGAUUGCUGAGCUGAACAAAUUAGUUAAGUUGUUGUAAUUAGUUUUGGUUUAGCCAAUAGAUGUAUUACAGUUGUACAAAAGGUUGUUAUUACUGUUGAUCAACAAUAUAAGUUUGCUACGAGCUAAAUGUAAUUCAUAUAAUUCAUAUCAAUAAAAUUUUCUCUGAUUUAGUUACUUUUCUUUCUUCUUUCCGUCACUUUCCUGCUAGCCAAACAAACUAUCAACCUAAGAUCCGUGAGUUCUAACUUUUACAAAUGUAAUAAUUACCAUGAAUUUGCAAAAACUUGCAGCAAAUAUUUGUGUCCCAAUAGGUUGACAAUUGCAACACAUAUCGAAAAACUGUAAUAGUACCCUUGAUUAUAAUUACUUGACCAUAGUCAGUGGCGAACUAUGUAUACGCCUGGCAGCCGAGGUGUCAGGAAUUUAAUUUAAUAGGGGUGCCUAAGUUCAAACACUAACAUAAUUAAAAAAAUGGUCAAUAAAUAACAAAUAUUAAAAUAUUUAGGGCUAGUUUGGCAAUCUUAUAACUUUUAAAAUAAUUGUUGUUACUUGCGCUAUAAAAAUAAUAAGUUGUGAAUGGAAUUAGUUAAACGUUUGACAAAAUUUCUUCUUAAAAGUGCUUUUGUAAAUCUCAUUGUUGAACUAUUAUAAGAGUUUAAAUGAUUAAAAUGGACAUAAUAUUAAAUAAAAUAUAUUAUAUAGAUAUAAAUACAUACAUAUAAUAUUUUUUAUUAUGUAUAUUAGUAACUGAUAACUAAAAUAAUUAUCUUUGUUUUAUUAAUUAUUUUUUAUCUCAAUAUAAUUAGUAAUAAUAAUAAUCUCUAGAUUUAAUAAUUUUAUUUCCUAAUUGAAUAAGGAUAAUUUUAGAUUUUUAUAAUAUAUGUAAGGAUAUAUAUGGAAUUUUAUUAAUUAGAAAACUUAUCCUGAAAAUUAGAUUUUGAAAGCCUACUUCUUUUUUGCUUUCCAAAAUAUACUGUAUAUAAGAUAGAGUGAUUUUACCGAAAGUGAUUUUAAAAAAAAAAUCUACCAAACAGUAAAAUUAAAGUUUAGCUUUUAAAAUCACUUUUAAGUCUCUCAAAAGCAAUCUCAAAUAGGCCCUUAAUUCAAUACAGUUAUAAUUGUUCUCAUGUAUUUUCAUAUGUUAAAAAUAUUGAAGAAUAACCUCAUUAUCAUUACUACAAACAUAUUUUCUUCUACGUAUACAAUAAAACUAUCAUUCAACAAUUGGUUUCCCAUAUGAUUUUGUGGAAGAUUUUUCAGAAAAUUCAUAGCUGAAAAUACCCUUUCUAAUUUAGUUUUGUUACCUGAUAAAAUCAUUGCUAAUGUUACCAACAUAUAAAUUAAUGAAUACAACUAUCCAUUAUCUCAACCAUUUUUCUUGCUAACUCACCAGUCUCUUUUAAUCUUAAAAAUGUUGUCAAAACCCACAUUCAUAAUAUAAUCAUCAAGUUGAAUUUCAAGUGCCAUAAUGCAACAAUCUUUCUUUAUGGGUUCAAAAUGUUAAAAAGAAUAUUUAAUAUUUUACUUGUUUUUAAAUUUUAACAAGGGUGUUAUGGUAAAUCAAAUAAAAAUAGGACAAAUAUUAAAAUAAAUUUUAAAAAAAUUAAAAAAUUGAAAAAGGGUUUCAGCCCCUGCUAAAAUGGCACCACAUCUAAAGCCUAGGGUGCCUUGAGGCAACAUACCAAUAAUAAUAAUAAAGAAAGAAAUCAAGAAAAAAAAGACAUAAUAAUACGUAGUAACAUUAGCAAUGUUAAUUGUAUUUUAUGUUUUGACCCCUAUAAUUUUACAAGUUGAUUUUAUGUUACCGCCUACUCAAAUUUAUGGUUUUGGUCAUUGUGUUUGGCCCUCUCAAUUUUAGUGAUUAUAUACUGUAUGAAAUGUAAGUUAUGCAACCCAAGAGGGGGGUGAAUUGAGAUUUUAAAACUUACGCUAAACAAUUCGCACAACAAUUUAAUGUAUUGCCUUAAUCAAAUGUAAAAACAAUAAAUUCAGUAAAACACAAUACUAAAAGAGUAAGUACAAUAAUAAAAGAGUAAGGGAAAAGAAAGCAAACACAACAAUUUUUACGUGGUUCGGCAAUCCUCGCUUACGUCCACGCCUCCAAGCCAACCAAACUCGAGGAUUUCACUAUCAAAGCCUCCCAAAUCUUUAAGUUCUUACAAUUAACUUCCAAGGUGUCAAUGAACCUUUACAAUCAAGAGAUUAUCUCUCCAAUCUAUUCACCCCAAUUAUUUCUCACACUUGUACACUUACAAUUUGAUGAGAAAUGAACAAUUACAACAAAAACUCUCUUUAAGAGUGGAUUUGCAAAUAAUAGCAUAAUAAUGAUUCAAUAAAUGAUGAUUUACGAAAUGGAACCUCAAUAUGUGUUAUAUGAUCUUAUUUAUGCUUGCAUUAGUCUUGAAAAUGAAGAUGGAGUUAAGGUUUUAUAGCUAAAGCCCAAAAACUAACCGUUAUAGGCAAAUUCCAGCGCUCAAGCGGUUAGCCGCUUGAUUUAUCCAACUAGCCGCUCCAGAACAAUGAUGUUACCAUUAAAUUUGAAUUUUCCGAUAGUAUCAUUGUUCAUUAAAUUACAUUUGUGACCAAAACUUUCUAUAAUUAUAUUAUAGCCCAACAUGUCAUAAAACUUUGCAAAUAAGUCUAAUUUCAGAAUUUCUAAAUAAUACCUGUCAUUCCUAAAUCUUAUUGUAAUUAUGAUAUGACCUAGUAUAUAAUAACAUUUUUCAAAAAGUCCUUUUCAAAAUUUAAAAUAAUACCCAUAAAUUUUAAAGUUCUCAAAUCUUUUCAAUUUAGUCCAAAAUUUAAAAAUAUGAGACUUUCCUCAAGCGGUUAGCCGCUCACUCUCUGUUCAAUUUUUUAUUUCAAUUGUUUGGAUUACGUUUUGGUCCUCAAACUUUCUUAAAUUGUAAUAUGACCCAAAAUAUUUCAAAUAUUUGCAAAUAAAUCUAAAUUCGAAAUUCAAAAUUCAAAUUUCAAAACAAUAUUUAAUAAAAUAAAAGAUUGCAAAACUUUUUCAUUUUAGUCCAAAUUACUCAAAUCCACAAAAUACUUUAUCUUAUAAAUAUAAAACCUUUUAGUUUAUGAAAGGUAAUUAUUUAAAUAAACUCUUGAGUUUCUCAAAUGCUAAAUCAUGUAUCAAUUAAAUCAUACCGACUUUACAAGAAUUUGUCACAAUAAUUUGUUCGUUGAGCUUUAAACUUUAUUCUUGAUUUUGCCGUUGUCCGUUGAGUGUCUUGAACUUGAUUCACUUGCAUAAAUAUUAUCCUUAAAAAACUAGUAAAAAUGUGAAAUACAAUAUUUAUUAAAUCACUUAAGACACAUGUUUGUUAUCAUCAAAAUUACAUUAUGGGUAGCCCUUUAGGCUAACACUGUAGCCUACUCAAGUAUAUAGUUUCUUCAUUAGGCCCCAAAACCAAAAUCCUAAAAGUAUCUCCAAAAAGUUCUAUUAAUUUUACUCUUCAAAUAUUUAUUUGCUUACCUAUGUGGUAAAAAUGAGAGUGAAAAAAUAUGUUAUUCUCCAAAAGACUCUUUAAAUAGAAAUAAGUUAAUAUUAUUUUAAUCAAAUAAAUAUUUUUUCAAAGGAAAAAUAAAUGGUAAUUAAAGCAUUUCUCUCUCUUUCUCCCCAAUAAAAAGUAAUAAAAUAUAAAUUGAAGAGAGAGAAAGUAACUCUACAAAUUAAAGAGAGAGAAUUAUUUCUUAUUUGAAAAAUCUUAAUUAGAGUAUCUUUUGAAGUCUUAAAUACUGAUGUAACUCUUCAAAUAAGUAAUAAAAUCUUAUUUGAAGAUUUUUUUAGAGAUGCUCUAACUUCACCACUAGAUUUACUUGAGUAUUCAACAAUACUCGACUUACUCGAGCGUAGGUGAUUUAGUUAUACUUAAUUGACUACUAAAACAAUUUAUUCGACUUACUCGACGAUACUUUACUUAGGUCACUCCAUGUACUAAUAUUUUACUAUUUUUCUAAGUGGUACAUUUAAUUACAAAAAUCCAUGAAAAUUUGAUAAUGAUGAAAUGCUUAAUAAAUAAGGGUAUUUGGUCGAAUCAUAACAAUGUUUGUUAAACACUGGUCUAAUAAUAAGUAGUCAUUUUCUGAUGAAAUAAAAUUAAAGCUGACAAAAUUUAACAUGACUGGUUUACUCUAUACAAAUACAACAUGAAUAAAUAUGUAUCUAUCAUGAAAAUUGACAUGAUUAUUAAAUGAAUUUGGUCUAAGUCAACCCAAUUGUUUCCCGUGUCAGGCUAGAAUUCAAUUUUUCAAUGCAUUUACUUGGUCAAUGACGUGAUUGUUAAAUAGUUAACCAAAACUAAUUCAUAUUUGCAUUAAAAUAUACUUAUAUUUUCAAUUCUAAAUUAAUUUAUAGAAUCUUAUCAUUAAAACUCAAAAUUUGGUCAUGAUUCUAGAUGAACAUAUAUUUGAUGUUCUAUUUUGUAAAAUUCUUGAUAGAUUUAAAACUUCAAUGGUUCAUACAUGUUGUAUUUGCAUCAAAUGAGUGUGUAGUAUUUGAUGUAAAUCGUGUUAGAAUUUAAAUAGGUAUUCAGUGAAUUUUUAGGUUAUAUCAUGUUAGAUGACACAACUACCUAGUUAUUAAAAGAGCGUAUCAAGUCACUAUUUUAUUUUUCGUAUCGAGUUCAAAUUUUAAUAUUUUAACAUUUUAUUUUUCGUAUCAAGUUCAAGUUUUAAUAUUUUAACACGAUUAUUAAAUAAGUCGUGUUUUAACCAACAUAAAUUUAAAACAACACAAAAUUGACACAAUAUGACUGGCUUAAUGACCUAUUUUGUUAGUUUUAUUUAAAACCAUCUAAUCUAUUAAAAAAAAAAAAAAACGGUCCAUGGGCCUAGCCCAAAUAUAAAUUCAACAAAACCAGCUCCCGCUCAAUCACACUCUCUCGGUCGUUCCCUUCACUCUCCAAAACCCCCCAUUCCAAACAAAACCCUCAUUUUUCCCUCUUAACGAAGUCACUUUCUCGAGAACCAAACAUUCCCUUAGAUCUCCAAUUUCAUAAUGAGAGAAGAAGAAAUAGAGAAACUUCGAGGAUUGGUUCGCGACUGUGUGAGUAAGCAUUUGUACUCGUCGGCCAUUUUCUUCGCCGAUAAAAUCGCCGCUUUGACCAAUGACCCUACUGGCCUGUACAUGCAGGCUCAGGCUCUGUUCCUUGGCCGCCACUACCGCCGUCCAUUUCACCUCCUUAACGCCUCAAAAAUUGUGCCCCGUGACCUCCGAUUUCGUUACUUGGCUGGUAAGUGUCAGGUAAAGUUCUGUUUUUUGAUUGCAUUAGAAAAUUUGAAUUUCAGAUUUUGUGAUUUGUGCUUUUUGCGUUUUUAGUUUUUUUUUUUAUGUUAUGAAAAAGGGAAAUUUUGAAAAUUUUAACUUGAAAUUCGUGUUCUUUUUAUUUUAGAACAAAAGAAUUUCAAUGAAAAAUAUUUGGAAAUUGAAUUGCUCUAGCAAAUUUGCAUGUGUUGUGUGUUUUAAGAAAAUGAAAACUAGAUUUUGAGCAAUUAAGGAGAGAUUAUGGACUUUGAGCUGAAUGGUUUUGAUCAAUUUUUUCUUGAAUGUUUAUUUGUUUAUACAACUGGGUAGUUUUUCUUUUACUUAUUUAUUUCUGGUCUGUCCUUUGUAUAAUUAGGAGGAACUGAAGGAGUGGGACUAGUGUUUGUCGAUGCUCGGUGAUGCUAAGGUCGAUGAAGAUGGUAAUGUUUUUGACACAAAGGAUAGCAAUGUCAUGUACUUAGAUAAAGAUGGGGAAGACAGAGAAAUCAAUGUAAGUUUUUGUUUGUAAUCUCAUUUUAUCUGGCCUUUUAUUUUUUAAUUUGUUGCAUAUUUGUUGUAUACUUGACCCAAUAUUUCUUUUUUCUAUUACAGAUCUCUUCAGCUAUAUGCUUUUUGAGAGGCAAAGCAUAUGAAGCCUCAGGAAAUUGUGCCCAAGCUCGGCUGUGGUUAGUUUCUUGCGAUGAAUUUACAUGAAAAUCACUCUGCUUAAUUGUAAAAUGCUUUAUGGUUAUUUUCCCUUAGUUUUUCAGCCAAAAUGAUACCAACUUAUACUGUCUAACAGUCUUCUGUUAUAGUAACUUAGGUGUAGUAAUUUAACGUACUGUUAAAGAAAGGAAAUGACUUUAUUGUUUUAAUGCGAGAAAUUUGAACAUUGUUAUAAACUUGUUUAAGUUGGGCAUAAGUAAAUUUAUCUUCAAUUUCAUUACUGAGCAGAUUUUGUUUGAAUGCAUGAAUGUUUGAUAUAUGUGUUUAAUAGCCAAGGAGUUUGUUUAGAUACUACUUUAAGAAUUAUCUAUAUAUAGAUUGGGUAGUCUAGAAAACUCUCCUUGAUUAAAUCAAUGUAUAAUUUUGAUAAGACAGUUUAAAAUGUUAACAUCCUAUGUCUUCUGGAGUCCAUUUGGUGACACAGGAAUGGUAGUGUAUGCUGGGAUGGUUUAGUUCAAUAAGGCUAUUAGUUCUGUUCUACUUUUUCAAAGAGGUUGAUUGCCAAAUUAACAGCCACAUGAAGGAGAUUGUCUUUUUUUUUUUUUUUGUGUAUCCUGAAUUGUUUUUGCUUCCAACCACAAUUCUGGUCUUCUAUUGGUUCACACUUCCUACUUCUAUCUCGAUGAUUUUAUCUGCAAUACCUCAUUACUAAAUUCAGCUCUAACAACAGAGGAACUUAUUUGCUUCCUCUUUAUCUUGUUCCAUUACUAGCUUUCAUGUGCAGCAUUUUUAGAAUGUUAAAGACUAAUAGUACAGAAAGGUGGUUUUAAAUCAAAUGUAACAAGAUUCAAUUGACAGAUCAGCUAUGCUUCACUCCAUGUGGUUACCUACACACCUGGAUAUUUGUUUUAGAGUUUUAUGCUGUCUGAAUUAGUGGCCUCAUUUUGUUAUCUGAUUGAAAGCUUGCAUGUAUUUCGGUAAGUUAGGUUCUUCCCUCAACUCUUUUUCUUUAGUAACUAUCAUGGUAUUGUUUUAUAACCUUAAUUAGUUUCUCUUUGGUUUUUCAUUUGUCAGUAUAUCUGCUCUAUUCUGUUCAAUUCCUUUUUCUCUAUUCUCUCAGUUAUGUUGAACUAAAACGCUGUAGUUCAUACAAAGGCUUGCUAUAUUUUUUCAUAAUGAUUUAAGGUACAAAGCAGCAAUCAUAGCUGAUCCUUUGUGCUAUGAGGUAUGCAUGACACGCUAUCAAUGUUUUUUUUUUCCUUUCCCCCUAGGGAUAAGCUGGUGGGGGGAGCGUCCCGUUCUCAAAAACUCCUUACCUUGAAUUUUGUGGCUGCAUAAAUUUCAGACAUGACUUUCUAUGCAAAAUAUUACAACCUGUGGAAACUGUUGCCUUCUCAAGGAUUAGAAAAUUACUCAAAAGAGGGCUAGAUUUUUUGAGCUAGGCUUGUCCCUUUUUUUUUUUUUUGUAAAUAGAAUUUUAAUCCUUUUCUUUAAUUUGACCUCUGCUGAUCACAUAGAUGUCUCAUCUGGAUGUUCCUUAUAAGAUAUAUCGAUCCUCAUUCUUUAUGAUUUUUUUUAUGGCUGUACCUUGAUUUCUUUUUCAGGCUUUGGAAUGCCUUAUAGGAAAUCACAUGCUAACAUGCGAGCAAGGUAAUGAUGUAGUUUUUUCCUAGUCAUCUGUUUCUUUCAUCUGAGAGAAGUGGAUUAUGAAAAUGUUUACAGUUUGAAUUAUAGUUCUUACAUAAGUGCGCACGCACACACACACACACAUAAAUGAAAUUAUAGUCACACACAAACAUGUUGAUAUAAAUUUAAUUUGGCAAAAAUUUCUUUGGCUGUGUUCAACUAGCAUUGGAUUUUUCAUGGAACAUGUUAUAAUAGGCUAAUACUUUAAAUUUUUGGAUUUGCUGUUGAAUUUCAGAAACAAGUUUACUUUCAUCAUUGGAAUUUGGUUUUGAAGAUGGAUGGCUUUCUUCAUUCUACUCAUGUUUGAUAAAAAAGGUGAACUGUGUGCAAAUUCAUUAUAUGCUCUUCCAAAUGUAAACAUUUCAAUAAUAAGUUUCCCAUAUGUUUUCGUGAUGUCGAUUCUUUUUGCUGUGUUUGAGUGCAGUGAACAAUUUCUUUCCUUCUUUCCUGUCUCCCUUUGUUUUAUGCAGUAUGACAAGGAGAAUGUUGUAGAAGCCAAAUUCGGAGAAAUUGAAAAAGAAAGAUGUGAUAGUGUCCAUUCGAGCCCAUCCUUCUCACACAGUCUGAAAAACAAUACUGAUCUUUUAGAGGGCUUAUUAUUCUGUCGACCUGCGAUACUAGAUUUCAGAAAUCUUCUCUUCACACAGUGUUCUUGGCUCUCUAAUUGUCAAAAAGUUGAAAAGCCUUUUUCUGUCUGAUGCAUCAUAUAUAUGCAGUUUAAUAUUUGUGGACUUCAAUAAUAUUGAUUACCUUGAUUAUAAUAUUUUCAAUUGUAUGGUUUUUGGGUUUCUUCUUGGUAGGAAAGAUUUUUGUCUUUUUCUUUUUUUUUGGCUUGAUUCUUCUUCUUUUAUUAUUAUUAUUGUUACUGUUUUCCCAUUCACCAAGGAAAAAAAUUGGAAACUUGGCUCCACCUCGCAAAAAGUUUUAGAGCGCAUUUUAAAUUCUCGAAUUUGGGGAAAUUGGAUUGGAGAAUUGGGAAUGAUUGAUUGGUGUUUUCCUUGGCUAAAAACAUUGAAAGAAUGACGAUCGGAUUUUUGGGUGGAGCUCACAAGUUGGGAAAUGAGGAUUGGGAAUCCCGUUGCCAAAGGGGAGGGGGGAAUGCAAACGGAAAUUAACACUUUUACCCUUAAAGAAAUUAAAAUUUUAUUUUUUUCCUUNNNNNNNNNNNNNNNNNNNNNNNNNNNNNNNNNNNNNNNNNNNNNNNNNNNNNNNNNNNNNNNNNNNNNNNNNNNNNNNNNNNNNNNNNNNNNNNNNNNNUUUGUCGCUCUUGUUAAUAUAUCCUUUGUGGAUUUCAUAUGAGGUUUGAAAUGUUAUUUAGUGAAAUUUAAUUUCUUGUUGGCUCUAUUCACCACAGCAAGGCUACAAAUCUUGAUGGGACAUUCGCCCCCGCUUGGAUAGGUUAUGGAAAUGCUUUUGCUGCUCAAGAAGAGGGUGACCAAGCAAUGUUGGGUUAUCGCACUGCUGCUUGUUUGUUUCCAGGGUAAUUUUUAGCAUUAUUUAUUCAUUUCUGUACCUUUCUGAUUUUCUUUUCCUUGGAUCAGCAUAUUCAUGCAAUGAGGACAAGGACAAAGCCACUAACUUGCUUUUGAGCAAGUUUCAGAACACUUUUAGAAUUUCAUUUUUGGCUUCUUUUUUUUAACUUUUUUGGUCUCUGAAAGAUAUCUUAAGGGUAGGGUUUGGUUGAUUUUGCUCAUCUUGAUUUCAUGUAAUCCAUGAAAUUUCUGUUGCUUCAGCUUAAUCUGUUUCAAGUGCGCUACCACUAUAAAAAUUGGGUUUCAUGGGUUAUCAACCAAGAUUUUUUUUUUCUCCUUUGAUUUAAUAUUAAUAAACUGUUUUACCAAUAUAAACUUUUGAUGAAUGCUUCGCAUUUGAUUUCCAUAUUUCUUCCUGAGAAAUGUUGUAAGUUGAUUAAACAUAGUCUUAAAUCGACCCAAGGCAUUGUUGUAAUGUCUUUCUAUUUUGAUAAUAAGCCACACUGUCAUAGUAGUUUUAUGGUCGUAAAGAUCAAUGAAUUUCAUUGUUUAUUGUUUAGUGAUGGUAUGCAUUGUGUUGUGGGAGUACUCUUAUCACUAUGAAUUGUCUUUUUACAGGUUGAAUCUUGAUGUUCUCUUAUUCCAGGUGCCAUUUACCAACUUUGUAAAUUGGAAUGGAGUACAUGCGAACUCACAGCUUUAAGCAUGCCGAACAGGUGUAUUACCUUCUUCUAAAUAUAGACUGCCUUUCAUUUUUCUCUUUAGAUUUCAGUGAGAACUCUUAAGAGGUUGUUUGUUUGCAAUAUGAAGUCUGAUUGUUGGAUAUUCAGAUGUUGGUCUAUACGAUUUGCUAGUUGAUGUUGUCUUGGGGGUUUCAUUUUCCUCUUUGGAUUUAAUGUGAAUACGACUUCUUUCCUCUUUGUUUAAUUGCGACAACUUCUAACAGAUGCUAAUCACAAUCUUUAUUCAUGAUUCUGAGACCUGUGUAAUUAGAAUUUUGGUCAUAUCGUCCAUUUUCCUUUGUUGUCAAAAUAAUGUCUUCUUUAUCCAAAUCUCUUAGUCAUAAUUCUUUGAAUAUAUUGUUGAAUUUCUGAUUAGCUGUCCUUUCUCCAGUUUUUCAUGCAGGCAAAGAACAUAUGCCCAUCAGAUCCACUUGUAUAUAAUGAACUUGGUGUUGUUGCUUACCACAUGAAGGAUGUUUGGUUCACUUGAGUUGCUGUUUUCUGUUGAUCCGUUUACUUUAUUAGUGUUUCAUUUUUAAUAAUAUUAUUACUUAAGGAUAUGAAAUUCUAGUUGAUUUAAACUUAGGUCUUGUUUGGUGUUGAGGUGUUGUAGAUUUUAAGCUACAGGUGUUGUGGAAAAAAGCUACAACUAUUAAAUAAAAGUUAAUAGCUUGUAGUAAAUAUAAUUUUUAAAUAAUAAUUUUGACAAAAUUAGUAAAGAUAUAAUAAAGUUUUCAUCAUACAAGCGUAAAAUCAAAUCAAGUUAACUUUCAAGCUACAACAACUGGUGUUUACCAAAUACUUUAGUACUUUAGUUUUUAAGCUAUAGUUGUUCAACUCAAUACCAAAUGGUGCCUUUCAGGAAUUGUGCUCUUUUUAUUGUUAUAUGUUAUGGCUUUUGUAUGAGUUCCCAAUCACCAGUUUGACCAGCAAUUAUUUGAAAUGUGUGGUGGUUUGAAAAGACCUUGGCGCACAUUCCGUCCUCUUUAAGUGAAAUGUGGGAACCAACUGUGGUGAAUCUUGCACAUGCUUACAGAAAAUUAAAGUAUGUUUAAAUUUAUUGGAAUAGGCUGUCUCACUUGCUUUUUCUUGUUCUAUUGCCUACUCAGGAUAUUUAUCCUUUAUUUUAUUGUGUUUUUGUUGAAUUUUACAUGAAAUAUCAUUCAGAUAUCUAGAUUUGUUUUUUUUUUUUGGCUAAAUUUUCAAAUAGAGGAUCAUCUUUAUCUUGAUAAAUGCAUUUUAUUUUAGGGAUUCCAGCAUAGGGUAAGAUUUUUCAGUUUGCAUCGUCUGAGAUUGUGAGCAGCAUGAAGAUAUAAGAAAGAAGUAUAACCUUCCUUAUACCGUCAUGGCUGCUUAUGGUCAGCUUUGCCCAGUAAGCUCGAGAGACUACUAGGAGCCGUAGAAGUUGUCUGUAGCACUUCCUAAAAGGACUUGAUGCAAAUAGUUUAAAUAAGGAUAUGCCGGAUUAUGGAUUGGUCUACUCUCUACUGGCUACUUCAUAUGCUACCCUUUUAUAUGUUUUUAUCUUUAUGGAAUAGUACUUUUUUUUCAUGUUUUUGCUUUUUUCCUUCUUAGUAGGCAGUGGGUUUAGGUUUAUUUCUAGUAUUGCUAAUCUAUAAACAUACAUUUGACUUAUUGUUUAUUGAACCUGAUUCUAGAAUCUAUCAUGUUUCAGGAUAUAUCACGAGGCAAUAUCCUGUUACGAGCGAGCGCUGAUGUUGUCGAAUAGAAGUUUGAGCACCUAUGCAGGUUGUGCUUACACUUACCAUUUGCAGGUAUGGUGGAUUUAUUAUUAAUUCAUUUUCAAUGAAAACUUGUGUGCCUAUGAAUAUUCUGCUGAUGUGAGGAGUAGUUAGCAAAUUGAUCUAAGUGGUAUUUGUUAGCAAAUACUAGUUUAUUGGAUGCAUCUAAUAUUUGCAGCUUAGGGUUUAAAAAACCAUUGUCAGAUCUUCACCGUUGCGUUCAAAAAACUGCUAGAGUCUAUGGUGGCGAAUUUGUUUCUUUUGGGUCUCUUGUGCAGGAUAACUUCUCUGCUGCCAUUACAUAUUAUCACAAGGUAAACUAAAAAGUACUCUUGCUGUUUCCUUUAUGUGCAAUAAGCGUACUGUCUAUCGUAGUCAUCCACUGUUGAAGAGACAACUCUAAUCUCGCUACAUUAUAUGGAUCAUUGAUUUGCUUUUUCAUUCUAAUCUGCAAAUCAGGCAUUGUGGCCGAAGCCAGAUGAUCAGUUUUGUACCGAAAUGUUAAGUUUGGCUCUUGUUGAUGAAGAUCGCCAUGGCAUUGACCCCAAAAUCGAAUUUGAGUGUAAUUUGUUAUUCAUACCUAUAACAGUUUAAUUAUUUUGGUAUUGGUGAAGGGCUUUUAUUGUAUAAGCUCAGGGUGAAGGGCUUUUAUUGUAUAAGCGCAGGGGUGUCAUCUUCAUCUAUAUUCUACCUUUUACAUUAUUAAUUUAUUUCCUCAUUUGUUGAAAUCUACUUGGCUUAGAAGUGAUUUAAAUUGCUUUCUUUCAUGGAACCAUUUUCUUCACAGUUUUUAUUAUUUACCACCAAACAGUUAAGUCCAUUAAGAAAUUAAUGAUGUCACAUGGAUAUUUCAAGAAUUUUAGUUUAUUAAGCUGGAAGUAUUAUAAUAUUUACAAUUUUAUCAAUUGAUCAAUUUGGAUAAAUAAAACAACCAAUUGAUAAAAGUAUUAUCUCUUUGUGUAUGAUUAACUUUAUUUUUUUAUUGAUUUGGAAGAUUAAACCUAUUUUCACAAUUUAGGGGUAAACCAGACUUUUAGUAUAAAUUCUAUUAAAAUUUUGUUAUUUUAGCAAGUAAAAUGUAAUAGUUGGAAUAUUAAACUGUAAAAAUAUAAUUAUUAAAAAAAUUUACUAAUAAAGUGAUAUAUUAGACGAAGUUAGGCGAUAAAGAGAUAACAUCCCUCUUAGGAAUUAAUUAUAUUAGUUUACAACCUUGUAAUCCUUUGUUAAGCAGCAAAGUAAAAUAUCUUUUAUUGAGUAUUUUUGUUUCCUAUUUAACACAUGCAAUCUUUUAUUAAAUGAAAAAAGAUUUUUUUUUUAAAAUAAAUAAAUAAAAGAGGAGCAAGGCCGAAAUCAAAAGAGUUAAAUUUCGUCGAGCCUCGUGUACUCAGUUUAGAAUUCUAAAUUCACAAGUCUAAUUAGGUUUAUAUUAUUAUUAUGAUAUUAGUUAGAAAGGCAGCUAGUAAGCAAGUCGAAUAAGACAGCUAUUAUUAUUAUUAUUAAGUUUUUUUGGCCUCCUGCCUUUCCUCUUAUGUGAACUUUGUUGAACGACUAAAGAAAGCAUCGGCUAAGCUUCUGAGUCUCAUCCAAAAAUUAUUGGUUUAUACCAAGAUUCCUAAUUGCUACCAUUUGAAUUGUUUUUCAACUUCUAGUUCUCAUAAUUUUGAGAACAAUGAAACAUGAAAAUAAUUGCUUUCUUUGGUGAUUGAUUGAUGUGAUUCUAUUUCAUUGGAUCAUUUUAUUGAAUCUAUUUUUUCAUUGCUACAACCAAAAAUGCUAGUGGGAUCUCUUUCUAGUUUCUAGAAGUACUCUAAUCGCCCUGUUCCUUCUUGAACAUUAAUUGUAGGCUUUUCUGCUACACAACCUUUAAUCUUUUUGAAGUUAGAAUCAAAAGGGGUUUAUCAAAUCUCGAUCCUCCCCAAUUUAGGAUUUCAUAAACAAAAAAUAACUUUGAGAAUAGGGAUCUCUUUUAAAAAAAAAUAAAUUAAUUAAGAAUAAGAGUGAACUACUAUGAAAUUAGUGAGUUCUAAUUAGUUUAAUUAAUAAAUCUUUAUACUAAACUAAGAGAUUUAGAUUUUAAUCAUGUUCACGUGCAUAAGUAGUUACCAAUAUUACUAUGUUUAAGAAAAGUGGUACAAUAGUUUGUUUCAUGUACAUUAUUUUAUUAUUUAUAAUUAAUUAUCACAUUUCUUUUUUUUUUUUAUUAUUAUUGGUUAAAUGAAUCACGAGAUCAAUGGUACGGAUUUAUGAUUGGGAUAUAAGGAAGAAAUCAAUAUGAACUAGCUAAGAAAAUGGAGGAUUAAAAUGAGAAUGGAACAUGAAUCUCUUAAAACAUGGGCAUUUGGUAUCUUGAAUUUUUCUAGUUUAUUAUUAUUAUUUUUGUCGUCGUCGUCGUCUUUGAGGGUGUUUAGGUCAAUUUAUAGUGUAGAUGCCGAUAAGUACAGAAUAGAUGAGUCAACAUAUGUUGAUAGGGAGGUGAAUUCUUUUUCUUUUUUUUUUAUCAUUUUUUAAUGAUUUUUUUUGUCAUUUAUUCUUUUAGCAACUUUAAUUUUUUUUUAAGACUUUUUGUUCUCAGUGGAAACACGAGAUGCACGUGAGGUGGUUGUUAAUUUAGGAGUUGAGUUGAGUUUUUUUACUGAACAUUAAAUUAAUAUUUAUUAAAUAAAAGAAUAAAAAGAUAAAAAUGUAAAAUAAAUUCUAUUAAUAUAUUGUUCGUAAAAAUUAAGUUCAAUAUUGAAUUCUCUAAUUCGUUGUUUAACCUAUAAUUUUGAAAAAAAAUAAAAAAUGGAAAAAAUAAAAAGAAAACAUAAUAAACUAUUAAACCAUAUGACGUUAUAAUAUGAAUACGUUAUCUUGUCACUUUCUUUUUAAGUUAUAUGAUUUUAUAAGUAAAUUUAGAGUCCAGUUAAAUUACAGGGUGAGUAAUUUACAACCCAACCACUUUGUACAAAUAUGAAUAUUUAUAAGAGGGGUCUGGGCUGCAAGUUACUACUAAUGCUUUAACUUAGCGAAAAACCUUAAGUCUAUCUUUUUUGGGAUUAUUUUCUGGGAGAUUGCCACUUUCUCCUUUACAGUAAUUAAUAUAUACCAUUUAUCCCUUUGUUAUUUUGAAAAUGAUAAAAAUCUCAUUGACAGUAUAAGUUACAAUAUUAUCUUUAUUUGUAACUACUCUUUUAUUUAUAUUUAUUAUAAAUUAAAUAAAUUACAUGAAUAUAAACUAAAUAAAAAAAUUAAGUAUUAAAAAUAAGAAAUAUAUGUUUUGAUAUGAGCAAAAAAAUUAAUAAUAAAAUUUUUUUCUUGUAAUUAUUUAUUUUGCAAACAUUUUCUUAUAAUAAACAUUUUGUAAUAUUUUAAAAGUAAAUGUAAAAAGUAUAGGCAAAAUAUUUUAUUAUUUAUCUUAUAAUAAAUUUUUAUUUGUCAUUCAAGUUUUCUUAUAAUAAUUUUUUUAUCAUUUUAUAAUAACUUUCUUAUAUAUUUAUUAUAAGAAAAUUUUUACAAAAUAAAUAAGUACAAGAAAAAAAUUCAUUAUUAAUUUUUUAUAUUAAAAUAUAUAUUUCUUAUUUUUAAUGCUAAUUUUUUAUUUAAUUUAUAUUUAUGUGAUUUAUUUAAUUUAUAAUAAAUAUAAAUAAAAAAAUAAUUAAAAAUAAAAAUAAUAUUAUAAAUUUAUACUAUCAGAGGAAUUUUUAUCCAUUAUAAAAAUAAUAAGAAAAAAUAAUAAAUGUUCAUUACUGUUGGGAGAAAUUCACAAUCUCCUUAUUUUCUCCAUUUGGAUAACAUCACUCGAACUUUAGUUGACCACGUGUCAACAUUUCAAUGGUUUCAUAUCAAAUUAUUAGCUGUGAAUUAUUGAGUGAGAAAACAUACCGGACCCCCAACUUUUGCUUUUACGUGAACAUGAAUCAGAUCCUCUUUUUUUUUUUUUUUUUUUUUUUUCUUUUUGAUAUAGUGAAUCAGAUUCUUGAAAAGCUGUGAAGUGGGGAGCGAUCGUUUAAGUUAUUUAAAUUUAAAGCCGGCAAUAAUUGAAGCCUUAGGAUUGUUAUUGAUUAUUACCUCCACCAAAGCUUUCUGAAAAAACAGAUUAAGAAAAUUUUUUUUUUUUUUGUUUUCCUCGAAACGACAUAAGACGAUCGCUCUUAAUUUUAAAUAACUCCAGUUGACUUACCGUUGAACUGGAAGGACAUAAGGAGAAUGACCUUCUCAUUUUCCAUCUGUCAUAAAAAUUUAUUUAAAAAAUAAGUGCAUAAACUAAGCCGGGCUUAACGUUUUAUUUUUAACCAAUAUAUAUAUAUAUAUAUAUAUAUAUAUAUAUAUAUAUAUAUAUAUUAUAGAAAAUGAUAUUUACAUCCCAAGAUUUAGGAAAAUAGUCACAAAAACUCUUGAGUUUUUAAUAAAGGACACCAAAACUCUUUUUGACCAUAAUGCCUUUUGACUCUAUAAAUCUAAAAAGAAAAAUAACUCUAAAAUUUUAUAAUGAAUAGAAAUAUGACAUUAAAAUAAAUGUAAUAAGAUAUACAUUUCAAAAUAAUUUUAAUAUCUAAAAAUAUUUUAAUAUUUUUAAUCUAUUAGACCUCUUUUAUUAUAUUAAAGCAAUUUUUAAUAAUAAAUAGAAACAAAAUAUUAAAAUAAAAAUUAUUUUGACUAUUAUGUAAAAGUUAAUUUUAAUAUUAUUAAUAGAGAGAUUUUUUAAAUUGUAAAAUCUAUUUAACCCAAAGAUUAUUUAAAAUCUUUUUAAUAUUACAAUUAUAUUAUUAAAAUAAAUAUAAUAAUCUAAAAUUUUAAUAUUAUUUUAAAUGUUAAAAAUAAUUUAAUAUUAUUAGUCUACCAAAUAGAUUUAUAUUAUUUAUAUAAAAUUUGUGUUAGUUAAAAAUUUUUAAAAUCAAUUUUUUAAUUAAUAUAAUCAAAAGUAAUUGUGGGCAAAAAAAAGUUUUUGUAUCUUUUUUUUAAGACUUAAAGAGUUUUUUGUAACUAUUUUCCCAAAUCUUGGAAUGUAGUUAUUCUUUUUCUUUUUUUAUCCCAUCUCAGUUUUUUUACAAGUAUUCAAAUAUUAGUACGUGAAAUAUAUUUUAAAAUAUCCAUCAAUUUAUUAUUUCUUAAAGUACCUUUUAUUAAUAAAUAGCAUAAUACACACGAAGCACCAUUGAUAUUGAUGUUCAUACAUCUGAAUCAAUUUUCGAGUCUACGUCAUGAUUUCUACGUCACGAAUUCUCUUAUUUAAGGCAAACCUCAUAGAGGCAAUCACAAAACAUGAAGAAAAUUGAUUUUGUUCCUAGUCCUCACUUUCUAAAAAGAAUUUUUGUUGAAGCUAUAUAUAUAUAUAUAUAUUGAAUCUUUUGAAAAAAAUUGCUUCCUGAGCAUAUGAUUUCUUGCUGGGUUUCUUCAAUUGCUCUUCUUGUUCAGUUGUUAAAACUUUCCAGUUUCCUCUCUGUAGUACAAAGAAUAUUUGAUCAUUGAAGUGCCACCUUCGUAGUGUUAAUUUCGGUGAUGGAGUCCGCUGCUCAAGUGAGGGAUAUCGAUGCUUUGUAUGAGCUAAUUCGACAUGAUCAAUAUUUUUUGGACAACUUUGACGAGAAACCUUUUGUCGAUACUCCUUUGCAUGCUGCUGCAAGGGAUGGAAAUGUUGAAUGGUCCAUGGAGAUUAUCAGACUAAAGCCAUCAUUUGCCAGGAAGCUAAACCAAGAUGGCUUCUCUCCGGUGCAUUUAGCUUUGCAAAAUGAUCAAACUCAGUUAGUGCUUCAGCUGAUAGAUAUUGAUCCGGACCUUGUUCGUGUCCAAGGAAGAGAAGGCAUCACUCCUUUGCAUUUCGUGUCUGAAAAAGGAGACAUCCAUCUGUUGAGGGAAUUUUUGUCUGCUUGUCCGAAAUCUCUUGAAGAUGUGACCAAUAAAGGCGAGACUGCUCUUCAUAUUGCUUUGAAAAACAAUAACGUCGAAGCUUUUGAUCAAGCCUUAACAACAGUACAACCACCGUGGUUUGACCUUGAAGAAGCUCAACAAUACAAUCCAGGAAUCCUCAACUUGAAGGAUAGGGAUGGCAACACUUUGUUACACAUAGCAACAUCCAAAAGUCAAGUCCAGGCAAGCUCGAAUUCACACACACACAUAUAUAGAAAUUUUCCAAUGAGGUGCAGGCACCCUCAUUUUUUCCUUUUUAAUAUAGACAUGCUGUCUUUUCUUUUUUAAUAUAGACAUGCCGUUAAAUCACGUGCUUUAAUAUAGAUAAUUCUUAAUUCAUUAUAAAGCCAUAUAUUUUAAUAGCAUACCUGUAUAUAGUUUAAUAACGUAUCCGCAUGAGAAAAAAAUGAAAGUGUUUGCAUGAAAAAAAGGACUAUAUAAAUAUAUAUAUAUAUAUAUAUAUAGUAUCUAAUGAACUUAUCUUUAUUUCAACAAAGUAAGGAUGCCAUUAAUAAAUAUAAAAAGAAAAUCUUGAAUAAAUUAAAAUAUGUGUUCUUUUGUAUUUUAUUUACAUCUUUACUUCAUUAAAGUUUCUCUCAUAUACGGUCACAAAUAAAAUUCACAAAUAAAAUUCAGUUGAAUGAUGAUUAGACAGAUUAUUGCUAUUUCCACUUCCUGAUGAUGUCUAAAUUGAUGAAUUUGCUCAUCCAAAGCAGAUUGUAAGGCGUUUAUGGAAUUGCAAAGUUGAUACAAAUGCCCAGAAUUCGGAAGGUUUGACACCUUUAGAUAUUUCAUUACUUGAUCAAACUAAAUCAGAAAACCAAGAGAUUGCGGCAAAGCUGCGGGAAGCUGGAGCACUAGAGGCAACUUCACUUCCUACUACCGACAAGGAUAGACAUUUAUCGAGGUAACAGGAACACUGCUCUUUUACUAAAUUACAGUCCAUUUAUCGAUUAUCUUUUUAAAAACAAUAUGGCAUUUUCAUACUAUGUACAUCUCAAAAAUUGUUUAAUGUCCUUCAGAAGUAAGGAUCAGAGGCUGAACGAGGCUGCUAAAACAGGAAAUGUUGAUGCCUUGUAUGAAUUAAUAUGUGAGGACGCAUAUCUUUUAGAUCAGAUAGACGAAGUACCAUUCGUGGAUACUCCUUUACAUAUAGCAGCAUCAAUGGGGCAUGUCAACUUUGCCCUGGAGAUAAUGAGGUUAAAGCCAUCAUUUGCAAGAAAGCAAAACCAAUAUGGAUUUAGUCCCCUGCAUCUUGCUUUGCAGAAGAAAGAUACCCAAAUGGUGCGUCGGCUCAUAGAUGUGGACAGAAAUCUUGUUCGUGUCCAAGGAAGGGAGGGUGUAACGCCUCUACACUAUGUUGCUGAGAAAGGAAAUGUCGAUAUUCUAUGCCAACUUCUAGAGGCUUGCCCUGAGUCCAUCACAGAGGUGACAAUCCGUAAAGAGACUGCUUUGCAUGUUGCUGCAAAAAAUGACCAGUUGGAGGCCGUUGAGUGCAUGCUAGGAUGGCUUCGAUAUGUCGAUAUGGAGGAUAUCCUUAACUGGACGGACGAUGAAGGCAACACUUUAUUGCAUAUCACAAUCUCCAAAAGUCAAAUAAAGGCAUGAAAUUUUUUUAAAUUUUACUUCAGUUAGUCCCUAUAUUUUCAUGAUUAUUAAUUGCAUGCAUAUAUAAAUAUAUCCUUGCAGUUGGUGAGGCUACUAGUUAAAAGAGCACGUGAUCAAAUAAAUGCUCGGAACUUAGGCGAUAAGACACCCAUGGACAUGGUAGAAGAACAUUUGCGAGGGAAACCUGAAUUUAAAGAAGUAACACGCAUGGUGCGCAAAGCUGGCGGCCGACAAGAGUCCUCCCCUCCUCCUCGUAGGGACGUUGCAGGUUACUUAAAACAAGGUUUGACAUGUCGUCGAAAGGUGCUUUUGUUCUUUUACCGCUCAUCACAGCGCAUUACGGAUGAAAAUCGAAGCGCACUACUUGUGGUUGCUAUACUAAUCGCGACAGCCACAUUCCAAGCAGCGCUUACCCCGUCUGACGAUCUUGAGGGAAAUAAGUCAACUGGAACCCCCAACUCUAUUGCCACUAAUGGAUCACACUCAUCAUCGACAUCGGCAUCGACGUGGGCAUCAGUAUGGGCAUCAGUAAACCAAUCAGGAACAGCAAAUGCAACGGCCUUUGGUGUGAGCAAUGGAACCAGCAGCAGCAUCCCAACAAGUGACAAGAUUCUAUUCGCUCCGGGGCAAUUAUAUCCUGAAGCCAUUAGUGAUACGAUCUCCACACUUUUCGCAUUUUCAAAUAUUACAGCAUUUUUUAUAUCUAUGCUGGUGAUUAAUUAUCACCUCCCGUAUGGCUCCGCAGCUACUCUGGUAUAUCCUCUAGUUAUUUGCUUUUGCCUGUUAGUGGUUGGCAGAACCCCGGUGUCGCUACUUGCCUCACUUUCAAUGCUUAUCGUCUUUCGGAUUUGUUUAUUUGUACAACUGGACUUCUCCAAGAUUCGAUUUAGACGAAGCUUCUGGAUUACACAAGUUUUGGGCUCCGUUUUCAAACAUUAUAGAAGCUUCCUCAAUAAGAUAAUGAAAGAUGCUGAAAAAUAGCUAUAAUGCCAAUAUGCUGCCAUGGAUAAAACACAUGUCCGUUGGUCUGUUGAUGUUCUCUGCUGGCUUGGCUUUAUCUACUUAGUGUGACACUUCCUCUCAAGUAAUAUUGCUGGUUUUAUUUUGCGUAAGAAGGUGUGCUUUUGUGUACUGUAUUUUCUGAAUUAUGUUCGUUUGCUUUUGCUUCAUUUUGUAAGGUCUUCGCAUGUUUCAAUGUAAUAUUAAUUACUCUUGUUGUAUCUGAUAGUUGUACUGUUCACCUUCGUGACUGUGAAUAUAAUGAUGUUAAUUUAAUUAAAACUAUAUGCUUGUUUGUUUGAUAAGAAAAUGAAGGAAAAUUUAUUGACUUAGAGAGGAAAAACAGAGAUUGAAACUAUAUGCAUCUGGAACUUUCCAAGUGUAACAGAAUCAUAUACACACUCUCUGAUAUUCACCAUAACAAUUUGGUGGGAAAUAAAAAACUUUUAACAACUUGCAUUACAAUCUUCCAGUAGGUUCCAGCAGCUUGUCCAGCUUGGCAUCUGACAUCAAUUAGUUGACUCAACUUAUUCUUAACAAAUUUUUAUGAACAUAUGAAAUAUCAAUAUCAUUGGGCUUUUGAUGCUCCCACCCACAGGCUACUUAAAAUUGUACCUAUAAAAGUCUGUUAGAAGAAAAGCUGAUUCAAAAUACUUACGGCAAUAUAUGAAGAAAAACAAUCAACAAACAGCAAACACACAAACAUAGCAAUAAAAGAAGACAAGGCAAUGUUUGAUGAGAUUAAAAAGCUGACACAUGUAGCAUAUAUAUUUACGUUUUCUUGGAGAGAGGAAACCGCUGUUGGAUCUUCAUUGAUGAACCCUUCAACAGGCCUCCAAAAGGCUCUGCUGGGUCAUAAUAAAUCGCAACAUCCCCUGGCCUAAUUGAUUCAUCAACCUAUGUAUCAGGUUUUUCAUUCAUCAGCAAAGAGUUUCAGCAAUUGAUCUAAAAAAUAAAGACUGCUUUUGACACUCUAUAUAUAUGUGUGUGUGUGUGUGUGUCUUUUCCAGACAUUAGCAGAUCUAAAAUACUGUAGUAGAACAUACAUACAUAUGUAUAUGUAUAUAUAUCCAGCGGCUCAUGGAGCCCUUUUUCUUUUUUUCUUUUUAUUUUGCAGGCUGCACGUGGUGGGAGCGCCCUUUAUCCUCCUCUUUUUUUUUUUAAUUUUGCAGGCUGCGCGUGGUGGACCUUUGAUGUCCCGCAUCGGAUUACUAUCCUCUCUCUCUCUCUCUCUAUAUAAUUGUCCAGUUAUUUCUAAAUUUUAAGCAAUUUAGAUUUAGUGAUGAUUUAAAUGUCAAAAUUUAAAAUUUUUAUUUUUCUUUUUGAAAUUUCGAUAUCCAAGAGAUUGCAGUAAUAAUAACCCAAUUAAACUUCCACCAGUGAAACCACUUCUCCAUGAGAUCUUAUUGUAAAUGCACAAAAAGUUGAGGGUACCAUGCAUAUACAGGAGCGCCGUAGCUGAACCCUCAAAUUAUUUAAUUGAGGACAAAUUGUAAAAAGAUAACCUUAUUAUCGAAGUCAUGGAGUUCUAAUAUGAAAAUGGCUAUAGCUUUCUAUUGGAACAGAAGCCUGUUAAAAUAUAAUAUUUCUCUCUAAAAUCAUCUAACAAAUUAAUAAUGAAGAUUUCUUUAUAAUGUUGUAUGAGUUUUUAUAGUAUUAAUAGUCGAAUUGUUGUAGAUUCUUGAAUUUUAAUGUUUUAAUCUCUACCAUUCAUUUGAUAUAGUGGAUAAAAAAAAUUAAUUAUUUAAAUAAUAACAGGUAACCUUCAGGUUGCAAGUAAAUGUGGAUUUUUUUUUUUAAAGAAAAUUUAUAUUAUGUUGGAUAAAAACCCCACAUUCAAUGGUGGGAUCAUUUGAUUUAAUAUUAUAAUCUUUACCCUUAAUUUAAUUUUAAUAGUUAAGUAAUUAUGUAGCAAAUAAUUUGCAAGUUGUGAUAUUUCUUCAUACUUUAAAUUAUUUUUUAUCUAAUCAACUGAUAAAUACAAAUAAUUAAUUUUGGAAUUAAAAUUGUUAUGUACUGGUUCUAUCACUUUACAAUUUUACAUUUUUUUUUUUGCUUUUACAUUUAGCAUUAAAAAUAUAUGUAAUAACAUUAAAAUAAAUGUAAUUAACCAGUAAUAUUAUUUCAACAAUACUUUAUUUAAAGAUAUUUCAUAAAAUCUUAUAACAAUUUGUAUUGUAUGAAUUUAAUUACAAAGCCAUUAAUACUUAGACAAUAAUGAAUUGGCAAUGGAGAUUAUUAAGCUAAAGCCUUCAUUUGCCAAGAAGCCCAACCAAGAUGGCUUCUCUCCCAUGCACUUGGCUUUGCGAAAAUGGUCAAACUCAAACAGUGCUUCAGUUGAUAGAUACUGAUCCGGAACUCGUUCGUGUUAAAGGAAGGGAAGGCAUCACUCCUCUGCAUCAUGCGUCUGAAGAUGGAGACCUGUAUCUCUUGGAGAAAUUUUUGUCUGUUUGUCUGAAAUCUCUUGAAGAUGUGACAAAUAAAAGCGACACUGCUCUUCAUAUUGCUUUGAAAAACGAUAAGGUUGAAGCUUUUCAAGUCCUAACAAGAUGCCCUCCGUCGGUCAUUGGCCUUAAAGAAGCUGAUCAAUGCUACAACAAAAGAAUCCUCAACUCGAAAAAUAGGGAUGGCAGCACUCUGCUACACAUUGCAACAUCAAAAAAUCAAGUCCAGGCAAGCUUGAAUUAAUAUGCUAAAAAAAUCGGUUGAGUGAUUACAUUAUUGAUAUUGCCACCUGUUUUUUGUUUUAAAGUUUCAGAGUUUGUAUAUUACAUAGUGUCGCGCCUUCUAUUUUUGUGAGCUGUAGAGCUCUCACUCACACCUAACUUACUUAGGACCGUUUUCUAAGUAUUUAGGGAGUAGAUGAUUCCUAAUUAAUUAGAUUAGGAGUAAGUUUUUCUAAAGAUAAUCAUGCACAUAUUAUUAUGUUUUCCCUUUUAAGUAUGGUUUCUUCUCAUUCGAUUAGGAUACCUUAUAGUAGCAAUAUUACUUAAGACUUGUAUAUAAAGACCUCUUUGCAAGCAUAUAAUACAACAAGAUCUAAGCCAUAAUUAAUUUGCUCUCUAAGUUCCCACAUUCUCUCUUUCUUUGCCGUGAUGCUACAUUAAGAGUGUGAAAAUCAGAAAAAGGACAAAAGACCCCUGUGGUUUAGUGAAAUAGUUAUGAAACCUACUUAUUUUUAGAAAUAAUCAUAAAUACACCUUUUAGGAUACACAAACCCAAUUUAUUUGCCAAACUUUAGGGGUCUAUAUGACUUUUCUAAAUGUGAAAAUGAUUUACAUGUCCCCAAAAGGGGUAAUGUCGGACUAUUUCUGAAAACAAUCAGUCUCUAUAUGAUCAAUUUACUGAAUUUAUGAGUGUUGAUGUCUUUUUUCCUACUACAUCUUAUAGCUUAAACACAGACUCACAAGCAAAUAAAGAAUUGAUUUUUUCCAUAUUAAACAUGUCUCAUUACGUUAUUCUAGUUUUGUACCAUAUUGUUACAUUCCUUCAUCAUCUAGACCUAAUAUCAAUGGCUUUCAAUCAAUUACAUUACAUUACAAAAUGAUGUAGAAGAUAUCAUAUGAUAUUUGUCUUAUUACAGUAUUACACAUGACAUUGCAACCUUAAUUAAUAUAAUCAACCUAGAGUGUUCUUGCUCUACAAGUUAUACACUAGGUGAAAUCAUAGCCCUUGAUUUUGACACUUGAUGAAGAUUCAAUCAUUACUUGAUAACUUGUAGAAUUCAAAUCAAAUGCUUCUCUGAAGCAUUUCAUCAAACAACUUAUUCCAAAUAUCAAACACCCACUCUUUUAACUUCAAAACUACCUAACGACUUUGUAUUCACAUGUCCCAGCAGAUUGUAACGAGUUUAUUGAACUGCAAAGUUGAAAUAAAUUCUUUGAAUUCUGAUGGCUUGACACCUUUAGAUAUUACAUUACUUGAUCAAACUCAGUCAAGAAAUCAGGAGAUUGAGGAUAUGCUAUGCAGCGCUGGAGCAUUAGAAGCAACUCCACUUCCUAUUAUGGCCAACUGCACAAAUGUAUUGAGGUAAAACAACUCUUUUGCUAAACUAUGGUCCAUAUAUGGAUAAUAAUUUUAAAUAAUAUAUUUCAUUAAUUUGCAUUUUCCAUGUUAUGCACAUUGUAAUUACUUGCUAAGAAUAUUGCUUAAAUCAAUUAAUUAAUGUCCUUCAGAACGGAUCAGAGGUUGAACGAGGCUGCUCAAGUAGGAAAUGUUGAUGCCUUGUAUGAAUUAAUAUGGGAGGACGCAUAUCUUUUAGAUCAGAUAGACCGGGUACCAUUUGUGGAUACACCUUUACAUAUAGCAGCAUCGAUGGGGCAUGUCAACUUUGCCUUGGAGAUUAUGAGAUUGAAGCCAUCAUUUGCAAGAAAGCAAAACCAAUAUGGGUUUAGCCCUUUGCAUCUUGCUUUGCAGAAUUCACACACUCAAAUGGUGCUUCGGCUCAUAGAUGUCGAUAGAAAUCUUGUUCGUGUCCAAGGAAGGGAGGGUGUAACGCCUCUACACUAUGUGGCUGAGUGAAGAAAAUAUGAAACGAAGUGUUUGGCUUAAAAGAAAAUAACAGAGAAAAUAAUCUUCUGAUUUUCCAGAACUUUUAUUUUCAUAUAAAGAAUGAUUACAUCACUUCUAUUUAUACUAACUAAACAAUAACUAAUUAAGAAUCAACUCCAGCUAAUCAUUUUUUCAGUACACACUGUGAGUAAUAACAAACUUUAACUAAUUAUGCUAAGCUAGCAGUCUGGACUGUUGCGUUGCUUAACAGCUUCUGAUAGUUUGACUUGAGUUGACCCAAGCUUUGUUUUCUCAUGCUCUGCAUAAUGUGCUUCCUUAACACUGAGAAGGGAAAUGUCGAUCUUCUAUAUAAAUUUCUAGCAGCUUGCCCAGAGUCUAUCCUGCAGGUGACAAUUCGAAAAGAAACUGCUCUGCAUGUUUUUUUCGAAAUAUUAGAGGGACUUUUAUCCAUAUGUCUAAACGUUGUGAGUGUGUUAGUCUUUUUCCCUAUUUACAAGUACAAUUGUAAAUUUAUUUUCCCAUUCUUCUUCCCUUCUCUUCAAAAUUCAGCCCGAUUUUCUCCAUUUAAUCAUUCGCAUCUACAACAUUGCAAAUCUAGAAUUAGAAUUAAAAAUUCUUAUGAUUUUCCAAUACCAAUAAGUCAGUAAAUCAACUAUUAUAGUCAAAACCAAACCCUAAAAUAAAAUUAUCAUUUUUUUCCUUCAUCCUGUUCUCAAAAGGGGUUAUCUUUGUUGCUAGGCAUGUGGUGUUUAACGAAUCAGAAUUUCCUUUCUCUACGGAUCCUCAAUUCUCUAAGCAAUCUUCUACCUCUGUUUCCGAGUAUAGACAUCCUAUGUUUAAAACUUCUUCUGUGUUAGUUCUGCUACAUGAUCCUUCAGGCUCAAGUGACAACACUGUACAACAGCUUCAGCUCCAUGCAGUUCCAGCUUCCUCUUCUUCCUCUAGUUCUUCAUCAUCAUCACCUUUACCUCCAAAUCCAUAUUUCCCUGAUCCUUAUCACAAUAUGUCCCAUAAUUCCCAACACUCUUCUUCUUCUACAUCUAUUGUGCCUAUUCCACAGCCUUCUGUCCCUGCUCAUGUACCAUUGGCAACUCAUCCAAUGGUUACAAGAGCAAAAGCAGGAAUAUUUAAGCCAAAGUUUCUUGCAUAUUCUUUUGUUCUUGAAGAACAUGAACCUGCUACAAUUUCUCGAGCUCUCUCAAAUCCUAAACGGAAAGCAGCAAUGCAGGCUAAGUAUGAUGCACUCAUGAAAAAUGAAACUUGGGUUCUUGUUCCAACCUCUCAAGCUACUAAAGUUGUUGGUUGUAAAUGGGUGUUUCACAUUAAGUAUAAUGCAGAUGGCUCUAUAUCUGAGUACAAAGCUCGUUUGGUUGCAAAUGGGUUUCAUCAAACCCCUGGUAUUGAUUACUUUGAGACUUUUAGUCCAGUGGUUAAGCAAUCUACUAUGAGAAUUGUACUUAGUCUUGCUGUUAUGAAGAGCUGGAAAAUAAGGCAGAUAGACAUCAACAAUGUUUUCCUUAAUGGGCAGCUCAAUGAAGAUGUUUACAUGUUUCAACCUGAGGGAUUUGUCUAGCUUUCAUCUGGUCAUGUUUGUAAAUUGCUUAAGGCUCUUUAUGGUCUAAAACAGGCUCCUAGAGCCUGGUUUGAUUGGUUAAGGAAAGCAUUGUUGAAGUGGGGGUUUCAGAGCUCAAGAACAGAUUCAUCUUUAUUCUUUAAACAUGAACUUGGAGGUAUUGUUGUUGUGUUGAUAUAUGUUGAUGACAUUCUUAUUACUGUAGAUAAUAAUACAGUGAUUGAAAGGUUCAUCAAAUAUCUUGGAGAUACUUUUGCUUUAAAAGACCUUGGUGAAUUCAAUUACUUCCUUGGUAUUGAAGUUACUCAAGGUACAGAGGACAACUUACAUCUCUCACAAGCCAAAUAUGUAAGAGAUUUGCUCACAAAAACUGCAGAGAAAGUGAUACUCCAAUGAGUACAAGACAGAAACUAAGAAGAGCAAGAAAUGAAGAUAAUUUGAUUGUUAAUGUUACUGAAUAUAGAAGCAUAAUAGGUGCAUUGUAGUAUUUGGUACUCACAAGGCCAGAGCUUGCUUUCUCAGUAAACAAGUUGAGUCAAUUUCUUGCUGCAUCUACAGAGAAGCAUUGGACUGCUUGUAAGAGAAUUCUAAGAUACUUAAAGACAACUGAGGAUUAUGGCUUGCUAUUUAAACCAGGUGGUGGUGUUGUCUUAACUGCAUAUACUGAUGCAGAUUGGGCAUGUGAUGUUGAUGAUAGGAAAUCAGUUGGAGCAUAUUGUGUUUAUCUUGGGCAAAAUCUUAUUUCAUGGUCUUCUGAGAAGCAACAAACAAUAGCUAGAUCUAGCACAUAAUCAAAAUAUAGAGCAUUAUCAACAUCAUGUGCAGAAAUCGUUUAGGUUCAGGCUUUGCUUGGUGAACUUAAUAUUAAGUGCAAUCAAACACCAAUAAUCUGGUGUGACAACAAUGGUACUGCUGCAUUGACAACAAAUCCAGUAUAUCAUGCUAAAACCAAGCACAUAGAAUUAUAUGUACAUUUCAUAAGAGAGAAUGUGACAAAUAAACAAGUGGAAAUCAAGUAUGUGCCUAGUGAAUGGAAUAUUGCAGAUGUGCUUACAAAGCCUAUGGCUUACUGCUUUUUUAAUUACUGUAGGACAAGCUUAAUGUUGUUUCAUGACCGUUAAGCUUGAGGAGGAGUGUUAAGAUGCUUAAUCAACAGCAGUAGACCAGUGGCUGAGAUUUGUGCGACAAGGAUUGCUGAGCUGGACAAAUUAGUUAAGUUGUUGUAAUUAGUUUUAGUUUAGCCAAUAGAUGUAUUACAGUUGUACAAAAGGUUGUUAUUACUGUUGAUCAACAAUAUAAGUUUGCUACGAGCUAAAUGUAAUUCAUAUAAUUCAUAUCAAUAAAAUUUUCUCUGAUUUAGUUACUUUUCUUUCUUCUUUCCGUCACUUUCCUACUAACCAAACAAACUAUCAACCUAAGAUCCGUGAGUUCUAACUUUUACAAAUGUAAUAAUUACCAUGAAUUUACAAAAACUUGCAGCAAAUAUUUGUGUCCCAAUAGGUUGACAAUUGCAACACAUAUCGAAAAACUGUAAUAGUACCCUUCAUUAUAAUUACUUGACCAUAGUCAGUGGCGAACUAUGUAUACGCCUGGCAGCCGAGGUGUCGAGAAUUUAAUUUAACAGGGGUGCCUAAGUUCAAACACUAACAUAAUUUAAAAAAUGGUCAAUAAAUAACAAAUAUUAAAAUAUUUAGGGCUAGUUUGGUAAUCUUAUAACUUUUAAAAUAAUUGUUGUUACUUUCGCUGUAAAAAUAAUAAGUUGUGAAUAGAAUUAGUUAAACGUUUGACAAAAUUUCUUCUUAAAAGUGCUUUUGUAAAUCUCAUUGUUGAACUAUUAUAAGAGUUUAAAUGAUUAAAAUGGACAUAAUAUUAAAUAAAAUAUAUUAUAUAGAUAUAAAUACAUACAUAUAAUAUUUUUUAUUAUGUAUAUUAGUAAUUGAUAACUAAAUAAUUAUCUUUAUUUUAUUAAUUAUUUUUUAUCUCAAUAUAAUUAAUAAUAAUAAUAAUAAUCUCUAGAUUUAAUAAUUUUAUUUCCUAAUUGAAUAAGAAUAAUUUUAGAUUUUUAUAAUAUAUGUAAGGAUAUAUAUGGAAUUUUAUUAAUUAGAAAACUUAUCCUAAAAAUUAGAUUUUGAAAGCCUACUUCUUUUUUGCUUUCCAAAAUAUACUGUAUAUAAGAUACAGUGAUUUUACCGAAAGUGAUUUAAAAAAAAAAAAUCUACCAAACAGUAAAAUUAAAGUUUAACUUUUAAAAUCACUUUUAAGUCUCUCAAAACUAAUCCCAAAUAGGCCCUUAUUUCAAUACAAUUAUAAUUGUUCUCAUGUAUUUUCAUAUGUUAAAAAUAUUGAAGAAUAACCUCAUUAUCAUUACUACAAACAUAUUUUCUUCUACGUAUACAAUAAAACUAUCAUUCAACAAUUGGUUUCCCAUAUGAUUUUGUGGAAGCUUUUUCAGAAAAUUCAUAGCUGAAAAUACCCUUUCUAAUUUAGUUGUGUUACUUGAUAAAAUCAUUGCUAAUGUUACCAACAUAUAAAUUAAUGAAUACAACUAUCCAUUAUCUCAACCAUUUUUCUUGCUAACUCACCAGUCUCUUUUAAUCUUAAAAAUGUUGUCAAAACCCACAUUCAUAAUAUAAUCAUCAAGUUGAAUUUCAAGUGCCAUAAUGCAACAAUCUUUCUUUAUGGGUUCAAAGUGUUAAAAAGAAUAUUUAAUAUUUUACUUGUUUUUAAAUUUUAACAAGGGCGUUAUGGUAAAUCAAAUAAAAAUAGGACAAAUAUUAAAAUAAAUUUUAAAAAAUUAAAAAAUUGAAAAAGGGUUUCAGCCCCUGUUAAAAUGGCACCACAUCUAAAGCCUAGGGUGCCUUGAGGCAACAUACCAAUAAUAAUAAUAAAGAAAGAAAUCAAGAAAAAAGAGACAUAAUAAUAAGUAGUAACAUUAGCAAUGUUAAUUAUAUUUUAUGUUUUGACCCCUAUAAUUUUACAAGUUGAUUUUAUGUUACCGCCUACUCAAAUUUAUGGUUUUGGUCAUUGUGUUUGGCCCUCUCAAUUUUAGUGAUUCUAUACUGUAUGAAAUGUAAGUUAUGCAACCCAAGAGGGGGGUGAAUUGAGAUUUUAAAACUUACGCUAAACAAUUCGCACAACAAUUUAAUGUAUUGCCUUAAUCAAAUGUAAAAACAAUAAAUUCAGUAAAGCACAAUACUAAAAGAGUAAGUACAAUAAUAAAAGAGUAAGGGAAAAGAAAGCAAACACAACAAUUUUUACGUGGUUCGGCAAUCCCCGCUUACGUCCACGCCUCCAAGCCAACCAAACUCGAGGAUUUCACUAUCAAAGCCUCCCCAAAGCUUUAAGUUCUUACAAUUAACUUCCAAGGUGUCAAUGAACCUUUACAAUGAAGAGAUUAUCUCCCCAAUCUAUUCACCUGAAGUGUUUCUCACACUUGUACACUUACAAUUUGAUGAGAAAUGAACAAUUACAACAAAAACUCUCUUUAAGAGUGGAUUUACAAAUAAUAGCAUAAUAAUAAUUCAAUAAAUGAUGAUUUACGAAAUGGAACCUCAAUAUGUGUUAUAUGAUCUUAUUUAUGCUUGCAUUAGUCUUGAAAAUGAAAAUGGAGUUAAGGUUUUAUAGCUAAAGCCCGAAAACUAACCGUUAUAGGCAAAUUCCAGCGCUCAAGCGGUUAGCCGCUUGAUUUAUCCAGCUAGCCGCUCCAGAACAAUGAUGUUACCAUUAAAUUUGAAUUUUGCUACAAUAUCAUUGUUCAUUAAAUUACAUUUGUGACCAAAACUUUGUAUAAUUAUAUUAUAGCCCAACAUGUCAUAAAACUUUGCAAAUAAGUCUAAUUUCAGAAUUUCUAAAUAAUACCUGUCAUUCCUAAAUCUUAUUGUAAUUAUGAUAUGACCUAGUAUAUAAUAACAUUUUUCAAAAAGGUCCUUUUCAAAAUUUAAAAUAAUACCCAUAAAUUUUAAAGUUCUCAAAUCUUUUCAAUUUAGUCCAAAAUUUGAAAAUAUGAGACUUUCCUCAGGUGGUUAGCUGCUCACUCUCUGUCCAAUUUUUUAUUUCAAUUGUUUGUAUUAUGUUUGGGUCCUCAAACUUUCUUAAAUUGUAAUAUGACCCAAAAUAUUUCAAAUAUUUGCAAAUAAAUCUAAAUUCAAAAUUCAAAAUUCAAAGCAAUAUUUAAUAAAAUAAAAGAUUGCAAAACUUUUUCAUUUUAGUCCAAAUUACUCAAAUCCACAAAAUACUUUAUGUUAUAAAUAUAAAACCUUUUAGUUUAUGAAAGGUAAUUAUUUAAAUAAACUCUUGAGUUUCUCAAAUGCUAAAUCAUGCAUCAAUUAAAUCAUACCGACUUUACAAGAAUUUGUCACAAUAAUUUGUCUGUUGAGCUCUAAACUUAUUCUUGAUUUUGCCGUUGUCCGUUGAGUGUCUUGAACUUGAUUCACUUGCAUAAAUAUUAUCCUUAAAAAACUAGUAAAAAUGUGAAAUACAAUAUUUAUUAAAUCACUUAAGACACAUAUUUGUUAUCAUCAAAAUUAUAUUAUGGAUAGCCCUUUAGGGUAACAUUGUGGCUUACUCAAGUAUAUAGUUUCUUCAUUCGGCCCCAAAACCAAAAUCCUAAGAGUAUCUCCAAAAAGUUCUAUUAAUUUUACUCUUCAAAUAUUUAUUUGCUUAUCUAUGUGGUAAAAAGGAGAGUGAAAAAAUAUGUUAUUCUCCAAAAGACUCUUUAAAUAGAAAUAAGUUAAUAUUAUUUUAAUCAAAUAAAUAUUUUUUCAAAGGAAAAAUAAAUGGUAAUUAAAGCAUUUCUCUCUCUCUUUCUCCCCAAUAAAAAAUAAUAAAAUAUAAAUUGAAGAGAGAGAAAGUAACUCUACAAAUUGAAGAGAGAGAAUUAUUUCUUAUUUGAAAAAUCUUAAUUAGAGUAUAUUUUGAAGUCUUAAAUACUGAUGUAACUCUUCAAAUAAGUAAUAAAAUCUUAUUUGAAGAUUUUUUUGGAUAUGCUCUAACUUCACCACUAGAUUUACUUGAGUAUUCAACAAUACCCGACUUACUUGAGCGUAGAUGAUUUAGUUAUACUUAAUUGACUACUAAAACAAUUUAUUCAACUUACUCGACGAUACUUUACUUAGCUCACUCCAUGUACUAAUAUUUUACUAUUUUUCUAAGUGGUACAUUUAAUUACAAAAAUCCAUGAAAAUUUGAUAAUGAUGAAAUGCUUAAUAAAUAAGGGUAUUUGGUCAAAUCAUAACAAUGUUUGUUAAACACUGGUCUAAUAAUAAGUAGUCAUUUUCUGAUGAAAUAAAAUUAAAGCUGAAAAAAUUUAACAUGACUGGUUUACUCUAUACAAAUACAAUAUGAAUAAAUAUGUAUCUAUCAUGAAAAUUGACAUGAUUAUUAAAUGAAUUUGGUCUAAGUCAACCCAAUUGUUUCCCGUGUCAGGCUAGAAUUCAAUUUUUCAAUGCAUUUACUUGGUCAAUGACGUGAUUAUUAAUUAGUUAACCAAAACUAAUUCAUAUUUGCAUUAAAAUAUACUUAUAUUUUCAAUUCUAAAUUAAUUUAUAGAAUCUUAUCAUUAAAACUCAAAAUUUGGUCAUGAUUCUAGUGAACAUAUAUUUGAUGUUCUAUUUUGUAAAAUUCUUGAUAGAUUUAAAACUUCAAUGGUUCAUACAUGUUGUAUUUGCAUCAAAUGAGUGUGUAGUAUUUGAUGUAAAUCGUGUUAGAAUUUAAAUAGGUAUUCAGUGAAUUUUUAGGUUAAAUCAUGUUAGAUGACACAACUACCUAGUCAUUAAAAGAGCGUAUCAAGUCACUAUUUUAUUUUUCGUAUCGAGUUCAAGUUUUAAUAUUUUAACAUUUUAUUUUUCGUAUCAAGUUUAAGUUUUAAUAUUUUAACACAAUUAUUAAAUAAGUCGUGUUUUAACCAACAUAAAUUUAAAACAACACAAAAUUGACACAAUAUGAGUGGCUUAAUGACCUAUUUUGUUAGUUUUAUUUAAAACCCUCUAAUCUAUAAAAAAAAAUAAAAAACGGUCCAUGGGCCUAGCCCAAAUAUAUAUCCAACAAAACCAGCUCCCGCUCAAAUCACACUCUCUCGGUCGUUCCCUUCACUCUCCAAAACCCCCCAUUCCAAACAAAACCCUCAUUUUUCCCUCUUAACGAAGUCACUUUCUCGAGAACCAAACAUUCCCUUAGAUCUCCAAUUUCAUAAUGAGAGAAGAUGAAAUAGAGAAACUUCGAGGAUUGGUUCGCGACUGUGUGAGUAAGCAUUUGUACUCGUCGGCCAUUUUCUUCGCCGAUAAAAUCGCCGCUUUGAUCAAUGACCCUACUGGCGUUUACAUGCAGGCUCAGGCUCUGUUCCUUGGCCGCCACUACCGCCGUCCAUUUCACCUCCCUAACGCCUCAAAAAUUGUGCUCCGUGACCUCCGAUUUCGUUACUUGGCUGGUAAGUGUCUGGUAAAGUUCUGUUUUUUGAUUGCAUUAGAAAAUUUGAAUUUCAGAUUUUGGGAUUUGUGCUUUUUGCGUUUUUAGUUUUUUUUUUAAUGUUAUGAAAAAGGGAAAUUUUGAAAAUUUUAACUUGAAAUUGGUGUUCUUUUUAUUUUAGAACAAAAGAAUUUCAAUGAAAAAUAUGUGGAAAUUGAAUUGCUCUAGCAAAUUUGCAUGUGUUGUGUGUUUUAAGAAAAUGAAAACUAGAUUUUAAGCAAUUAAGGAGAAAUUAUCGACUUUGAGCUGAAUGGUUUUGAUCAAUUUUUUCUUGAAUGUUUAUUUGUUUAUACAACUGGGUAGUUUUUCUUUUACUUAUUUAUUUCUGGUCUGUCCUUUGUAUAAUUAGGAGGAACUGAAGGAGUGGGACUAGUGUUUGUCGAUGCUCGGUGAUGCUAAGGUCGAUGAAGAUGGUAAUGUUUUUGACACAAAGGAUAGCAAUGUCAUGUACUUAGAUAAAGAUGGGGAAGACAGAGAAAUCAAUGUAAGUUUUUGUUUGUAAUCUCAUUUUAUCUGGCCUUUUAUUUUUUAAUUUGUUGCAUAUUUGUUGUAUACUUGACCCAAUAUUUCUUUUUUCUAUUACAGAUCUCUUCAGCUAUAUGCUUUUUGAGAGGCAAAGCAUAUGAAGCCUCAGGAAAUUGUGCCCAAGCUCGGCUGUGGUUAGUUUCUUGCGAUGAAUUUACAUGAAAAUCACUCUGCUUAAUUGUAAAAUGCUUUAUGGUUAUUUUCCCUUAGUUUUUCAGUCAAAAUGAUACCAACUUAUACUGUCUAACAGUCUUCUGUUAUAGUAACUUAGGUGUAGUAAUUUAACGUACUGUUAAAGAAAGGAAAUGACUUUAUUGUUUUAAUGGGAGAAUUUUGAACAUUGUUAUAAACUUGUUUAAGUUGGGCAUAAGUAAAUUUAUCUUCAAUUUCAUUACUGAGCAGAUUUUGUUUGAAUGCAUGAAUGUUUGAUAUAUGUGUUUAAUAGCCAAGGAGUUUGUUUAGAUACUACUUUAAGAAUUAUCUAUAUAUAGAUUGGGUAGUCUAGAAAACUCUCCUUGAUUAAAUCAAUGUAUAAUUUUGAUAAGACAGUUUAAAAUGUUAACAUCCCAUGUCUUCUGGAGUCCAUUUGGUGACACAGGAAUGGUAGUAUAUGCUGGGAUGGUUUAGUUCAAUAAGGCUAUUAGUUCUGAUCUGCUUUUUCAAAGAGGUUGAUUGCCAAAUUAACAGCCACAUGAAGGAGAUUGUCUUUUUUUUUUUUUUUUUUUGUGUAUCCUGAAUUGUUUUUGCUUCCAACCACAAUUCUGGUCUUCUAUUGGUUCACACUUCCUACUUCUAUCUCGAUGAUUUUAGCUGCAAUACCUCAUUACUAAAUUCAGCUCUAACAACAGAGGAACUUAUUUGCUUCCUCUUUAUCUUGUUCCAUUACUAGCUUUCAUGUGCAGCAUUUUUAGAAUGUUAAAGACUAAUAGUACAGAAAGGUGGUUUUAAAUCAAAUGUAACAAGAUUCAAUUGACAGAUCAGCUAUGCUUCACUCCAUGUGGUUACCUACACACCUGGAUAUUUGUUUUAGAGUUUUAUGCUGUCUGAAUUAGUGGCCUCAUUUUGUUAUCUGAUUGAAAGCUUGCAUGUAUUUCGGUAAGUUAGGUUCUUCCCUCAACUCUUUUUCUUUAGUAACUAUCAUGGUAUUGUUUUAUAACCUUAAUUAGCUUCUCUUUGGUUUUUCAUUUGUCAGUAUAUCUGCUCUAUUCUGUUCAAUUCCUUUUUCUCUAUUCUCUCAGUUAUGUUGAACUAAAACGCUAUAGUUCAUACAAAGGCUUGCUAUAUUUUUUCAUAAUGAUUUAAGGUACAAAGCAGCAAUCAUAGCUGAUCCUUUGUGCUAUGAGGUAUGCAUGACACGCUAUCAAUGUUUUUUUUUUUCCUUUCCCCCUAGGGAUAAGCUGGUGGGGGGAGCGUCCCGUUCUCAAAAACUCCUUACCUUGAAUUUUGUGGCUGCAUAAAUUUCAGACAUGACUUUCUAUGCAAAAUAUUACAACCUGUGGAAACUGUUGCCUUCUCAAGGAUUAGAAAAUUACUCAAAAGAGGGCUAGAUUUUUUGAGCUAGGCUUGUCCCUUUUUUUUUUUUUGUAAAUAGAAUUUUAAUCCUUUUCUUUAAUUUGACCUCUGCUGAUCACAUAGAUGUCUCAUUUGGAUGUUCCUUAUAAGAUAUAUCGAUUCUCAUUCUUUAUGAUUUUUUUUAUGGCUGUACCUUGAUUUCUUUUUCAGGCUUUGGAAUGCCUUAUAGAAAAUCACAUGCUAACAUGCGAGCAAGGUAAUGAUGUAGUUUUUUCCUAGUCAUCUGUUUCUUUCAUCUGAGAGAAGUGGAUUAUGAAAAUGUUUACAUUUUGAAUUAUAGUUCUUACAUAAGUGUGCACGCGCACACACACACACACACAUAAAUGAAAUUAUAGUCACACACAAACAUGUUGAUAUAAAUUUAAUUUGGCAAAAAUUUCUUUGGCUGUGUUCAACUAGCAUUGGAUCUUUCAUGGAACAUGUUAUAAUAGGCUAAUACUUUAAAUUUUUGGAUUUGCUGUUGAAUUUCAGAAACAAGUUUACUUUCAUCAUUGGAAUUUGGUUUUGAAGAUGGAUGGCUUUCUUCAUUCUACUCAUGUUUGAUAAAAAAGGUGAACUGUGUGCAAAUUCAUUAUAUGCUCUUCCAAAUGUAAACAUUUCAAUAAUAAGUUUCCCAUAUGUUUUCGUGAUGUUGAUUCUUUUUGCUGUGUUUGAGUGCAGUGAACAAUUUCUUUCCUUCUUUCCUGUCUCCCUUUGUUUUAUGCAGUAUGACAAGGAGAAUGUUGUAGAAGCCAAAUUUGGAGAAAUUGAAAAAGAAAGAUGUGAUAGUGUCCAUUCGAGCCCAUCCUUCUCACACAGUCUGAAAAACAAUACUGAUCUUUUAGAGGGCUUAUUAUUCUGUCGACCUGCGAUACUAGAUUUCAGAAAUCUUCUCUUCACACAGUGUUCUUGGCUCUCUAAUUGUCAAAAAGUUGAACAGCCUUUUUCUGUCUGAUGCAUCAUAUAUAUGCAGUUUAAUAUUUGUGGACUUCAAUAAUAUUGAUUACCUUGAUUAUAAUAUUUUCAAUUGUAUGGUUUUUGGGUUUCUUCUUGGUAGGGAAGAUUUUUGUCUUUUUCUUUUUUUGACUUGAUUCUUCUUCUUUCUUAUUAUUAUUGUUACUGUUUCCCAUUCACAAGGAAAAAAUUGGAACUUGCUCCACCUCGCAAAAGUUUUAGAGCGCAUUUAAUUCUCGAAUUGGGGAAUUGGAAUGGAGAAUGGGAAUGAUUGAUUGUGUUUACUUGCUAAAAACAUGAAAUAAUGACGAUCGAUUUUGGGUGGAGCUCACAAGUUUGGGAAUGAGGUAUUGGAAUCCCAUUGCAAUAAGAGAGGUGGGAAUGAAAAUGGGAAAAUUAACACUUUUAUCCUUAAAGAAAAUUAAAUAUUUAUUUUUUACCUUAUAUAAAUAAAUAACUAAUAAUAAUAGUCGUAGUAGUAAUAAUAGUUAUAAUAAUAAUAAUAAUAAUAAUAAUAAUAAUAAUAAUAAUAAUGAAAAUUAUAGUAUUAUCCUCAAUAUUAUAAUAAACAUGUAUAUAUUUAUUUAUUUAUUUAUUUUGUUAGUGAAAAAUGUACAAUUUUAACUAAGGGCAUCAUGAUAAUUUUCAAUAAUCCAUUUUGAUUACGAAAUAAAAUAAAUGGAUAAAUGAAAUUCAGCUCAUUCGAUUCUUAUAUUUCAAGUAAAUAAUUUAUUAUGGUUCUCAUUUCUUAUUCCGAUUCCAGAUUCCAUCCCAUUUCAAUUCCUAAUCAUUUUGAUUCAUGGGAAGUAAACGCACCGUUAAUUUGUCGCUCUUGUUAAAUAUAUCCUUUGUGGAUUUCAUAUGAGGUUUGAAAUGUUAUUUAGUGAAAUUUAAUUUCUUGUUGGCUCUAUUCACCACAGCAAGGCUACAAAUCUUGAUGGGACAUUCGCCCCCGCUUGGAUAGGUUAUGGAAAUGCUUUUGCUGCUCAAGAAGAGGGUGACCAAGCAAUGUUGGGUUAUCGCACUGCUGCUUGUUUGUUUCCAGGGUAAUUUUUAGCAUUAUUUAUUCAUUUCUGUACCUUCCUGAUUUUCUUUUCCUUGGAUCAGCAUAUUCAUGCAAUGAGGACAAGGACAAAGCCACUAACUUGCUUUUGAGCAAGUUUCAGGACACUUUUAGAAUUUCAUUUUUGGCUUUUUUAAAAAAAAAUUUUGGUCUCUGAAAGAUAUCUUAAGGGUAGGGUUUGGUUGUUUUUGCUCAUCUUGAUAUUAUUCAAUUCUUGUUCAAUUUGAAGAACAGUGUGCUUUGGCUGUAUAAUCAUGUGGGUAAAAAAAUUUUUUGGUCCCUCAAGUUUCUAUUAGGUUUCAUGUAAUCCAUGAAAUUUCAGUUGCUUCAGCUUAAUCUGUUUCAAGUGCGCUACACUAAAAAACUUGGGUGUCAUGGGUUAUCAACCAAGAUUUUUUUUUUCUCCUUUGAUUUAAUAUUAAUAAACUGUUUUACCAAUAUAGACUUUUGAUGAAUGCUUCGCAUUUGAUUUCCAUAUUUCUUCCUGAGAAAUGUUGUAAGUUGAUUAAACAUAGUCUUAAAUCGACCCAAGGCAUUGUUGUAAUGUCUUUCUAUUUUGAUAAUAAACCACACUGUCAUAGUAGUUUUAUGGUCGUAAAGAUCAAUGAAUUUCAUUGUUUAUUGUUUAGUGAUGGUAUGCAUUGUGUUGUGGGAGUACUCUUAUCACUAUGAAUUGUCUUUUUACAGGUUGAAUCUUGAUGUUCUCUUAUUCCAGGUGCCAUUUACCAACUUUGUAUAUUGGAAUGGAGUACAUGCGAACUCACAGCUUUAAGCUUGCCGAACAGGUGUAUUACCUUCUUCUAAAUAUAGGCUGCCUUUCAUUUCUCUUUAGAUUUCAGUGAGAACUCUUAAGAGGUUGUUUGUUUGCAAUAUGAAGUCUGAUUGUUGGAUAUUCAGAUGUUGGUCUAUACGAUUUGCUAGUUGAUGUUGUCUUGGGGGUUUCAUUUUCCUCUUUGGAUUUAAUGUGAAUACGACUUCUUUCCUCUUUGUUUAAUUGAUGUCCAAUCCAUAUCCAAUCUACGAUUUUACGGAUUAUAAAUUUUCAAUCCAAUUCAAUUCACGGAUUGAUGAAAUUCAAUUCAAAUCCAAAUUCAAUUCAUACAUCUGCAGAUCGGAUGCGGAUUUGAUCAAAUCCAUAUCCAAUCCAUCAUUUUGCGGAUUGGUUUGCGGGCUGAAAAUUUUUAAUUCUGUCAAAUCCACGAACUAACUAAAUAUAAAAAUAAUUUUACUACCGAUCAAAUUUAAAAUUAAAUAAGAUUUAAAUAAUUAAUUGUUUAAAUAAAGCUAGAAAAUACAUUUACAGUUUUAAAAUAUAACACACCAAAAUGAAAAAAAUCUUAUUCGUUUAGAUCAGUACAUUUUUUUUAUGCGAAUACCACUCUAUUGGUGGGGGGCUUAGGCGGGACCCCUACUUUUCAUUUAGAACAGAUAAUGAAGAUUACAUGUGGAGGGGGACAUAAACCAAACCUCCAAUCUAGAGAAAUAAAUAUAACAGUAAAAGAAAUGAUUUAGGCAUAGCCUAACAUAAGAAGAAAAAGAGUAAUGCAGACGGUGACAAUAUCUCUUACGAUACUUGCGGCCGGCAAGUAAUUUAAUGCCCUUUUUCGAGUGACUGACAACACUAAAAUCAAGGCUAGAGUCAAUUCUCUCAGAAUUCUCAGGAGCAGACAGAAAAUAGUCAUUAUUCGCCAAAUGUUUGUUAGAACUAUCAUCAUUAUCAGUAUAAGAACUGUAAUGCCUAAAAUAUGUGCUGGAUGCUCGAUGAAGCUAUGUAUUAUAUUCACCUAGUUCUCGGAUCCUAGAAUCAGGAGUCGUGACAUCCUGGCCAAUCGGCUCCUGAAUGGAAGUAGAGUUUGUAGCGUUAACUCGGUUCUCUUAGGUACAAUCGGAGACCCCACAUCUGCAAUUUGCUUAAUGAUGGAAGGCUAAAGUCGUGGAGUAUCCAAGGGUUGUGGAGUAUCUGACGGCAAAACUUCUAACUUCUUAUUAUCUACUCUAGUUUGCCAAUUCCCACUGGGCCGCUGGGGAAGGACCCCUGGAUUGGCCACGGAACACGUCUCAAUGGUAUGGCCAAGGCACUUGUAGGAAGCACAGUAGAGUGGGAUUUUCUAAAAAAUUAUACUCUGCCAAAAUCCAGAAUCUCUCACACCGAUUUAGAUUCGUGACAACAGAGUUGAGUGACAUUAUUCUUCACUAACACCCUACUUACAGAAGGGCGAGCUAAAAAGGCAGUAGCUUGGUCAAUUCGUAAUGGCUUACCAAUAGAUGAUGUAAUAGAAAAUAAUGCUUCCUUACAGUGCAUAAAAUGGACAAGCAAGUAAGGAAUUGAAAUCCAUACUGGGACUAUAGAGGACUCCUUGGAAAAUCAAAAAUCGGUGGUUUAUUUAAAAAUUCUCAUUGCACUCUCAUUGAUGUACCAUGUCUGUCUAACCCGUAGGCGGGAGUAGUCCUCCUCAACAUCCAAUUGAAUUAACACAUGUCGAUUAUCUAAAAAGGACAUCUUGGAAAUUCCCUUCAAUCUCAUAGUAUUAAAAAAUUUACAAAUUAAUUCCAUACUAGGUCUAUUGUAGGAAAAUUUACCUACCAAUGUCCGCAGUGGAAAAUUGUACUUUAGGCUCUCCCUCGAAUAAAGUGACGAUCUUGAUUGGAAUAGACAAGCUAGUUGGGUCGUUCAUAAUAUCCACCAAAGAUUUUUUAGUGGGUUUAUUUUGAUUCAGAUUGGGGAUGGAUUUCAAAACCGAGGUAUAAGAAGGUACGUAUGUGGGCUGAGUGGUAUUUUGGAUUAACGGAUCAUUUUGGGGGUUAUUUAAUAAGAUUGGAGAGGGCAUUCGGGAGGGCUGGGUGUUGGGGUUUAUUUCGAAAAUGGAUUGGGCUUGGGUUUGACUAGUGGGAAAGGUUAAUGGGGCAUGGGAAGAGCUAGUGGUAGACACACAUGAGGAACACAAUUCAUGUGCUACCGAAAGUGUCUUAUGAGCAUGGGAAUUACACGCGUGCAGACUUUUGAGCUGAUGUUGGGUGGAUGUUUGCUGACCUUGGCUGGGUUCUGUGGUGGUUGCUUGCAGCUGACUUUCGGUUGACAGCUGCAGCUGGACGUGAGCUUGUGAUUUGCAUGGGGUUUUUUUUGUUGUGUGGGAGUUAUUUGUGUAGGUAGUGAUUGUGGCUGGCUGGUGGUUGUAUCUUGGACCGAAUCUUGAGACAAAUGGCCAUGGAGUACGGGCUGGUUUUGAUGGUGUAUAGGGGCUGUGACAGCAGGAUGAACUCUCGAAUAGUGUGUGGUUUGUGUUGGCUACGGGCUAGAGGCUGGUGGCUGGUUGGUUUGAGAUGAAAACCCAUUCACCAAGUUUGGUGGUGAAAGCUUGGAGUUGGCUGUUGAAGGGGUGACGAUGGCAGUUGGAGAUGGUUGUUGAAGGGACGACGAUGGCGGUGUGUUUGCGGAAGUUGAGGGUUGUUGGGGUUGGGCUGGCGUUUGACUCCUGUAUUUUGAGCGAGUUUGCCUUUGGGAUCUCCUAAGAAAAGAAUGUUCAUUUAUGGAAGUAAGGGGAGGAGCAGAUGGUGGCUGGCUGCCAUUAUCGUCAGCCGGCGAGAUAAGAAUCGACUUGUCUCGAGCAUUGGUUUCUUCCCCUUCUUCUAGUGAAUGGAGGGGUGAUUUUGCUACCUCACGGCAGCAUUCAUAGUCAUUGAUGCCACCAUUGAUUACCAUUUCUUUUUGCUCACUUGCGGCAUUAGGUGUGAUUGAAGGUUGUUGAAGUUUCGAGAGGAUAGCGGCAAUGGACAAUGGUGGUUGGUUUGCAUGGGGUUGGAUUUGAGAUGGAGGGUCUGCAUGAGAGUGGUUUGGUUGGAUUCGCGGUGGUGGCAACUGGACGUCCGGUGGCAGUUCAUUGGUGAAUUUUGGGGGUCGUCUAAAUGAUUUUUUAGGAGGGUUCAAACUCCUGAUAAUUUGUUCUUCUGCAGAGAGGGUGUAGACCGGUGAUGGCCGGUUGCCAUCAUCGGCGGCCGGAGAGGCCAUUAAGGCCGUUUAAGGCUUUUGAGGGGGGAAGGGGGAGACAUGUAGUUGAUAUUAGCAAUUAGAUUAGUGCAUGGAACUUAACUAUUUUAGAAGUUAUAUUUGUUUAUUUAGUUAUUUUUAUUUUAUAUUAUUAUUGGAUAAGAUAUAAUAUAGUGUUAAUAUAACUAUAUUUUAACUUAUUUAUUUACUAGUAAGUACUAAUAUUAUAUUUACAAGUUUUAUUUUUUAAUUAAAUAAAUACUUUUUAUUUUUUUACGAAUUUGCGGAUUUUUGCGGAUUUAUAGAAAUAGAUCCAUAUCCAAUCCAUCGAUUUCGGAUUAUCAAAUUUUCAAUCCAAUCCAAUCCAUCAAUCCACGAAUCGGAUUUUUACGGAUCAAACGGAUUGAGCGGAUCGGAUUGUGAACACCCCCGUACGAAGGACCCCUGAUAUUGAUGUCCAUACAUCCGAAUAAAUUUUCUUUAUGAGGAGUCUACGUCAUGAUUUCUACGUCACGAAUUCUCCAAAAUAUGAUGUCUCUCACUCUUAUCUCUCACUCUUAUUUAAGGCAAACCUCAUAGAGGCAAAUACAGAACAUGAAGAAAAUUAAUUUUGUUCCUAGUCCUCACUAUCUAAAAAGAAUUUUCGUUGAAGCUAUAUAUAUAUAUAUAUUGAAUCUUUUGAAAAAAAUUGCUUCCUGAGCAUAUGAUUUCUUGCUGGUUAAUUUUAAAAUAAAAAUUAUUUUGACUAUUAUAUAAAAGUUAAUUUUAAUAUUAUUAAUAGAGAGAUUUUUUAAAUUGUAAAAUCUAUUUAACCCAAAGAUUAUUUAAAAUCUUUUUAAUAUUACAAUUAUAUUAUUAAAAUAAAUAUAAUAAUUUAAAAUUUUAAUAUUAUUUUAAAUGUAAAAAAUAAUUUAAUAUUAUUAGUCUACCAAAUAGAUUUAUAUUAUUUAUAUAAAAUUUGUGUUAGUUAAAAAAAUUUAAAAAUCAAAUUUUUAAUUAAUAUAAUCAAAAGUUAUUGUGGGCAAAAAAAAGUUUUUGUAUCUUUUUUUUAGGAUUUAAAGAGUUUUUUAUAACUAUUUUCCCAAAUCUUAGAAUGUCGUUAUUCUUUUUCUUUUUUUAUCCCAUCUCAGUUUUUUUACAAGUAUUCAAAUAUUAGCACGUGAAAUAUAUUUUAAAAUAUCCAUCAAUUUAUUAUUUCUUAAAGUACCUUUUAUUAAUAAAUAGCAUAAUACACACGAAGGACCAUUGAUAUUGAUGUUCAUACAUCCGAAUCAAUUUUCGAGUCUACGUCAUGAUUUCUACGUCACGAAUUCUCCAAAUUAUGAUGUAUAUCUAUUCUUUCCCCUUUUGGUAAACAUAUCUCACUCUUAUUUAAGGCAAACCUCAUAGAGUCAAUCACAAAACAUGAAGAAAAUUGAUUUUGUUCCUAGUCCUCACUUUCUAAAAAGAAUUUUCGUUGAAGCUAUAUAUAUAUAUAUAUUGAAUCUUUUGAAAAAAAUUGCUUCCUGAGCAUAUGAUUUCUUGCUGGGUUUCUUCAAUUGCUCUUCUUGUUCAGUUGUUAAAGCUUUCCAGUUUCCUCUCUGUCGUUCAAAGAAUAUUUGAUCAUUGAAGUGUCACCUUCGUAGUGUUAAUUUCGGUGAUGGAGUCCGCUGCUCAAGUGAGGGAUGUCGAUGCUUUGUAUGAGCUAAUUCAACAUGAUCGAUAUUUUUUGGACAACUUCGACGAGAAACCUUUUGUCGAUACUCCUUUGCAUGCUGCUCCAAGGGAUGGAAAUGUUGAAUGGUCCAUGGAGAUUAUCAGACUAAAGCCAUCAUUUGCCAGGAAGCUAAACCAAGAUGGCUUCUCUCCGGUGCAUUUAGCUUUGCAAAAUGAUCAAACUCAGUUAGUGCUUCAGCUGAUAGAUAUUGAUCUGGACCUUGUUCGUGUCCAAGGAAGAGAAGGCAUCACUCCUUUGCAUUUCGUGUCUGAAAAAGGAGACAUCCAUCUGCUGAGGGAAUUUUUGUCUGCUUGUCCGAAAUCUCUUGAAGAUGUGACGAAUAAAGGCGAGACUGCUCUUCAUAUUGCUUUGAAAAACGAUAAGGUCGAAGCUUUUGAUCAAGCCUUAACAACAGUACGACCACCGUGGCUUGGCCCUGAAGAAGCUCAACAAUACAAUCAAAGAAUCCUCAACUUGAAGGAUAGGGAUGGCAACACUUUGUUACACAUAGCAACAUCCAAAAGUCAAGUCCAGGCAAGCUCGAAUCCACACACAUAUAUAUAGAAAUUUUUCAAUGAGGUGCAGGCACUUCAUUAUUUUUAAUGCAGACAUGCUAUUAAAUUAUGUGAUUUAAUAGAGUCAAUGUUUAAUUCAUUAUAAAGCCGUGUAUUUUAAUAGCAUGCCUGCAUAUAAGUUAAUAGAGUGUUCGUAUGAGAAAAAAAAAGAGAGAGUAUUCACAUUAGAGAAUAACUAUAUUUAUAUAUAUAGUAUCUAAUUAAUGACCUUAUCUUCAUUUUAACAAAGUAAAGAUAUCACUAAUAAAUUAAAAAAAAAAGUAGUUUAACAAAGUAAGGAUAUCACUAAAAAAAAAAAGCAAUUUUCAAUAUAUUGAAAUAUGUGUUUUUUUUAAUUUUAUUUGCAUUCUUAUUUUAUUAAAAUUUUUUAUUAGGGAAGGACUAUAUCUAUCUGGUCACAAAUAAAAUUCAGUUGAAUGAUGUCUAAAUUGAUGAAUUUGUUUAUCCAAAGCAGAUUGUCAGGUGUUUAUUGAAUUGCAAAGUUGAUACAAAUGCCCGGAAUUCGGAAGGUUUGACACCUUUAGAUAUUUCAUUACUUGAUCAAACUAAAUCAGAAAACCAAGAGAUUGCGGCAAUGCUGCGGGAAGCUGGAGCACUAGAGGCAACUUCACUUCCUAUUACCGACAAGGAUAGACAUUUAUCGAGGUAACAGGAACACUGCUCUUUUACUAAAUUACAGUCCAUUUAUCGAUUAUCUUUUUAAAAACAAUAUGGCAUUUUCAUAUUAUGUACAUCUCAAAAAUUGUUUAAUGUCCUUCAGAAGUAAGGAUCAGAGGCUGAACGAGGCUGCUAAAACAGGAAAUGUUGAUGCCUUGUAUGAAUUAAUAUGGGAGGACGCAUAUCUUUUAGAUCAGAUAGACCAAGUACCAUUCGUGGAUACUCCUUUACAUAUAGCAGCAUCAAUGGGGCACGUCAACUUUGCCCUGGAGAUAAUGAGGUUAAAGCCAUCAUUUGCGAGAAAGCAAAACCAAUAUGGAUUUAGUUCUCUGCAUCUUGCUUUGCAGAAGCAAAACCAAUAUGUACUUGAUCACGAGCAUCUUAAGGAAAAGAAACAGACCCAAAUGGUGCGUCGGCUCAUAGAUGUGGACAGAAAUCUUGUUCGUGUCCAAGGAAGGGAGGGUGUAACGCCUCUACACUAUAUUGCUGAGAAAGGAAAUGUCGAUCUUCUAUGCAAACUUCUAGAGGCUUGCCCUGAGUCCAUCACAGAGGUGACAAUCCGUUAAGAGACUGCUUUGCAUGUUGCUGCAAAAAAUGACCAGUUGGAGGCCGUUGAGUGCAUGCUAGGAUGGCUUCGAUAUGUGGGCAUGGAGGAUAUCCUUAACUGGACGGACGAUGAAGGCAACACUUUAUUGCAUAUCACAAUCUCCAAAAGUCAAAUAAAGACAUGAAAAGUUUUUAAAUUUUACUUCAGUUAGUCCCUAUAUUUUCAUGAUUAUUAAUUGCAUGCAUAUAUAAAUAUAUACUUGCAGUUGGUGAGGCUACUAGUUAAAAGAGCACGUGAUCAAAUAAAUGCCCGGAACUUAGACAAUAAGACACCCUUGGACAUGGUAGAAGAACAUUUGGGAGGGAAACCUGAAUUUAAAGAAGUAACACGCAUGGUGCGCAAAGCUGGCGGUAGAGAAGGGUCCUUCCUUCCUCCUCGUAGGGACGUUGCAUAUUACUUAAAACAAGGUUUAACAUGGCGUCGAAAGGUGCUUUUGCUCUUUUACCGCUAGAUAAAUUUCUUAAAGGAAUAGCUUUUUAUUGCGGUAUGUGUCCUUUGUACAGAGCUCUGCUAUUUAUAUGCAGGGCUAGAUACUUUACAUGGUAAGUGUUUACAUGGCAAGAAUCACCGUUUAAUUAUACAAUAUUUUCAAUCUCCUCAUAUUUACAAUCUCGUUGAUCUCCUUCCUUGAAUACAGAUUCUUGCUUUGUGUCCAAGGUUAUUGCUUGACAGCUUCACACGAUUAUGUGGCAUCUGACUUGGACUCUUUUCUAACUCCCCCCUUCAAGCUUAACUGUCUGUUUGAGACUUUAAGCUUGUCUCUUAAAAAUCUGAAACGAUCACAGCUCAAGGGUUUUGUCAAAACAUCUGCCACUUGUUCCUUUGUCGGUACAUAUCUCACUUCUUGUUCACCAUUUGCAAUUUUUUCUCUGACGAAAUGUACAUCAAUUUCUAUGUGUUUAGUUCGGGCAUGAAAUACUGGAUUGCUGGCAAGGGAUGCUGCACUUGUGUUAUCACACCAGAUUACUGGUCUUUGUUUUGGCUUCAUUCCAAGUUCUCCUAGCAAAGAACAUAUCCACGUGAUUUCAGCACUUGUAUCGGCAAGGGACCUAUAUUCUGAUUCAGUGCUUGAGCGUGCCACCACCUUCUGUUUUUUCGAUCUCCAUGAGACUAGAUUCCCACCAAGGAAGGUGCAGUAACCACCAGUAGACCGUCUGUCAUCUUGAUCACUUGCCUAAUCUGCAUCAGUGAAACACAUCAGUCCUGGUUUUCCUUUUGGUGUGAAGUGUAGGCCAUAAUUUAAGGUUCCUUUCAAGUAUCUGAGAAUUCUCUUACACCCCUCCCAAUGAGUUUGUUUAGGUGCUUCUAAAUAUUGGCUUAGUGUGUUCACUGCAUAUGUUAUUUCAGGCCUUGUUAAGGUAGCAUAUUGUAGGCCUCCAAUUACACUCCUGUACAAGGUAUUGUCACUGAAGGCUUUCCCUCCUUCCUUUCUCAGCUUGGUACUUGUGCUCAUUGGUGUAGGCAAGCUUUUGCAAUUUUCCAUUCCUAUUCGUUGUAGGAGGUCAGUGAUGUAUUUCCCUUGCGAUAGAUGCAUUCCCUCAGCAGUCCUUUCUACUUCAAUUCCCAAGAAGUAUUUUAGCGAGCCAAGAUCCUUCAGAGAGAAGCUUUUGUUCAGCUUCUGAAUCACGUCGUCAAUUAUCCUGCUAUUACUUCCUGUGAGUAGUAUGUCAUCUACAUACACAGGUAGCAGCACUGUAUCUCCAUCUUUGUUCAUAAAGAAUAGUGAGGUGUCUGAUAUUGAGUUUUUGAACCCCCAGUCUUUAAGGGCUUAACUGAGCUUAUUAUACCAGGCCCUUGGAGCUUGUUUGAGACCAUAGAGUGCCUUUUUUAACUUGCAAACAUAUUGUGGCUUUCUUUUGUCCUCGAAGCCUUGCGGUUGUCUUAUAAAAACUUCUUCACAUAGUUCACCAUGCAAGAAUGCAUUAUUCACGUCCACUUGUUUGAUAUCCCAGUUGUUCAUAAUAGCUAGGUUCAACACAAUUCUAAUAGUUGGUGAUUUGGCCACUGGACUGAAAGUUUCGUUAAAAUCGAUGCCCGCUGUUUGAUGAAACCCUUUAGCCACAAGUCUCGCUUUAUACCUUGCUAUAGUGCCAUCUGGAUUAUACUUCACCUUGUAAACCCAUUUAUUUCCUAUUACCUUUUGAUCCUGAAAGGGUGGAACCAAUUCCCAGGUUCUGUUUUUCUGAAGUGCUUCAAACUCUUCCUUCAUGGCUGUCUCCCAUUUUUUAUUUUUCAACGCCUCUUCUACACUUGCUGGAGUGUCAAUUUUCUCUCUUGCUAAUCUUUUUGCUGUGUAAAUUUUGGGUUUAUAUAUCCCAGACUUGGCUCUUGUGAUCAUAGGGUGACUGGGGGGAAGUGUUUGUGGCUGGCUUGUUGACUCUGUAGCUGCAGUAUUUUGGGUACUUUUUUGCUGUUGUUUCUGAGUUUGUCAUGACUGGUUCUGGUGUUUUAGGUUCUGUAGUGUUGGUCUCUUGGUUUGGUGAAAGGAUGUGGAGCUCUCGGUCUGUUGGACAGUGAAGGUUGGAGCCUGCUUCUUGAACGACUGCUGGUGGAGAUGUAGCUGAGACACAUCCUGAAGUAGAAACCUGUGGCACUGUUAGGAUUUGAGUAUAAUAUGGACACACAGCUGUAUUUUUCUCAGUAGGUUGAAAAGCUUUGUCAUUUUGAAAUGGAAAUUCAAACUCAUUAAAGACCACAUUUAUUGCUAUAUAAACUCUCCCACUACUGUGUAAGCACAAGUAUCCUUUGUGUUGAGAGCUAUAUCCUAUAAACACACAUUUAGCAGUGCGAAAAUCUAAUUUAUGUGAAUUGUAUGGCCUUAAGUGGGGAAAACAUGCACAACCGAAAUCCUUCAUGAAUUUGUAAUCAGGCUUUUGAUGAUAGAUUAUCUCAUAUGGGGAUUUUCGAUUGAGUAUUAAUGUCGGCAUCCUAUUUAUUAAGAAUGUGGCUGUUUCAAAGGCUUGCCACCAAUACUUUGUAGGUAUUGAGGCUUGUGGUAGUAAGGUUAGGCCGAUUUCUACUAUAUGCCUAUGUUUUCUUUCCACCCUUCCAUUUUGGUGAUGAGAGUGAGGACAUGAAUGCCUAAAUAAAAUUCCAUUUUCUUUGAGAAAUGGUACGAAGGAUCUGAAUUCACCCCCCCAAUCUGUUUGCAAGGUUUUAAUUUUCUUUUCAAGUUGGGUUUCAAUCAUUUUCUUAAAUACUUGGAAGGUGGAAAAGGUUUCUGAUUUGGCAGCCAAUGGAUAAAUCCAUGUAAAUCUGGAAUAGUCAUCUACAAUGCUUAGGUAGUACCUAUAGUUGUUUCCAGAGGCUAUUGGUGAUGGUCCCCAGAGGUCAAUAUGCAAUAAUUCCAGUGGUUCAUUUGUUUUUGUUGCUGAGUUUGUAUGGCUUAGUCUAUGACUUUUUCCAUAUUGGCAUGCUACACAAAAUUGAGGAACGGAAAUUUUAUUGAUGUUACUAGAUACAUCACAUGACAUUAAUAUGUCAUUUAAUGUUUGAACACUAGGGUGACCAAAUCUUUGAUGUAAUGUAUCUAUUUUAUUGACUCCAUUACAAGUUGAUUCUAGACUUCGACUCUUAGAAGACUCUGAUUCGCUGUGUGACAACACAGGCUUAUUUAAAGCAGCAAAAAGAGAAGUUGCAAGGGGACUUUUGACUCUAGAUUCAGGUGUCUUGCAGGAUGUUUCCAACAGAUACAAUCCUCCAUCAGCCGUUCCUUGAAGCAAGACUUUCUUCCUCAUCUUGUCCUGUAUAAGGCAAGUAUUUUUCUUGAAAACAACAAACAAGUCAUUGUCAGAUAAUAAUUUAGAGAUGCUAAGGAGAUUUUUUGUAAUAUGAGGGACAUGCAAAACAUCUUUUAAAAUAAUUGGCUUCUGACAUGGGACAUGUAAUGAGGAUCUACCAAUAUAAUUUAUUUUUAACUUAUGACCAUUACCAACCAUAAGUUUGUCACUUCCCUUGUAUUCAAAUUUCGUUUCAAGGUUUUCAAUCUGAUAUGUGACAUGGUUUGUAGCACCACUAUCCAGGUACCAACCUUGAUCAUUUUCCGAAUCAAUCUUUGCAACAUUAGCCGUGGCUUGACUCUGGUUUUUCUCAUUGCUUUGUGGCUCGUAGUCUUCUUUAAAGCGAUGCCAGCAAUCGAAUGCAGUGUGUCCUACCUUUCCACAAAUUUGGCAAGUUGGCUUUGAUUUUCCUCUGCCAGAUGUUUGUGGUGUUUUUGCUCUGCCUCUACCUCUUGGAUUGUUUCCUCUUCCACUAUUGUAUUUUCUUUGGUUUUGAGUAGAUUGAGCAUAGUUUGCUGAUAUGUUCCCAUCAGAAGCUAUGUUGGCAGCAGUAUGCAGCUGAUCAAGUCUGCUUUCAUGGUUCAAGAGAAGUGAAUACACUUCUUGAAGAGGUAGUGUGUCUGAUCUUGCUGUUAUAUUAACCACUACAGGGUCAUAUUCUGAUCCCAAGCCUGCAAGAAUAUAGAGAACUAAGUCUUCUUCUGUGAUGGGAUUUCCUGAGGCGGUGAGAUUGUCAGCAAAGUUUUUCAUUUUGGAAUAAAAAUCACUAACAGUCAUAGACCCCUUUUUCUGGGUUUGAAGCUGCAUCCUAAGUUGUAGGAUUCGAGCUUUUGACUGAGAGGAGAAAAGCCUUUCCAGUGCAUUCCAAACUUCAUAAGAAGUGGUGCAACUGAUGACUGAACUUAAGACACUUUCAUUCAUUGAAGACAGCAGCCAACUAAGAAGAAGUUGGUCCUGUUUCUUCCAAAGUGCAUAUUCUGGAUUUACAGUCGUUUCUGCAGUUUGGUCAUCUACAGCAACUACCAGAAAUUUGUUUGGGCAAGGUUUUGUGCUGUUUAUGAAGCCUUCAAGUUCAUUGCCACGGAUUGAGGGCAGGACUUGAGAUUUCCACAUCAGGUAAUUUUGUCUAUCUAGCUUGAUUGGGACGGUGAAAUUGAAGGUGGUGGGAUUGGUUUGUGGUAUUGUAUGGGUGGCGGAAUUGGUGGUAUUAACAAAACUAGAUGAAGCCAUUAUUUCGACUUACCCGCUCUGAUACCAAGAUAAAUUUCUUAAAGGAAUAGCUUUUUAUUGCGGUAUGUGUUCUUUGUACAGAGCUCUGCUAUUUAUAUGCAGGGCUAGAUACUUUACAUGGUAAGUGUUUACAUGGCAAGAAUCACCAUUUAAUUAUACAAUAUUUUCAAUCUCCUCAUAUUUACAAUUUCGUUGAUCUCCUUCCUUGAAUACAGAUUCUUGCUUUGUGUCCAAGGUUAUUGCUUAACAGCUUCACACGAUUAUGUGGCAUCUGACUUGGACUCUUUUCUAACUCCGCUCAUCACAUGGCACUACGGAUGAAAAUCGAAACGCACUACUUGUGGUUGCUGUACUAAUCGCGACAGCCACAUUCCAAGCAGCGCUUACCCUGGCUGACGAUCUUCAGGGAAAUAAGUCAACUGGAACCAGCAACUCUGUUGCCAAUUUUGGAUCACAAUCAGCGUCGACAUCGACAUCGGCAUCAGCAUGGGCAUAUGUAACACCAUCAGGAAGAGCAAAUGCAACCGCCAUUUAUCGGAGCAAUGGAACCAGCAGCAGCAUCCCAACAAGUGACAAGAUUCGAUUCGCUCACGGGAAAUUUUAUGGCGAUGCCGUCAGUGAUACGAUCUCCUCACUUUUCGCAUUUUCAAAUAUUACAGCAUUUUGUAUAUCUAUGCUGGUGAUUAAUUAUCACCUUCCGUAUGGCUCCGCAGCUACUCUGGUAUAUCCUCUAGUUAUUUGCUUUUGCCUGUUAGUGGUUGGCAGAACCCCGUUGUCGCUACUUGCCUCAUUCUUAAUGCUUAUCGUCUUUCGGAUUUUUUUAUUUGUACAACUGGACUUCUCCAAGGUUCGAUUUAGACGAAGCUUCUGGAUUACACAAGUUUUGGGCUCCGUUUUCAAACAUUACGGAAGCUUCCGCAAUAAGAUGAACGAAGAUGAAAAAUAGCUAUAAUGCCAAUAUGCUGCCAAGGACAAAACACAUGUCCGUUGGUCUGUUGAUGUUCUCUGCCAUGGACAAGUGUUUUAGUUAAACACUUCCUCUGAAGUAAUAUUGCUGGUUUUGUUUUGUGUAAGAAGGUGUGCUUUUCUGUACUGUAUUUUCUGAAUUAUGUUCGUUUGCUUUUGCUUCAUUUUGUAAGGUCUUGCAUGUUUCAAUGUAACAUUAAUUACUCUUGUUGUAUCUGAUAGUUGUAUUGUUCACGUUCGUGACUGUGAAUAUAAUGAUGUUAAUUUAAUUAAAACUAUAUGCUUGUUUGGCUGAUAAGAAAAUGAAGGAAAAUUUAUUGACUUAGAGAGGAAAAACAGAAAUUGAAUUCGUUAUGAUUGAUACAGUGAAAUGAGAUUACAAUACACUAUAUAUAUAUAGUAGCAUCUGGAACUUUCCAAGUGUAACAGAAUCAUAUACAAAGUCUCUGAUAUUCACCAUAACAUUUUGGUGGGAAAUAACAAACUAAUAACAAACUUUGAACAGCUUGCAUAACAAUCUUCCAGUAGCUUCCAGCAUCUUGUCCAGCGUGGCAUCUGAUUCAUUACUCUACUUAACAAUUUUCUGACAUCAAUUAGCUGACUCAACAUAUUCUUAACAAAUUUGUAUGAACAUAUGAAAUAUCAAUAUCAUUGGGCUUUUGAUGCUCCCACAGGCUACUUAAAAUUGUACCUAUAAAAGUCUGUUAGAAGAAAAGCUGAUUCAAAAUACUUACGGCAAUAUAUAAGUAUGCUUCCGGCAAUAGGGUGAAAGCCUACACAUGAAGAAAAACAAACAACAAACAGCAAACGCACAAACAUAGCAACAAAAGAAGACAAGACAAUGUCUGAUGAGAUUAAAAAGCUGACAAUUGAUGAACCCUUCAACACCCCUCCAAAAGGCUCAGCUGGGUCAUAAUAAAUGUCAACAUCCUCUGACCUAACUGACUCAUCAACCCUAAGUGACUCAUCAACCUAUGUAUCGGGUUUUUCAUUCAUCAGCAAAGAGUUUCAGCACUUGAUCUGAAAAAUAAAGACUGCUUUUGACACUCUAGAAAUUCAAUUUCAUUUUUCCAUGUUAUUGAUGAUCAAACUCAGAUUAGCAACUGAAAAUAUAAUAUAACAAUUUGACAUCAAAAGUAAGUCCACUGAAAAUCUUUGGAAAUAUAUUAAUUAAAAUUAUGUUGAUGAAAUUUUUUAAAAUUUUAUGGUUUUGGUUUACGAAUCGUGUUGGCGAACGGCUUUAUUGUACAAGUACAGGUGCUGCUUCCUCUUCAUCUAUAUUAUACGGUUUACAUUGUUAAUUUAUUUUAGUACUUUGUUUCCUCAUUUGUUGAAAUCCACUGAGUGCUUUAAAGUUACCUGAUUGACACUAAAAUUAUCAUUUUUUUCCUUCAUCCUGUUCUCAAAUUCAGUCACGUUCCUUCGUCAUUUGUUCACGAAAUCCAAGUGCGGGCAACCAAAUGAGAAAGCCUGUAUUUUGACAAGCUCAAUCAAAAUUCUUCGGUUCCUUACGUGUUGAUUUCGACCUCUAUAAAUUAAAUUUAUUUAGCUUGAAGAGAGAAUUUGAUAAAAAUUUAAAUAAAGAAAUUGGGCAAUGAGAAUAUAUUUAUAAUUUUAUUAACAAUAUAUGGACAAAUUGGACAAUUAACAACUAUUUUUUUAUGUGCUAGAAGGGUAUAACGGUAAUUAUAUAUUAAAAUUAUAAUUUCUGUUAAAAGUAACGGUUUCCGUUGAUGAAUGAGGGUGUGAAUGUCUUUUUUGAAAUAUUGGAAGGACUUUUAUCCAUCUGUCUAAACGUUGUGAGUGUGUUAGUCUUUUUCCCUAUUUACAAGUACAAUUGUAAAUUUAUUUUCCCAUUCUUCUUCCCUUCUCUUCAAAAUUCAGCCCGAUUUUCUCCAUUUAAUCAUUCGCAUUUACAACAUUGCAAAUCUAGAAUUAGAAUUAAAAAUUCUUCUGAUUUUCCAAUACCAAUAAGUCAAUAAAUCAACUAUUAUAGUCAAAACCAAACCCUAAAACAAAAUAAUCAUUUUUUUUCCUUCAUCCUGUUCUCAAAAGGGGUUAUCUUUGUUGCUAGGCAUGUGGUGUUUUACGAAUCAAAAUUUCCUUUCUCUACUGAUCCUCAAUUCUCUAAGCAAUCUUCUACCUCUGUUUCCGAGUAUAGACAUCCUAUGUUUAAAACUUCUUCUGUGUUAGUUCUGCUACAUGAUCCUUCAGGCUCAAGUGACAACACUGUACAACAGCUUUAGCUCCAUGCAGUUCCAGCUUCCUCUUCUUCCUCUAGUUCUUCAUCAUCAUCACCUUUACCUCCAAAUCCAUAUUUCCCUGAUCCUUAUCACAAUAUGUCCCAUAAUUCCCAACACUCUUCUUCUUCUACAUCUAUUGUGCCUAUUCCACAGCCUUCUGUCCCUGCUCACGUACCACUGCCAACUCAUCCAAUGGUUACAAGAGCAAAAGCAGGAAUAUUUAAGCCAAAGUUUCUUGCAUAUUCUUCUGUUCUUGAAGAACAUGAACCUGCUACAAUUUCUCAAGCUCUCUCCAAUCCUAAAUGGAAAGCAGCAAUGCAGGCUGAGUAUGAUGCACUCAUGAAAAAUGAAACUUGGGUUCUUGUUCCAGCCUCUCAAGCUACUAAAGUUGUUGGUUGUAAAUGGGUGUUUCGCAUUAAGUAUAAUGCAGAUGGCUCUAUCUCUGAGUAUAAAGCUCGUUUGGUUGCAAAUGGGUUUCAUCAAACCCCUGGUAUUGAUUACUUUGAGAAUUUUAGUCUAGUGGUUAAGCAAUCUACUAUGAGAAUUGUACUUAGUCUUGCUGUUAUGAAGAGCUGGAAAAUAAGGCAGAUAGACAUCAACAAUGCUUUCCUUAAUGGGCAGCUCAAUGAAGAUGUUUACAUGUUUCAACCUGAGGGAUUUGUCUAGCCUUCAUCUGGUCAUGUUUGUAAAUUGCUUAAGGCUCUUUAUGGUCUAAAACAGGCUCCUAGAGCCUGGUUUGAUCGGUUAAGGAAAGCAUUGUUGAAGUGGGGGUUUCAGAACUCAAGAACAGAUUCAUCUUUAUUCUUUAAACAUGAACUUGGAGGUAUUGUAGUUGUGUUGGUAUAUGUGGAUGAAAUUCUUAUUACUGUAGAUAAUAAUACAGUGAUUGAAAGGUUCAUCAAAUAUCUUGGAGAUACUUUUGCUUUAAAAGACCUUGGUGAAUUCAAUUACUUCCUUGGUAUUGAAGUUACUCAAGGUACAAAGGACAACUUACAUCUCUCACAGGCCAAAUAUGUAAGAGAUUUGCUCACAAAAACUGCAGAGAAAGUGGUACUCCAAUGAGUACAGGACAGAAACUAAGAAGAGCAAGAAAUGAAGAUAAUUUGAUUGUUAAUGUUACUGAAUAUAAAAGCAUAAUAGGUGCAUUGUAGUAUUUGGUACUCACAAGGCCAGAACUUGCUUUCUCAGUAAACAAGUUGAGUCAAUUUCUUGCUGCAUCUACAGAGAAGUACUGGACUGCUUGUAAGAGAAUUCUAAGAUACUUAAAGGCAACUGAGGAUUAUGGCUUGCUAUUUAAACCAGGUGGUGGUGUUGUCUUAACUGCAUAUACUGAUGCAGAUUGGGCAUGUGAUGUUGAUGACAGGAAAUCAGUUGAAGCAUAUUGUGUUUAUCUUGGGCAAAAUCUUAUUUCAUGGUCUUCUGAGAAGCAACAAACAAUAGCUAGAUCUAGCACAUAAUCAAAAUAUAGAGCAUUAUCAACAUCAUGUGCAGAAAUCGUUUGGGUUCAGGCUUUGCUUGGUGAACUUAAUAUAAUCAAACACCAAUAAUCUGGUGUGACAACAAUGGUACUGCUGCAUUGACAACAAAUCCAGUAUAUCAUGCUAAAACCAAGCACAUAGAAUUAUAUGUACAUUUCAUAAGAGAGAAUGUGACAAAUAAACAAGUGGAAAUCAAGUAUGUGCCUAGUGAAUGGAAUAUUGCAGAUGUGCUUACAAAGCCUAUGGCUUACUGCUUUUUUAAUUACUGUAGGACAAGCUUAAUGUUGUUUCAUGACCGUUAAGCUUGAGGAGGAGUGUUAAGAUGCUUAAUCAACAGCAGUAGACCAGUGGCUGAGAUUUGUGCGACAAGGAUUGCUGAGCUGGACAAAUUAGUUAAGUUGUUGUAAUUAGUUUUAGUUUAGCCAAUAGAUGUAUUACAAUUGUACAAAAGGUUGUUAUUACUGUUGAUCAACAAUAUAAGUUUGCUACGAGCUAAAUGUAAUUCAUAUAAUUCAUAUCAAUAAAAUUUUCUCCGAUUUAGUUACUUUUCUUUCUUCUUUCUGUCACUUUCCUGCUAGCCAAACAAACUAUCAACCUAAGAUCCGUGAGUUCUAACUUUUACAAAUGUAAUAAUUACCAUGAAUUUGCAAAAACUUGCAGCAAAUAUUUGUGUCCCAAUAGGUUUACAAUUGCAACACAUAUCGAAAAACUGUAAUAGUACCCUUGAUUAUAAUUACUUGACCAUAGUCAGUGGCGAACUAUGUAUACGCCUGGCAGCCGAGGUGUCAGGAAUUUAAUUUAACAGGGGUGCCUAAGUUCAAACACUAACAUAAUUAAAAAAAUGGUCAAUAAAUAACAAAUAUUAAAAUAUUUAGGGCUAGUUUGGCAAUCUUAUAACUUUUAAAAUAAUUGUUGUUACUUGCGCUGUAAAAAUAAUAAGUUGUGAAUGGAAUUAGUUAAACGUUUGACAAAAUUUCUUCUUAAAAGUGCUUUUGUAAAUCUCAUUGUUGAACUAUUAUAAGAGUUUAAAUGAUUAAAAUGGACAUAAUAUUAAAUAAAAUAUAUUAUAUAGAUAUAAAUACAUACAUAUAAUAUUUUUUAUUAUGUCUAUUAGUAAUUGAAAACUAAAAUAAUUAUCUUUGUUUUAUUAAUUAUUUUUUAUCUCAAUAUAAUUAGUAAUAAUAAUAAUCUCUAGAUUUAAUAAUUUUAUUUCCUAAUUGAAUAAGGAUAAUUUUAGAUUUUUAUAAUAUAUGUAAGGAUAUAUAUGGAAUUUUAUUAAUUAGAAAACUUAUCCUGAAAAUUAGAUUUUGAAAGCCUACUUCUUUUUUGCUUUCCAAAAUAUGCUGUUAAUAAGAUAGAGUGAUUUUACCGAAAGUGAUUUAAAAAAAAAAAAUCUACCAAACAGUAAAAUUAAAGUUUAGCUUUUAAAAUCACUUUUAAGUCUCUCAAAAGGAAUCCCAAAUAGGCCAUUAAUUCAAUACAAUUAUAAUUGUUCUCAUGUAUUUUCAUAUGUUAAAAAUAUUGAAGAAUAACCUCAUUAUCAUUACUACAAACAUAUUUUUUUCUACGUAUACAAUAAAACUAUCAUUCAACAAUUGGUUUCCCAUAUGAUUUUGUGGAAGAUUUUUCAGAAAAUUCAUAGCUGAAAAUACCCUUUCUAAUUUAGUUGUGUUGCCUGAUAAAAUCAUUGCUAAUGUUACCAACAUAUAAAUUAAUGAAUACAACUAUCCAUUAUCUCAACCAUUUUUCUUGCUAACUCACCAGUCUCUUUUAAUCUUAAAAAUGUUGUCAAAACCCACAUUCAUAAUAUAAUCAUCAAGUUGAAUUUCAAGUGCCAUAAUGCAACAAUCUUUCUUUAUGGGUUCAAAGUGUUAAAAAGAAUAUUUAAUAUUUUACUUGUUUUUAAAUUUUAACAAGGGCAUUAUGGUAAAUCAAAUAAAAUAGGACAAAUAUUAAAAAAAUUAAAAAAUUGAAAAAGGGUUUUAGCCCCUGCUAAAAUGGCACCGCAUCUAAAGCCUAGGGUGCCUUGAGGCAACAUACCAAUAAUAAUAAUAAAGAAAGAAAUCAAGAAAAAAGACACAUAAUAAUAAGUAGUAACAUUAGCAAUGUUAUUUGUAUUUUAUGUUUUGACCCCUAUAAUUUUACAAGUUGAUUUUAUGUUACCGCCUACUGAAAUUUAUGGUUUUGGUCAUUGUGUUUGGCCCUCUCAAUUUUAGUGAUUCUAUACUGUAUGAAAUGUAAGUUAUGCAACCCAAGAGGGGGGUGAAUUGAGAUUUUAAAACUUACGCUAAAUAAUUCGCACAACAAUUUAAUGUAUUGCCUUAAUCAAAUGCAAAAACAAUAAAUUCAGUAAAGCACAAUACUAAAAGAGUAAGUACAAUAAUAAAAGAGUAAGGGAAAAGAAAGCAAACACAAAAAUUUUUACGUGGUUCGGCAAUCCCCGCUUACGUCCACGCCUCCAAGCCAACCAAACUCGAGGAUUUCACUAUCAAAGCCUCCCAAAUCCUUAAGUUCUUACAAUUAACUUCCAAUGUGUCAAUGAACCUUUACAAUCAAGAGAUUAUCUCCCCAAUCUAUUCACCCUAAGUGUUUCUCACACUUGUACACUUACAAUUUGAUGAGAAAUGAACAAUUACAACAAAAACUCUCUUUAAGAGUGGAUUUGCAAAUAAUAGCAUAAUAAUGAUUCAAUAAAUGAUGGUUUACGAAAUAGAACCUCAAUAUGUGUUAUAUGAUCUUAUUUAUGCUUACAUUAGUCUUGAAAAUGAAGAUGGAGUUAAGGUUUUAUAACUAAAGCUCGAAAACUAACCGUUAUAGGCAAAUUCCAGCGCUCAAGCGGUUAGCCGCUUGAUUUAUCCAACUAGCCGCUCCAGAACAAUGAUGUUACCAUUAAAUUUGAAUUUUACUACAGUAUCAUUGUUCAUUAAAUUACAUUUGUGACCAAAACUUUCUAUAAUUAUAUUAUAGCCUAACAUGUCAUAAAACUUUGCAAAUAAGUCUAAUUUCAGAAUUUCUAAAUAAUACAUGUCAUUCCUAAAUCUUAUUGUAAUUAUGAUAUGACCUAGUAUAUAAUAACAUUUUUAAAAAAGGUCCUUUUCAAAAUUUAAAAUAAUACCCAUAAAUUUUAAAGUUCUCAAAUCUUUUCAAUUUAGUCCAAAAUUUGAAAAUAUGAGACUUUCCUCAAGCGGUUGGCCGCUCACUCUCUGUCCAAUUUUUUAUUUCAAUUGUUUGGAUUACGUUUUGGUCCUCAAACUUUCUUAAAUUGUAAUAUGACCCAAAAUAUUUCAAAUAUUUACAAAUAAAUCUAAAUUCGAAAUUCAAAACAAUACUUAAUAAAAUAAAAGAUUGCAAAACUUUUUCAUUUUAGUCCAAAUUACUCAAAUCCACAAAAUACUUUAUCUUAUAAAUAUAAAACCUUUUAGUUUAUGAAAGGUAAUUAUUUAAAUAAACUCUUGAGUUUCUCAAAUGCUAAAUCAUAUAUCAAUUAAAUCAUACCGAUUUUACAAGAAUUUGUCACAAUAAUUUGUCCGUUGAGCUCUAAACUUUAUUCUUGAUUUUGCCGUUGUCCGUUGAGUGUCUUGAACUUGAUUCACUUGCAUAAAUAUUAUCCUUAAAAAACUAGUAAAAAUGUGAAAUACAAUAUUUAUUAAAUCACUUAACACAUGUUUGUUAUUAUCAAAAUUACAUUAUGGGUAGCCCUUUAGGCUAACACUGUAGCCUACUCAAGUAUAUAGUUUCUUCAUUAGGCCCCAAAACCAAAAUCCUAAGAGUAUCUCCAAAAAGUUCUAUUAAUUUUACUCUUCAAAUAUUUAUUUGCUUACCUAUGUGGUAAAAAGGAGAGUGAAAAAAUAUGUUAUUCUCCAAAAGACUCUUUAAAUAGAAAUAAGUUAAUAUUAUUUUAAUCAAAUAAAUAUUUUUUCAAAGGAAAAAUAAAUGGUAAUUAAAGCAUUUCUCUCUCUCUCUCUCCCCAAUAAAAAGUAAUAAAAUAUAAAUUGAAGAGAGAGAAAGUAACUCUACAAAUUAAAGAGAGAGAAUUAUUUCUUAUUUGAAAAAUCUUAAUUAGAGUAUCUUUUGAAGUCUUAAAUACUGAUGUAACUCUUCAAAUAAGUAAUAAAAUCUUAUUUGAAGAUUUUUUUGGAGAUGCUCUAACUUCACCACUAGAUUUACUUGAGUAUUCAACAAUACUCGACUUACUUGAGCGUAGGUGAUUUAGUUAUACUUAAUUGACUACUAAAACAAUUUAUUCGACUUACUCGACGAUACUUUACUUAGCUCACUCCAUGUACUAAUAUUUUACUAUUUUUCUAAGUGGUACAUUUAAUUACAAAAAUCCAUGAAAAUUUGAUAAUGAUGAAAUGCUUAAUAAAUAAGGGUAUUUGGUCGAAUUAUAACAAUGUUUGUUAAACACUGGUCUAAUAAUAAGUAGUCAUUUUCUGAUGAAAUAAAAUUAAAGCUGACAAAAUUUAACAUUACUGGUUUACUCUAUACAAAUACAACAUGAAUAAAUAUGUAUCUAUCAUGAAAAUUGACAUGAUUAUUAAAUGAAUUUGGUCUAAGUCAACCCAAUUGUUUCCCGUGUCAGGCUAGAAUUCAAUUUUUCAAUGCAUUUACUUGGUCAAUGACGUGAUUGUUAAAUAGUUAACCAAAACUAAUUCAUAUUUGCAUUAAAAUAUACUUAUAUUUUCAAUUCUAAAUUAAUUUAUAGAAUCUUAUCAUUAAAACUCAAAAUUUGGUCAUGAUUCUAGAUGAACAUAUAUUUGAUGUUCUAUUUUGUAAAAUUCUUGAUAGAUUUAAAACUUCAAUGGUUCAUACAUGUUGUAUUUGCAUCAAAUGAGUGUGUAGUAUUUGAUGUAAAUCGUGUUAGAAUUUAAAUAGGUAUUCAGUGAAUUUUUAGGUUAUAUCAUGUUAGAUGACACAACUACCUAGUUAUUAAAAGAGCGUAUCAAGUCACUAUUUUAUUUUUCGUAUCGAGUUCAAGUUUUAAUAUUUUAACAUUUUAUUUUUCGUAUCAAGUUCAAGUUUUAAUAUUUUAACACGACUAUUAAAUAAGUCGUGUUUUAACCAACAUAAAUUUAACACAAAAUUGACACAAUAUGAGUGGCUUAAUGACCUAUUUUGUUAGUUUUAUUUAAAACCCUCUAAUCUAUAAAUAAAAAAUAAAAAACGGUCCAUGGGCCUAGCCCAAAUAUAAAUUCAACAAAACCAGCUCCCGCUCAAUCACACUCUCUCGGUCGUUCCCUUCACUCUCCAAAACCCCCCAUUCCAAACAAAACCCUCAUUUUUCCCUCUUAACGAAGUCACUUUCUCGAGAACCAAACAUUCCCUUAGAUCUCCAAUUUCAUAAUGAGAGAAGAAGAAAUAGAGAAACUUCGAGGAUUGGUUCGCGACUGUGUGAGUAAGCAUUUGUACUCGUCGGCCAUUUUCUUCGCCGAUAAAAUCGCCGCUUUGACCAAUGACCCUACUGGCGUGUACAUGCAGGCUCAGGCUCUGUUCCUUGGCCGCCACUACCGCCGUCCAUUUCACCUCCUUAACGCCUCAAAAAUUGUGCUCCGUGACCUCCGAUUUCGUUACUUGGCUGGUAAGUGUCAGGUAAAGUUCUGUUUUUUGAUUGCAUUAGAAAAUUUGACUUUCAGAUUUUGGGAUUUGUGCUUUUUGCGUUUUUAGUUUUUUUUUAAUGUUAUGAAAAAGGGAAAUUUUGAAAAUUUUUACUUGAAAUUCGUGUUCUUUUUAUUUUAGAACAAAAGAAUUUCAAUGAAAAAUAUUUGGAAAUUGAAUUGCUCUAGCAAAUUUGCAUGUGUUGUGUGUUUUAAGAAAAUGAAAACUAGAUUUUGAGCAAUUAAGGAGAAAUUAUCGACUUUGAGCUGAAUGAUUUUGAUCAAUUUUUUCUUGAAUGUUUAUUUGUUUAUACAACUGGGUAGUUUUUCUUUUACUUAUUUAUUUCUGGUCUGUCCUUUGUAUAAUUAGGAGGAACUGAAGGAGUGGGACUAGUGUUUGUCGAUGCUCGGUGAUGCUAAGGUUGAUGAAGAUGGUAAUGUUUAUGACACAAAGGAUAUCAAUGUCAUGUACUUAGAUAAAGAUGGGGAAGACGGAGAAAUCAAUGUAAGUUUUUGUUUGUAAUCUCAUUUUAUCUGGCCUUUUAUUUUUUAAUUUGUUGCACAUUUGUUGUAUACUUGACCCAAUAUUUCUUUUUUCUAUUACAGAUCUCUUCAGCUAUAUGCUUUUUGAGAGGCAAAGCAUAUGAAGCCUUGGGAAAUUGUGCCCAAGCUCGGCUGUGGUUAGUUUCUUGCGAUGAAUUUACAUGAAAAUCACUCUGCUUAAUUGUAAAAUGCUUUAUGGUUAUUUUCCCUUAGUUUUUCAGUCAAAAUGAUACCAACUUAUACUGUCUAACGGUCUUCUGUUAUAGUAACUUAGGUGUAGUAAUUUAACGUACUGUUAAAGAAAGGAAAUGACUUUAUUGUUUUAAUGGGAGAAUUUUGAACAUUGUUAUAAACUUGUUUAAGUUGGGCAUAAGUAAAUUUAUCUUCAAUUUCAUUACUGAGCAGAUUUUGUUUGAAUGCAUGAAUGUUUGAUAUAUGUGUUUAAUAACCAAGGAGUUUGUUUAGAUACUACUUUAAGAAUUAUCUAUAUAUAGAUUGGGUAGUCUAGAAAACUCUCCUUGAUUAAAUCAAUGUAUAAUUUUGAUAAGACAGUUUAAAAUGUUAACAUCCCAUGUCUUCUGGAGUCCAUUUGGUGACAGAGGAAUGGUAGUAUAUGCUGGGAUGGUUUAGUUCAAUAAGGCUAUUAGUUCUGUUCUGCUUUUUCAAAGAGGUUGAUUGCCAAAUUAACAGCCACAUGAAGGAGAUUGUCUUUUUUUUUUUUUUGUAUCCUGAAUUGUUUUUGCUUCCAACCACAAUUCUGGUCUUCUAUUGGUUCACACUUCCUACUUGUAUCUCGAUGAUUUUAGCUGCAAUACCUCAUUACUAAAUUCAGCUCUAACAACAGAGGAACUUAUUUGCUUCCUCUUUAUCUUGUUCCAUUACUAACUUUCAUGUGCAGCAUUUUUAGAAGGUUAAAACUAAUAGUACAGAAAGGUGGUUUUAAAUCAAAUGUAACAAGAUUCAAUUGACAGAUCAGCUAUGCUUCACUCCAUGUGGUUACCUACACACCUGGAUAUUUGUUUUAGAGUUGUAUGCUGUCUGAAUUAGUGGCCUCAUUUUGUUAUCUGAUUGAAAGCUUGCAUGUAUUUCAGUAAGUUAGGUUCUUCCCUCAACUCUUUUUCUUUAGUAACUAUUAUGGUAUUGUUUUAUAACCUUAAUUAGCUUCUCUUUGGUUUUUCAUUUGUCAGUAUAUCUGCUCUAUUCUGUUCAAUUCCUUUUUCUCUAUUCUCUCAGUUAUGUUGAACUAAAACGCUAUAGUUCAUACAAAGGCUUACUAUAUUUUUUCAUAAUGAUUUAAGGUACAAAGCAGCAAUCAUAGCUGAUCCUUUGUGCUAUGAGGUAUGCAUGACACGCUAUCAAUGUUUUUUUUUUCCUUUCCCCCUAGGGAUAAGCUGGUGGGGGGAGCGUCCCGUUCUCAAAAACUCCUUACCUUGAAUUUUGUGGCUGCAUAAAUUUCAGACAUGACUUUCUAUGCAAAAUAUUACAACCUGUGGAAACUGUUGCCUUCUCAAGGAUUAGAAAAUUACUCAAAAGAGGGCUAGAUUUUUUGAGCUAGGCUUGUCCCUUUUUUUUUUUUGUAAAUAGAAUUUUAAUCCUUUUCUUUAAUUUGACCUCUGCUGAUCACAUAGAUGUCUCAUUUGGAUGUUCCUUAUAAGAUAUAUCGAUUCUCAUUCUUUAUGAUUUUUUUUAUGGCUGUACCUUGAUUUCUUUUUCAGGCUUUGGAAUGCCUUAUAGAAAAUCACAUGCUAACAUGCGAGCAAGGUAAUGAUGUAGUUUUUUCCUAGUCAUCUGUUUCUUUCAUCUGAGAGAAGUGGAUUAUGAAAAUGUUUACAUUUUGAAUUAUAGUUCUUACAUAAGUGUGCACGCGCACACACACACACACACACAUAAAUGAAAUUAUAGUCACACACAAACAUGUUGAUAUAAAUUUAAUUUUGGUAAAAAUUUCUUUGGCUGUGUUCAACUAGCAUUGGAUUUUUCAUGGAACAUGUUAUAAUAGGCUAAUACUUUAAAUUAUUGGAUUUGCUGUUGAAUUUCAGAAACAAGUUUACUUUCAUCAUUGGAAUUUGGUUUUGAAGAUGGAUGGCUUUGUUCAUUCUACUCAUGUUUGAUAAAAAAGGUGAACUGUGUGCAAAUUCAUAUGCUCUUCCAAAUGUAACCAUUUCAAUAAUAAGUUUCCCAUAUGUUUUCGUGAUGUUGAUUCUUUUUGCUGUGUUCGAGUGCAGUGAACAAUUUCUUUCCUUCUUUCCUGUCUCCCUUUGUUUUAUGCAGUAUGACAAAGAGAAUGUUGUAGAAGCCAAAUUCAGAGAAAUUGAAAAAGAAAGAUGUGACAGUGUCCAUUCGAGCCCAUCCUUCUCACACAGUCUGAAAAACAAUACUGAUCUUUUAGAGGGCUUAUUAUUCUGUCAACCAGCGAUACUAGAUUUCAGAAAUAUUCUCUUCACACAGUGUUCUUGGCUCUGUAAUUGUCAAAAAGUUGAAAAGCCUUUUUUCUGUCUGAUGCAUUGUAUAUAUGCAGUUUAAUAUUUGUGGACUUCAAUAAUAUUGAUUACCUUGAUUAUAAUAUUUUCAAUUGUAUGGUUUUUGGGUUAGGGAAGAUUUUUGUCUUUUUCUUUUUUUGGCUUGAUUCUUCUUCUUUAUUAUUAUUAUUGUUACUAUUUCCCUUUCACAAGGAAAAAAUUGGAACUUGCUCCACCUCGCAAAAGUUUUAGAGCGCAUUUAAUUCUCGAAUUGGAGAAUUGGAAUGGAGAAUGGGAAUGAUUGAUUGUGUUUACUUGCUAAAAACAUGAAGAAAUGAGGAUUGAUUUUGGGUGGAGCCCACAAGUUUGGAAAUGAGGUACUGGAAUCCCAUUGCCAUGAGAGAGGUGGGAAUGAAAAUGGGAAAAUUAACACUUUUAUUCUUAAAGAAAAUUAAAUAUUUUUUUUAUCUUAUAUAAAUAAAUAAUUAAUAAUAAUAGUAGUAGUAGUAGUAAUAGUUAUAAUAAUAAUAAAAAAAAUUUAAUGAUAACAUUAGUAGUAGUAAUAAUAAUAAUAAUAAUAAAUAUUUCUUUUUUACCUUAUGUAAAUAAAUAACUAAUAAUAAUAGUAAUAGUAGUAAUAAUAAUAAUAACAAAAUUUAAUGAUAACAAUAGUAGUAGUAUUAAUAAUAAUAAUAAUAAUAAUAAUGAAAAUUAUAGUAUUACGCUCAAUAUUAUAAUAAACAUGUAUAUAUUUAUUUAUUUUGUUAGUGAAAUAUAUAUAAUUUUAACUAAGGGCAUCAUGAUAACUUUCAAUAAUCUAAUCUGACUACGAAAUAAAAUAAAUGCAUAAAUGAAAUUCAGUUAAUUCGAUAGUAAACAAUUUAUUAUGAUUCUCAUUUCUUAUUUUGGUUCCAAAUUCCAUCCCAUUUCAACUCCUGCUCAUUUUGAUUCAUGGGAAGUAAACGCAUUGUUUUUUUUUUUUGAAGAAAGGAAGAAAUUCAUUAAACAGACAAAUGAGAAAAUAACCAGGGUGGUGGAACAUGUCUCCAUUCACCCGGACCUGACAAAGAACACCCCACCUUAGCCACAAUAUGGGCAGCGGUAUUCAUAGAUCUCCUUACAAAAGAGAAAGUCACCUCUUUUAAGCUAUGAGCCAAGGCUCUACAAUCCGAAAUAAUAAGGCCAAAUCCAUUCUGAUAGUCCUUGGAAUCAAUCAACACAUUAAACACUUGUAAACAAUCAGUCUCAAUAAUAAUAGGAAAAAACUGGGUGUUCUUAAGCCAACUCAAGACCUCCCGCACACCCAAAGCCUCUGCCUCACGGGCUGCAAAAUUGCCAACCAAAGAUCCACAUUUUGCAGCAAGAAAUUGACCCUCAGAAGACCGGAUAACUGUGCCGUAGCUAAUCCUAGUAGUAGCACGGGAAGUGGCAGCGUCCACAUUGCAUUUAAACCAUCCAACGCGAGGGCGUUUCCAACAAAAAGAGCCAAGAGUUAAAUCUGCUGGCAUCUGAGUAAAGUGACUCAGUUGACGAGCCCUUUGCCACUGGAACAAGUCUUGACCAGCUUUAUUGAGCACUUGAGGCACUCUGCCUACUACAUGCCUCCAAACUUUAGUAUUCCGAUUUUGCCAAAGACCCCAACAAACCAUUGCAGCAAGACAACUAUCCUCAAUACUACACCGAGUAAAUAGAGCAUCCAACCAAGCUCCAAAAGUAACAAAAUUUCCAGCAAAACCAACCAAAGAAACCAUCCAGCAUUGUUUGGCAAAAGGACAAUCAACUAAGACAUGAUAAAUUGUCUCAAGAGAUGCAUUACAGAUAGAACAAUAAGGGUGUACCUCAACUCGACGACUGAGAAGGUUAUCAGCAGUGGGAACCACAUUUGCCACAGCUCUCCAAAGAAAAUUCUUGAUUUUGGCGGGCACAGCCAGCUUCCAAAUCUUAUUCCAAACUCCACUGUCAGGCGGUUCCGAUAUAAUAUCCAUCCACUUAUAACAACUCCGAACAGUGUAAACUCCUUUGCGUCGGGGAACCAAUACCAAGUAUCACAAUCCCUCCGAGAGCUAAGAGGAAUUUGGAGAAUGCAGUCUCGAUCUCUUCUAUUACACACAUCCUUUACAAGGUCAUAAUCCCACAUUCGGUGAUCAGGAAUCAUAAGACUACUCACAGGAGCUGAUGCUAACGUCGCUGGAAGAUUAGUUGUAAUAAAGCCACUCUCCUGAUCAGGCAACCAAGGAACCGAGCCAAUAGUAAUGCUCUGUCCACUUCCAACUUGGACACGACUCCCUUGGAUUAAAAUCUUCUGAGCAGCCAAAAUCGAUCUCCAUACAAAACUCGGAUUACUUCCCAUCUUUGCUUGAGUGAAGUCUGCAUUAGGAUAAUACCGUGCUUUAAACAAUCUGCCCACCAGCGAAGAUGGAUUUGUAAUUAACCUCCAACCUUGUCUCCCUAGCAUAGCAACAUUAAAGUUGUGGAUGUGUUUAAAUCCAAUACCACCAUAAGAUUUGGGCUUACAAAGUCUGCCCCACUGCAUCCACCUAAUUCCACCACUACCAUAUCUUUUACUGCCCCACCAAAAAGAAUUCAGCAUCCUUUCAAGUUCCCGGCAUAGGUCGAGAGGGAGGAGGUAAACUUGCAUAGCAUAAUUAGGUAUGGCAUGUGCCACAGUUUUAAUUAAGAUUUCCUUUCCAGCUCUAGAGAGGAGUUUCUGACCACCCUUGAAUUCUCUGCCAAACUUUAUCCUUUAUAUAUCGGAAAAUGUCUAUCUUCUUGCGCCCAACAUAAGAUGGUAAUCCAAGAUAGGUACCAUGGUCUGUAGUAGCUACAACUCCAAGCUGUUGACAUAUAUUAUGAACAGUAUCGUCUGCCACAUUCCUACUGAAAGAAAUUAAGGAUUUAUUGUAGUUCACUUGCUGCCCCGAAGCUGCUUCAUAAGUUGCCAAAACCUUUUUUACCAGAUGAGCCUCCUGGACAGUAGCUUUAAAGAAAAGAAAACAGUCAUUAGCAAAAAAGAGGUGAGAAACCAAAGGAGCACCUCUAGCAACUCGAGCCCCAUGGAUCAUCCCGGCCCUCUCAUAGUGAUUUAUCAGCAAACUCAGCCCCUCUGCACAGAUGAUAAACAGAUAUGGCUAUAGCAGAUCUCCUUGUCUAAGACCUCGACUUGGCACGAUAGGGCCUAGCUCCAACUCUCCCCGGGUAAUCUUAUAGGUAACUGUAGUGACACAGAGCAUAAUAAGAUUCACCCAAACAACAUCAAAGCCCAACUUCAGUAAAAUCGAUUUAAAAAACCCCCACUCAAUCCGAUCAUAAGCCUUGGACAUGUCAAUCUUUAAUGCAGCAAUCCCCUCUUUUCCUUGACGUUUCCGUUUGAGAAAGUGCAUUAUCUCAGCCGAGAUUAAAACAUUAUCAGCAAUAGCUCUGCCUGGAACAAAAGCACUCUGUGAAUCGGAAAUUAUCGAUCCUAAAACCAUCUUCAUACGGUUAGCAAGCAUCUUGGCUACAAUUUUAUAGAGGACAUUGCAUAAGGAAAUUGGUCGAACAUCAGUUAAAAAUUCUAUCUGUUUCUUCUUAGGAAUAAAGACAAUAGAAGUCUCAUUAAGACCCUCAGGGAAAGAACAAUCCCGAAUGAACCUAAGACACGCCUCAGUAAUAUCAGUACCCACUACAUUCCAAAACUUUUGGUAAAAUGUUGGGUUCAUUCCAUCAGGACCAGGGGAUUUAUCAGGGUGCAUAUCAAACACGGCAGAUUGAACAUCUUCAGCAGUAAAAGGUUCCAAAAGAGAUUGAUUUUGUGCAUCAGUAAUUUUAGAUUCCACACAAUUAAGCACAUCAUCAUAGGAACAAAUCCUAGCAGUAAAUAAAGUUGUGAAAUACUCACAAAUUAAAUUAUUUACAUCCGCAGGAUUAGUACACCAUUGCCCCUCUUGAUUGCGAAGCUUGAUUAAGGUAUUCUUACGCUUCCUUGACGAGGCCAUGGCAUGGAAAUACUUUGAAUUUGAAUCCCCAUCUCGAAGCCAAAACGUCUUCGAACGCUGCUUCCAAUAAACUUCGUGGCUAUGCAAGAGCUCAUUGUAUCUAUCUCGAGCUUCAAUAAAAUCAGCCAAGCUAACUGCAUCACGCUUGCCCCUAAGCUGAUGCAUUUUAUCCUUACACUCCUUAAUUUGAGCUUUGAAAUCCCGAGUACGAUGAUAGCCCCACCGAACUAAAUCUAAGCUGCAAGCCGAGAUUUUACUGAGAAUAGGAAGCCCACCCACCAUAGACCAACUCUUCUCAACAAUAUUAGCACAAUCCGGAUCUCUAAGCCAUGAGUUCUCAAAACGAAACUUCAUAGACCGUCGUCUAAAACCACAGGAGACACAUCCAAAAAGAUAGGGAGGUGAUCUGAACUCGAAGCUUCAAGACACAGAACCUUCACUUGCGGGAAAAGAUUCACCCAAGCGGAAUUUGCAAGGGCUCGAUCUAACUGUUCUUCAACCCAAGCUUCAGUGCCCCGUGACCUUUCCCACGUGAACUGGUAACCAUCCAUACCCAAAUCAAUGAGGCCCGAAUCAGAAAGUGCAGCCCUGAAACCAUUUAUCUUCCACUGCGGGUGAGCAUGAGAGCCGCGCUUCUCUGAGAAAUUGAGGAGGUCAUUGAAGUCCCCUAGACAGACCCAUGGUAACGACGAAGUAGAAGCUAAAUACCGGAGAAGAUUCCAAGAAUCAUGUCUGCGAAAUGACUCGGGAAACCCUUAGAAACCAGUAAGUCUCCAGUUGCCCCUUUCACUAUCCUCAACUGCAAAGUCUAUAAAAUUACACCCAAACUUCAAUAAAUUAACUUUAAAACUAUUUUUCCAGAACAUAGCAAGCCCACCACUACGGCCCUUUCUAUCCACCACAAACAGACCCUCAAAACCUAAUCUAAUUUUGAUGCUUUCUAACUUAUCUCUGUAACACAAUGUCUCAAUCAAGAAAAUAAAAUCCGGUCUUUUAUUCUGGACCAACUCAACAAGAGCUUGAACUGACCGUGGUUGGCCCAACCUACGACAGUUCCAACUUAAACAACUCAUUGGUGUCGGUGGGCCUAGAAUACAGGGCCCACCGCUGGUCCAUUUUUUGAGUGCUCACUCAUCUCUAUUAUCUCAGUAUCAGCAUGCUCUUCUAAAUUCAAGUUGAUAGGAGGCCCACCUCCUGAUCUUCUCCGUUUUGCAUCAACUAAAAUUAAUGCAGAAUUAUACUCCACAUCAGUUUCCUUCACAAGCAUCGAAUGAUUAGCUAUUAGUUCCUCGUCAAUUCCAUCUACACGCAUUGACUUACAGCCUGUUACAAGAAUAUUAGAAUUCAUUGUGACUUGAGCACUUUCCUUCCCAAGGUCUCCGUGACCAGCUGUCCCAUGAUUCACGCCAUUUUCCAAGUCAACUGCCAUUUCAACAGCGUAAGUUGAGGGAUUACCAAAUUUCACCUCAUCUAUCUCUAACACUCCCGAUCUGAGCCAACGGUCACCGGUGUUCAUCGAGCUUCUCCGAUUGGGAGCCUUCAUCCAAGGGCCAUAAGGUUUAAUAACAGGGGUAGCAUCAGUUUCAUAUAUUGAGGGGCAAUUUUUAUCAGUGUGUCCUAAAAUGCCACAGAUAAAACAAAAAUUGUGCAGUCGCUCAUACUUGAAGUCUACCUAUAACCACUCCCCACCCGCUCUUUUGAGGCGCAUUCGUCGUUUAAGGGGUUUCCUAACAUCAAUCGAAACCCUCAGCCUCAUGUAAUUACGCCAUACUCCUGUAAGAUUAUGUUCAUCAGAUGCCAAAAAUUCACCAAUAAAGUUGCCAAUACUCUGUAAUAUUUUCUCGGACUGAAAUCCAAGAGGCAGAUUAUACACUUGAACCCAGAAAUAUGUGUGGAAAAGAGGGAUAUUCUGCGGUUGUUCGUCUACCCCAAGUCUCCGAAUUAUAAGAAUAUGCUGAUCAAAGGUCCAGGGACCAGAUUCAAGAACCCUCCUCAUAUCAAUUUCAUGAAAGAACUGGAAGAGAAAAAGCGUGGGAGAUAAAUCCUUAAUACAAACACCACGCCCAGGACGCCAUAACGAAGCCAUAGUAUUUUUCAUGGCAAUAAAGUUCACUACUUUGUCCGUGAGAAAUCUUCCCACAAGGCAGAAUUUGGAAUCAAGACGGAUAUCCCCAGGAUUAUCAAUCUCCUCUCCAGCCACAAUCAAACCACCCUCCUCCUCCUCGUCAAGUUGCAGGCGCGCACAGAUGUUGCUCAUCUCAGAUUUCAAAGUAUUACUUGUGUUGGCCAUGGAUUAAAGAAAGAAAAGGAUUGAAUCCGUAGACAGUAGAGAAAUAACAAAAGGAGACCAGAAUUUACUUGUCAAAAGACAAGACACACACACUUGUCAAAAGACAAGACUCAUUUUUUAACAAUACUCAAAACAAGUAAACGCAUUGUUAAUUUGUCGCUGUUGUUAAAUAUAUCCUUUAUGGAUUUCAUAUGAGGUUUGAAAUGUUAUUUAGUGAAAUUUAAUUUCUUGUUGGCUCUAUUCACCACAGCAAGGCUACAAAUCUUGAUGGGACAUUCGCCCCCGCUUGGAUAGGUUAUGGAAAUGCUUUUGCUGCUCAAGAAGAGGGUGACCAAGCAAUGUUGGGUUAUCGCACUGCUGCUUGUUUGUUUCCAGGGUAAUUUUUAGCAUUAUUUAUUCAUUUCUAUACCUUCCUGAUUUUCUUUUCCUUGGAUCAGCAUAUUCAUGCAAUGAGGACAAGGACAAAGCCACUAACUUGCUUUUGAGCAAGUUUCAGAACACUUUUAGAAUUUCAUUUUUGGCUUUUUUUUUUUACUUUCUUGGUCUCUGAAAGAUAUCUUAAGGGUAGGGUUUGGUUGAUUUUGCUCAUCUUGAUAUUAUUCAAUUCUUGUUUAAUUUGAAGAACAGUGUGCUUUAGGUGUAUAAUCAUGUGGGUAAAAAAUUUUUUUGGUCCCUCAAGUUUCUAUUAGGUUUCAUGUAAUCCAUGAAAUUUCUGUUGCUUCAGCUUAAUCUGUUUCAAGUGCGCUACCACUAAAAAAAUUGGGUUUCAUGGGUUAUCAACCAAGAUUUUUUUUUCUCCUUUGAUUUAAUAUUAAUAAACUGUUUUACCAAUAUAAACUUUUGAUGAAUGCUUUGCAUUUGAUUUCCAUAUUUCUUCCUGAGAAAUGUUGUAAGUUGAUUAAACAUAGUCUUAAAUCAACCCAAGGCAUUGUUGUAAUGUCUUUCUAUUGUGAUAAUAAACCACAAUGUCAUAGUAGUUUUAUGGUCGUAAAGAUCAAUGAAUUUCAUUGUUUAUUGUUUAGUGAUGGUAUGCAUUGUGUUGUGGGAGUACUCUUAUCACUAUGAAUUGUCUUUUUACAGGUUGAAUCUUGAUGGUCUCUUAUUCCAGGUGCCAUUUACCAACUUUGUAUAUUGGAAUGGAGUACAUGCGAACUCACAGCUUUAAGCUUGCCGAACAGGUGUAUUACUUUCUUCUAAAUAUAGGCUGCCUUUCAUUUUUCUCUUUAGAUUUCAAUGAGAACUCUUAAGAGGUUGUUUGUUUGCAAUAUGAAGUCUGAUUGUUGGAUAUUCAGAUGUUGGUCUAUACGAUUUGCUAGUUGAUGUUGUCUUGGGGGUUUCAUUUUCCUCUUUGGAUUUAAUGUGAAUACGACUUCUUUCCUCUUUGUUUAAUUGUGACAACUUCUAAUAGAUGCUAAUCACAAUCUUUAUUCAUGAUUCUGAGACCUGUGUAAUUAGAAUUUUGGUCAUAUCGUCCAUUUUCCUUUGUUGUCAAAAUAAUGUCUUCUUUACCCAAAUCUCUUAGUCAUAAUUCUUUGAAUAUAUUGUUGAAUUUCUGAUUAGCUGCCCUUUCUCCAGUUUUUCAUGCAGGCAAAGACCAUAUGCCCAUCAGAUCCACUUGUAUAUAAUGAACUUGGUGUUGUUGCUUACCACAUGAAGGAUGUUUGGUUCACUUGAGUUGCUGUUUUCUGUUGAUCCGUUUACCUUAUUAGUGUUUCAUUUUUAAUAAUAUUAUUACUUAAGUAUAUGAAAUUCUAGUUGAUUUAAACUUAGGUCUUGUUUGGUGUUGAGGUGUUGUAUCUUUUAAACUACAAGUGUUGUGGAAAAAAGCUGCAACUAUUAAAUAAAAGUUAAUAGCUUGUAGUAAAUAUAAUUUUUAAAUAAUAAUUUUGACAAAAUUAGUAAAGAUAUAAUAAAGUUUUCAUCAUACAAGUGUAAAAUCAAAUCAAGUUAACUUUCAAACUACAACAGCUGGUGCUUACCAAAUACUUUAGUGCUUUAGUUUUUAAGCUAUAGUUGUCCAAUUCAAUCCCAAACGGUGCUUUUCAGGAAUUGUGCUCUUUUUAUUGUUAUAUGUUAUGGCUUUUGUAUGAGUUCCCAAUCAUCAGUUUGACCAGCAAUUAUUUGAAAUGUGUGGUGGUUUGAAAAGACCUUGGCGCACAUUCCGUCCUCUUUAAGUGAAAUGUGGAAACCAACCGUGGUGAAUCUUGCACAUGCUUACAGAAAGUUAAAGUAUGUUUAAAUUUAUUGGAAUAGGUUGUCUCACUUGCAUUUUCUUGUUCUAUUGCCUACUCAAGAUAUUUAUCCUUUAUUUUAUUGUGUUUUUGUUGAAUUUUACAUGAAAUAUCAUUCAGAUAUCUAGAUUUGUUUUUUUUUUUUUGGCUAAAUUUUCAAGUAGAGGAUCAUCUUUAUCUUGAUAAAUGCAUUUUAUUUUAGGGAUUCCAGCAUAGGGUAAUAAUGUAAGAUUUUUCAGUUUGCAUCGUCUGAGAUUGUGAGCAGCAUGAAGAUAUAAGAAAGAAGUAUAACCUUCCUUAUACCGUCAUGGCUGCUUAUGAUCAGCUUUGCCCAGUAAGCUCGAGAGACUACUAGGAGCCGUAGAAGUUGUCUGUAGCACUUCCUAAAAGGACUUGAUGCAAAUAGUUUAAAUAAGGAUAUGCCGGAUUAUGGAUUGGUCUACUCUCUACUGGCUACUUCAUAUGCUACCCGUUUAUAUAUUUUUCUCUUUAUGGAAGAGUACUUUUUUUUUCAUGUUUUUGCUUUUUUCCUUCUUAGUAGGCGGUGGAUUUAGGUUUAUUUCUAGUAUUGCUAAUCUAUAAACAUACAUUUGACUUAUUGUUUAUUGAACCUGAUUCUAGAAUCUAUCAUGUUUCAGGAUAUAUCACGAGGCAAUAUCCAGUUACGAGCGAGCGCUGACGUUGUCGAAUAGAAGUUUGAGCACAAUAUAAGUUUGAGCACCUAUGCAGGUCUUGCUUACACUUACCAUUUGCAGGUAUGGUGGAUUUAUUAUUAAUUCAUUUUUCAAUGAAAACUUGUGUGCCUAUGAAUAUUCUGCUGAUGUGAGGAGUAGUUAGCAAAUUGAUCUAAGUAGUAUUUGUUAGCAAAUACUAGUUUAUUGGAUGCAUCUAAUAUUUGUAGCUUAGGGUUUAAAAAACUAUUGUCAGAUCUUCACCGUUGCGUUAAAAAAACUGCUAGAGUCUAUGGUGGCGAAUUUGUUUCUUUUGGGUCUCUUGUGCAGGAUAACUUCUCUGCGGCCAUUACAUAUUAUCACAAGGUAAACUAAAAAGUGCUCUUGCUGUUUCCUUUAUGUGCAAUAAGCUUACUGUCUAUCGUAGUCAUCCACUGUUGAAGAGACAACUCUAAUCUCGCUACAUUAUAUGGAUCAUUGAUUUGCUUUUUCAUUCUAAUCUGCAAAUCAGGCAUUGUGGCUGAAGCCAGAUGAUCUGUUUUGUACCGAAAUGUUAAGUUUGGCUCUUGUUGAUGAAGGUCGCCAUGGCAUUGACCCCAAACUCGAAUUUGAGUGUAAUUUGUUAUUCAUACCUAUAACAGUUUAAUUAUUUUGGUAUUGGUGAAGGGCUUUUAUUGUAUAAGCUCAAGGGCGUCAUCUUCAUCUAUAUUCUACCUUUUACAUUAUUAAUUUAUUUCCUCAUUUGUUGAAAUCUACUUGGCUUAGAAGUGAUUUAAAUUGCUUGCUUUCAUGGAACCAUUUUCUUCAUAGUUUUUAUUAUUUACCACCAAACAGUUAAGUCCAGGGAAAUUUACAAAAAGAGCAAAAAAAAUUAAGCAUUUUUCAACUUUAACCCCCUCAAUUUUUUUCUAUCAACAUUAGUCAAAUCACCAAAUUGUGGACGAAAUUGCCCUCAGCAUUCUCACAUUUCCCUCAAGCAAAUUCCUCCCCUUUUCACCAAAAUCUCAUCACCGGAAUCCUGUAUACAUCGUCGGCGGCAUAGAUCGGCAGCGGAGGAAGUUGUCGGCGGCUGAAACAAGCUAAAUCACGUUGAAAAUCUUCGGAGAUCUCCAAAAUCAAAGACAAAAAUUGGAAACCCUAGGUGAGUUGUUAUUAUCGUUGUUGUUGUUGUUGUUGUUGAUGUUGUUGUUGUUGUUGUUGUUUGGGCUGUUGUUGUUCUUGUUGUUAUUGUUGUUGUUGUUGUUGUUGUUGUUAUUUGGGUUGUUGUUGUUGUUGUUAUUUGGGUUGUUGUUGUUGUUGUUAUUUGGGCUGUUGUUGUUGUUAUUGGUGUUUAAUGGCGGUGGUGGGUGAGAUGUAUGUGGGAAAGGGAAGGGAAGAGAAAGGGAAGGGAAAGGGAAGUGAAGGGGAGCGCGAGGCCGCGGCUGUCGCACGUGAGAUGCUCAUCUCGUGCGCGCGAGGCUGCGCCUGACGCACGCGAGAUGCGCAUCCCCCUCACGCGAGGCCGCGCCUGUCGCAAGCGAGAUGCACACGACACGCUCAUCCAGCGCGCACGGAUGGGUAUGCCACACGCAUUUCGGAUGAGCGUGCCGCGCGCAUCUCGCGGGCGACAGGCGCGGCCUCACCCACGAGAUGCGCAUGCCGCGCGCGAGACGCGUGCUAGCCUGCGCGCUUAGCGCAGCUCUUGGUGCCUGUCGCACCCCCGUCGCACCAAGAGACAGCUCAUUGUUUGGUGCUGCCUUUUUUUUUUUUGCUUUUGUUCAUAAUUUAUUAACAUAUAAUACUUUUAACUUGUACUAGAUAAAUGGGAAAAUAAAAAAUAGCAUUGCAUAACUCACCUGGACCGACGAAAGAACGAGGAAUGAUGAAGAUACCUUAUGCUGAUCACUUUCCCGGGCGUAUCACGAGUAUGUGUAAAUUAGAUGUCGUUGUUAAUGUCAUCCGGGAAAAAUUAACAAAGCAACAGUUGCAACUGUUCAAAGAUAAUAUAUUUGGGCAUUUCCUACAGUGCCGAAGCUAUCCGUUCAGUGGCGCAAUUGUGCACAAUAUAUUGCUUCGGCAAGUGUCCCAUGGCGCUGGAAAUGAAUAGAAUGAGUUAUGGUUUCAAGUUGGCGACCAUUUGAUAUGGCUAUCGAUUGGAGAGUGGUGCCUUGUAACGGGACUUUGCUAUGGCAAAAAUGUCGUCCUGACGAAGUAUAAAACAAUGCAUAGGUUACUUAAGAAGUACUUUGGAGGUAGGAAUCGAUAUAAAUCUUGGCCAGUUCGAGGAAAGAUUUAUGAACUUAGACUUUAAGACUAUGGAUGACACCGAUGCGCUAAAAAUUGCUAUGUUUUACUUUGCUGAUAGACCACUAAACGGAAGAAAAGAUCAUUGUCAAAUCAAUUUCAAGUUGCUUAAUGAGGUAGAUGACAUAAAUCACUUUCGAAGUUGUUCGUGGGGUCGUUUGUCAUAGGAAACAAUAUAUAAAAGCAUUAAUAAUGCAUUGAACGGCAAAGCCAAUAAAUUUAAGAGAGCAAGCGCAGAAAAUCCCUUGCAUAGAAUUAAGAAAUACAAUUUUUACGACUUUACGUCUGCAGUGCAUGUGAGUGAAGAAUUUUUUUUUAUAACUUAGUUUUGUUAUAAUAAUUAUUUAAUGACACGUUUUUUUACUUCAUAUUUUUCCUUGUUGAAGGCAUGGAUUUUUGAAGCGAUUGGAGGACUACCAUCAUAGUGGGUGGUGAAAAUUAGGAGGAAGGGUCCUCAAAUCGUGCGAUGGAAGCCCGUGGCUUCUUCAAAUAUAAACUUCGGCGAAGUCUAUAUAUACCUCAACGAGCGUCUUGAAGUCAUUUAUAUGUAUGUAUGUAUAUAACUGUUAAAUAAUAGAUGGUUAUACUAAUUGAAAAUUUGGUAUUCUUUACGACAGGAUGGCACCAUUUUCCAAACCCUCAAACCGGAUGCAAAUGAGAAAGCCACAAAUUAUUGGAAGACCGUCGAGGAUUACGUGCCAUAUUUGCCAAGUUAGGUCCGUAAUGUGGGUAUCCUUUAUAGUAUCAUUGAAAACCGGAUGCAAAGUCAUUUAUAUGUUUUUUUUUUGUAUUUACUGUUUUCUGUUUUACUUGGUGCAGCACCAGCCUUCAAUCAACGAGGCGGAUCAUGACACCACGAGCCAAAUAGGACUGCAGCAGAGUCAUGUUGAGGAUGACUGUGCUGCCGACGACCAUUAUGAAUCCGCACAUGAUUCAGAUGAUAGAAAUGAGCCGGAGAUAACUUUUGUCAUCUUGAACAUUUUGUUUAAUCACAUAUACCUAAUUUCAGCACUUUGUCAUUACUUUCUUAUUUUGUAAUAAUAAGUAAGGACUAAGUUCCGCAAUGAUUAUUUCGUUCAACGACUGGACAAAAUAGAGUCUUCCAUUCAUAAGUUGAGGUCGGAACUUCAGACUGGACACAGUUCCAUUAACGAACUGAGGUCAGAACUUCUGGCAGAACGCAGAGAAGCACAACAAUACAGAGAAGCGGUCAUGGGUUUAUGGCUUCGUUUGGCACGGGUUCUUCAAAGGGCGCGUACGUUGAUUUUCCGUUUGGCCCCUCGCACACGGUGAGCAAGUUUCAUAUGCUUUUGUUAUGUUAUUAUAAUUUCAAACCCGAAAUUAUUUUAAUAUGUUCAUCUCCUCGAAACAACAAGCCCCAGAUGGCUAUGGUCCAAAUGUUGAUGCUAGCUACGGUACGCAUACUGAUGCUGGUAAUGACGAUGAACACACCCCUAUGUCGUUGUACAGUUUAUAUGGGGACAUAAGUGGCGACAGUGUACAGAUAUUCACGGAGGCACCUCCCGGCGUUAGUAAUUUGGCCGUCCGUACUGACCGUCGUAUAUCAUUGGCAAUCCUUACUUCAAUCCCCCUUUCAAGAGAGUUAGGAAUGCCAGGCCUAUGAAAUUGAUGAACAUUACAGACUAUGAAAUUGAUAAAAGAUCGAGUGUGGAUAUGAAUCCACUUAGGGGAUUAGAAGAUUCAAGGCUAUGUGAGAAGUUUGAUCAGUGGUUUGCCGGUAAAUUUUCCGUGGAUCAGCCCGUCCAACAGUCCCGAAAUUUCUUUGAAAUACUCAUGGGCAAUGCUUUGAUGGGGUGGCUUGGUGACGAGGUAAGUGUGUUUAAUGGUCAAUACAUUACAAUAUUGUUCAUAUUUCCGCUAGCAUGAAUUAUGUUCUAAAUUUACUUGGUUUAAUCCCUUCACAACAUAUUCACACAUAUUACCGCUUGAUCAGCGAGAAGCAACGUCGGUUUUCAAAUGCACUACCGCAGUGCGUCACGCAUACAGAUACAUACUUUUGGGCAUGUUCACGAACUCUAUAAUCAUUAACUAUAAUUUUGAUAUUUUAAAUAUCUCGAAAUGUUAUUAAUUUUCUACUCAUCAUAUAAUAGGUGUUCCUGAAGCAAUUAUGGAACAAUGGUAGUUGUGAUGUCCAUUCAUUACAAUAUGGCAGCAACUUAAACUGAUAUAUGGAUGGACGGAAAGAUAUUAUGUCCAAACCGUUUACGGACGUUGAUAUGGUAAGAAUUGUCACUCAAGCUUAUGGUAAUUGUGUAUAAAAUAUACUAAUUUAGUAUUUUUUUAUGUAGAUAUUCAUCCCUGUGAAUUUGGGCGGCGAUCAUUGGGUACUAGCUCAAGCAGACCUUCACACAAAGAGGGUGCGGAUUUACGACUCGUUGGUUACCUUUCGCGAUGACAAAACAUAUUUGCGUAAAUUCAAACCUCUUUAGGUCGUCUUCCCUCAAUGGCUACAAGAUGUUGGAUUCUACAACAUCUGACCUGGGCUGCAGAAUGCCAACCCUUGGAAAAUAAGAAUCGUUAAGGAUGUGCCCCAACAAGAACCUGGAAGUGGUGAUUGUGGCGUAUUUAUGUUGAUGUUUACAAUGUAUUUGAUGUUCAGGCUAAAACUUGAUUUUGAUAGUAGCCACGAGCAUUACUUUAGGAAGAAAAUUGUUGUAGAUAUAUUCACGGGCGAUAUUGCCUUGUAAGGCAUUGUAUUGUGUUCAGACUUGAUAUAUGGAUGUAGAUUAUUUUUCUAAUAGAUAUAAACUUUUGAUAUAUUCAUAUAUUUAGCUAUAAGUAAUUGUUGAUCUACUUUAAUACUCAUUAUGCAAAUGAACAUAAAAUAAUAUACCUCAUUACAUAUAAUUGUAAAAUAAAUUAUAAUAAGAGUUCAGAAUUCAUAAUUAGUUACAAUGAUACAGUCAGUUUGGAUUCGACACAAUGAGAUUUUUACAUCUCUUGCGGUUAUGACCUGGUUGGUUGCAUCGACCGCAUCUCAUAGUUCUUCGGUUAACAUUCUCACCGAUAGAAGGAAUUCUUAACUCUGGACGACGACCAGGUGGUGGUGCUUCGAUCGGUGGGUUAACUCUGAUUUCCUAGAUUCUUCUGGAAUGUCCCAAUCUGUCACGUCACCAACCAGCUCCACUGGUUCUACAUAUGCCAUGACCAAUGAAUAUUUAAAGUAAUAAUCAGAGCAAAGACUUAUGUAAUCCACACGGACGGUCAGACAAGCAGCAAUUGCAUGCGCACAAACAAGCUGAUCGAGUUGGAAUACUCUACAGGAGCUAGUUCUUUCAUGAAUGUCAACUAUCCCUUCCUUCGUACCUUCACCCAAAACAUGAAAUCGAUGCUGAGACACAGGCCGAAUGGUCAUUCUUUCGGCCAAAAUUCUCCUUUCCCCGACUAUCUCAUCUGCCUACGUCGUUAGACGAGUGCUCAUCGAUUCAGCCACAAUUUUCCUAUCAUAAAACCAUUGCUGUAAUAUUUUUCUAAAGUGAUUAACAAGAUGAGUUACAGGGAAUUUAUGUGGUUCCCUAAUUAAAGAAUUCACGCUUUCCGCAAUGUUGGUGGUAAGUAUAUUGUAUCUCCUACCUUUAAAUUCAAACCUUGCCCAAUUACACGUACCCAUAUUAUUCUCUAAGUAAUCAGCCACACCCGAGUGGAGCAUCCACAACCCUUCAAGUUGUCUUUUAAAUUCUUCGUGUCCAUAUGCAUUUGCUGCAUUAAUAAAGCCUGGCUCGAAUUGAUCCCAAAUAGCUUUGGACAUCCUAAAUUUAGACUUAAUGUUGCCUUUGACAUGGUAAAAAAAAACUCCAUAAGCAACAGUGUGAAAUGCUUUUAAAAUGGCUCUCUUGAUGGUAGUGCAUCGAUCAGAGAUAAAUACUAACUCUGUUCUAUCGCCAAUCACUCCGUGUAACUUCGUUAUAAACCAUUCCUAAGCAUCAUUGUUUUCUGAAUCCAUGACCCCAAUAGCUAACGAAUACAAUUGAUUAUUACCAUCCAGACAUGCUGCUAUAAACAUGCUUCCACGAUAUAGCCCCUUUAAAUGAGUGUCAUCUACAGUGAUCACAGGCCUAAUGUACUGCGUGAAGCCCUUGAUGGAAGAUCCAAGCGCAACAAAGUAAUAUAAGAAAUUAUCAUCUCCAUCCAGCUGGAGGUAUGUCACUGUGCCCUCAUUCGCUUUGGUCAAAACGUGAGAGUAUUUGGGAAGUAAGUUGUAUGACUUUGCAGGGUUCCCUCGUACUAUUUCAAGACCGACUUCUUUAGCCCGAUAUGCUUGCUGAUAUGUUAACUGGACCCCGUAUUCUUACUGCAUGUCUGCUCUAAUGUCAUUCGGCGUGUAUAUCCGUUUAGCUUGAAUAAAUUUAUCUGCAAUAAGAUGGCCAACAACCCGACUCUUAACUUGACAGAGGCCACUAGGCAAAACCUCAUUAGAGUACGUAUGAACAUUGUCAACUCUUCUCACUACCCAAGGAACAUUCUGCUCAUUCGAAUCUUUCGUUGCGCAAAGAUGCCAAUUACAUGAUUCCGAAGAACAGUUAGCCUUAAAGCGUGUCGUUAUGGACCGUGCAAUCUUGAAAUCAAACUUUUCCCGCAAGGACACUUUGUGCAAUUCCAGUAUUAACUCAUUCUACUCAGCGAAUAACUUUCCCACACCAAUGUCAGCAGAAUUACAGCUUCUAACUAAGUCUGGAGCAACCAAAUUUAAAGGCAAAACUGGAGCAAGACUCACCAGGGGAUUAACUGUUGUCCUCCUCCUCGAACGGGCCAUCAGAGGAAUAGGUCGGUUGUCUCUAUUGUUAAUAGGAAUAUCAUACUGAUGCUCAUCCUCAUCAUUGAUAGGAAUAUCGGAAUGACCAAUGCCUAUAUCAUCAACUUCAGUAUUGGAGUUCAUGCCUUGCACACUAUUGAACGGUUCCAAACAAGCAUUAUCAGCUUCUGUGUUUUUGGUGUCAUAACCAAGAUCAUCAUAACUGCGGAACUCAUUAUUGUGAAAUGGAGAGUAAUGUUGCCCUAACGAUGUCCCUAAUGGUAACACAUUUUCUUCAACAUCCGCUAACAUAAUGCCAUUAUCAUCAAUAGUGUCAUUGUUUUCGUUGACUGGUGAGUAACGUUGCUGGAACGACAUGUGUUGUGGUAACACAUCUUCCUAAAUAUCGGGGACAGACUAGUUUGCUCUAAACGAAGUUUCACUUUCCACAAGUGGCUCAGGAUUUUCGGCCGGAACUCGAGGAUAUGUGGUGACAAAUAUAGGGAGACAUCCAUAAUUGACCACAUCAGAGGCCAUGUGCAGUACAACAUUAACCAUUUCAUCAUUAAAUAUGUCCAUAGGUAGUGAACAUGCACGAUAUAUUGUGUUACUAGACCUCAAAGUUGUCUUCAUCAUCAAACUAUAUUCAUUAGGAUUUAUCUGUAAAACUUCAUACACCCUUGCCAGAAAUUGCUCAAACGUACAAUCUUUCCGAACUAAAAAUGUUGUAUUCUUCGCAUUCACGUACUCCGUACGGCCAUCUGCUAACGUCUCCUACCAACCGUCGUAACAUAAUUGAAGUACAACGAAAUCCAUUAAACUUAAAAAUUAUAAAAAAAAACAUAAGAGAUAAGAUUUCACGCUACAAAACCUAGUAAAGUGAAUAUGCAGUACAUUUAUGUGGAUGAAAUGAAGUAUACAAUUUUGGAUUUGCUUCGUCUCAUCGUAAGCUUCAAAACGAUAUAUUAUACGCCUAAAACGGACACAUCUAGCCCAAGUUAUUACUUUCGAAAAAUAGCUUAAAUUUAGUGAGACAGGCAGUGGGACAUGUGCCUGUCUCACAUAAAACCAGUGGGAACAAGUGAGACAGGCGCCUGUCUCACAUAAAACCAGUGGGUUUAUAUGUGCGACAGGCGCCUGUCCCACUUGCCCGUCACACAUAUUUUGGUGAGACAGGCAAGUGGGACAAGUGCCUAUCUCACAUAAAUCUGCUGGUUUUAUGUGAGACAGGCGUCUGUCUCACUUGUUCUGGGCUUUUGUUUUGCUCGAUUUUUUAGGGGUUUAAAUGAUUGAUCUUCAUUUCUCAACUCAAACUAACUAAUUUAACAAGUCACAUUAUUUUGUUAAUGAAAAAUAACAACGUUUGCAAUAAAAAACGCACUUCAAUUUCGAACUCAAAUGAUAAAAUCAAUAGAUUAAAAGUUUAAGUUAUGGUAAGAGUAUAAACUAACCUUAAGAAGCUCUCCAAUUGAUAAUUAUAUCUUCAAUUAUGUAAUGCUUGUUUGAUGAAAUUUGUUAAUUUAUUGAGAGUGAUGGAGUUUGUUGAGUGAUGAAGUUUGUUAAGUUGAAAAGAGAAAAGUGGUGGAAGUGUUGGAAUUGAAAAGGGAAAAGUGGCAUGCUUUGUAAAUUUGAUGAAAGUGAUGAGGGUAAUGUAGUACAAAAAUAGGGUGUUUGGCUAGUUAUGAUAGAAAAAACUUUGAGGGGUUAAAGUUGAAAAACGCUUAAUUUUUUUGGUUAUUUUUGUAAAUUUCCCUUAAGUCCAUUAAGAAAUUAAUGAUGUCACAUGGAUAUUUCAAGAAUUUUAGUUUAUUAAGCUGGAAGUAUUAUAAUAUUUACAAUUUUAUCAAUUGAUCAAUUUGGAUAAAUAAAACAACCAAUUGAUAAAAGUAUUAUCUCUUUGUGUAUGUUAACUUUAUUUUUUUAUUGAUUUGGAAGAUUAAACUUAUUUUCACAAUUUAGGGGUAAACCAGACUUUUAGUAUAAAUUCUAUUAAAAUUUUGUUAUUUUAGCAAGUAAAAUGUAAUAGUUGGAAUAUUAAACUGUAAAAAUAUAAUUAUUAAAAAAAUUUACUAAUAAAGUGAUAUAUUAGACGAAGUUAGGCGAUAAAGAGAUAACAUCCCUCUUAGGAAUUAAUUAUAUUAGUUUACAACCUUGUAAUCCUUUGUUAAGCAGCAAAGUUAAAUAUCUUUUAUUGAGUAUUUUUGUUUCCUAUUUAACACAUGCAAUCUUUAUUAAAUGAAUAAAGAUUUUUUUUAAAUAAAUAAAUAAAAGAGGAGCAAAGCCGAAAUCAAAAGAGUUAAAUUUCGUCGAGCCUCGUGUACUCAGUUUAGAAUUCUAAAUUCACAAGUCUAAUUAGGUUUAUAUUAUUAUUAUGAUAUUAGUUAGAAAGGCAGCUAGUAAGCAAGUCGAAUAAGACAGCUAUUAUUAUUAUUAUUAAGUUUUUUUGGCCUCCUGCCUUUCCUCUUAUGUGAACUUUGGUGAACGACUAAAGAAAGCAUCAGCUAAGCUUCUGAGUCUCAUCCAAAAAUUAUUGGUUUAUACCAAGAUUCCUAAUUGCUACCAUUUGAAUUGUUUUUCAACUUCUAGUUCUCAUAAUUUUGAGAACAAUGAAACAUGAAAAUAAUUGCUUUCUUUGGUGAUUGAUUGAUGUGAUUCUAUUUCAUUGGAUCAUUUUCUAUUUCAUUAUUAUUAUUAUUAUUAUUAUUAUUAUUGUGGUCGUCGUUUGUUUAGGUCACUUUGUAGUGUAGAUCCCGAUAAGUAAUGAAUUUUUUUGUCAUUUAUUCUUUUAGCAACUUUAAUAUUUUUCCUUAAGACUUUUCGUUUUCAGUGGAAACACGAGAUGCACGCGAGGUAGUUGUUAAUUUAGGAGUUGAGUUGAGUUUUUAUUGAGUAUUGAAUUAAUAUUUAUCAAAUAAAAGAAUAAAAGGAUAAAAUUGUAAAAUAAAUUCUUAUCAUUAAUAUAUUGUUCAGUAAAAAUUGAGUUGAAUAUUAAAUAUAGGUUAUAUUGUAACUUUCUUUUAAGUUAUAUAAUUUUAUAAUUAAAUCUAGAGUCGUGCUAAAUUACCGGGUGAGUAAUUUAUGACCCAAUCAUUUUGUGUAAAUAUGAAUAAUUAUAAGAGUGGAUCCGGGCUACAAGUUACUACUGAUGCUUUAUCUCAGCGAAAAGCCUUAAGUUUAAUUUUUUUGGGAUUAUUUUCUCCAUUUGGAUAACACCACUCGAACUUUAGUUGACUACGUGUCAACAUUUCAAUGGUAUCAUAUCAAAUUAUUAGCUGUGAAUAAUUGAGCGAGAAAACAUACGGAGCCACAACUUUUGCUUUUACGUGAACGUGAAUCAGAUUCUUGGAAGCUGUGAAGUGGGGACUGAUCGUUUAAAUUAUUUAAAGCCAGCAAUAAUUGAAGUUUUAUUUAUUUUUUAAAUGAGGCAAUAAUUGAUUAUUACUUUCGAAAGUUGUCAAUUUUCUCUCUAUAAUAAUUAAUAUAUAUUAUUUUUUUAUUAUUUUUAUAAUGGUAAAAAAUUUUCAUGACAGUAUAAGUUUAUAAUAUUACCCUUAUUUUUAACUAUUUUUUUAUUUAUAUUUAUUAUAAGUUAAAUAAAUCACAUGAAUAGAAACUAAAUAAAAAAUCAAAUAUGAAAAAUAAAAAAUAUAUGUUAUGAUAUGAGCAAAAAAAUUAAUAAUAAAUUUUUUUCUUGUACUUAUUUAUUUUGUGAAAAUUUUCUUAUAAUAAAUAUAUAAGAAAAUUAUUAUAAAAUGAUAAAAAAAUUAUUAUAAGAAAACUUGAAUGAAAAAUAAAAAUUUAUUAUAAGAUAAAUAAUAAAAUAUUUUACCUAUACUUUUUACAUUUAAUAAUUAUAAGAAAAAAAUUUUAUUAUUAUUUUUUUACUCAUAUCAAAAUAUAUAUUUCUUAUUUAAUUUCUAUUCAUGUAAUUUAUAAUAAAUAUAAAUAAAAAAAUAACUAAAAAUAAAGAUAAUAUUAUAAAUUUAUGGUGUUAGGAGGGAUUUUAAUAAUUAUAAAAAUAAUAAAAAAUACAUAAUAUAUUUUAAUUACUGUAAGAAAAAAAAUGGCAAUCCCCUUAUUACCUCCACCAAAGCUUUAUGAAAAGGGAGCUGCUACCUUGUUUUCCACGAGACGGCAUAAGACGAUCGCUCUUAAUUUUUAAAUGACUCAAGUUGACUUACCGUUGAACUGGAAGGACAUAAAGCGAAUGACCUUCUCAUUUUCCAUCUGCCACAAAAAUUUAUUUAAAAAAUAAGUGCAUAAACUAAGCCGGUCUUAACGUUUAAUUUUUAACCAAUAUAUAUAUAUAUAUAUAUAGAAAAAUGAUAUUUACAUUUCAAGGUUUAGGAAAAUAAUCACAAAAACUCUUGAGUUUUUAAUAAAGGACACCGAAAUUCAUUUAUGACUAUAAUACCCUUUGACUCUAUAAAUCUCUAAAAAAAUAACUCUAAAAUUUUAUAAUAAAUAAAAAUAUGGCAUUAAAAUAAAUGUAAUAAUAUAUAUAUUUCAAAAUAAUUUUAAUAUUUAAAAAUAUUUUAAUAUUUUUAAUCUAUUAGACCUCUUUUAUUAUAUUAAAGCAAUUUUUAAUAAUAAAUAGAAACAAAAUAUUAAAAUUAAAAUUAUUUUGGCUAUUAUGUAAAAGUUAAUUUUAAUAUUAUUAAUAGGGGGAUUUUUUUAAUUGUAAAAUCUAUUUAACCCAAAGAUUUAUUUAAAAUCUUUUUAAUAUUACAAUUAUAUUAUUAAAAUAAAUAUAAUAAUUUAAAAUUUUAAUAUUAUUUUAAAUGUAAAAAAAAUUAUUAUUAUUAGUCUACCAAAUAGAUUUAUAUUAUUUAUAUUAAAUUUGUGUUAAUUAAAAACUUUUAAAAUCAAUUUUUUAAUUACUAUAAUCAAAGGGUAUUAUGGGUAAAAAAGAGUUUUUGUAUCUUUUUUUUAAAACUUGAGAGUUUUUAUAACUAUUUUCUCAAAUUUGGGAAAUGUCAUUGUCCUUUUUCUUUUUUUAUACGAACUUGGAUCUCAGUUUUUUACAAGUAUUUAAAUAUUAGUACGUGAAAUGUAUUUUAAAAUAUCCAUCAAUUUAUUAUUUCUUAAAGUACCUUUUAUUAAUAAAUAGCAUAAUACACACGAAGGACCACUGAUAUUGAUGUUCAGACAUCCGAAUCAAUUUUCUUUAUGAGGAGUCUACGUCAUGAUUUUUAUGUCACGAAUUCUCCAAAAUAUGAUGUAUAUCUUGAUUUCUACCUUUUAUGAGGAGUCUAUGUCAUGAUUUCUACCUUUUAUUAAUAAAUAACAUAAUACACACGAAGAUAUGGGUGAUCGCGGAUCGGAUUUUAUGGAUUGGACAUUAAUCCAUAUCCGAUCUACGAUUUUACGGAUUAUAAAUUUUCAAUUCAAUCCAAUCUAUGGAUUGGUAAAAUUCAAUUCAAAUCCAAAUACAAUCCAUACAUUUGCAGAUCGGAUACGGAUUUGACCAAAUCCAUAUCCAAUUCAUCAUUUUACGGAUUAGUUUGCGGGCUAAAAAUUUUUAAUUCUGUCAAAUCCACAAACUAACUAAAUAAAAAAAAUUUAAUAUAAAAAUAAUUUUACUACCGAUCAAAUUUAAAAUUAAAUAAGAUUUCAAUAAAUUAAUUGUUUAAAUAAAGCUAGAAAAUAUAUUUAAAGUUUCAAAAGAUAGCACACUAAAACGAAAAAAAUCUUAUUUGUUUAGAUCGGUACAUUUUUUUUUUAUGCAAAUACCACUCUAUUGGUGGGGGGUUAGGUGGGACCCCUACUUGGCAUUUAGAACAGAUAAUGAAAAAUACAUGUGGAGGGAGACAUAAACCAAAACCUCCAAUCUAGAGAAAUAAAUAUAACAGUAAAAGAAAUGACUUAGGCAUAGCCUAACAUAAGAAGAAAAAGAGUAAUGCAGACGGUGACAAUAUCUCUUACGAUACUUGCGGCCAGCAAGUAAUUUAAUGUCAUUUUUCGAGUGACCGACAACGCUAAAAUCAGGGCUAGAGUCAAUUCUCUCAGAAUUCUCAGGAGCAGACAGAAAAUAUUCAUUAUUCGCCAAAUGUUCGUCAGAACUAUCAUCAUUAUCAAUAUGAGAAUUGUAAUGCCUAAAAUAUGUGCUGGAUGCUCGAUGAAGCUAUCUAUUAUACUCACUUGGUUCUCGGAUCCUAGAAUCAUGAGUCGUGACAUCCUGGCCAGUCGGCUCCUGAAUGGAAGUAGAGUUUGUAGCGUUAACUCGGUUCUCCGUAGGUACAAUUGGAGACCCCACAUCUGCAAUUUGCUUAGUGAUGGAAGGCUCAAGUUGUGGAGUAUCCAAGGGUUGUGGAGUAUCUGACGGCAGAAUUUCAGACCUUUUAUUAUUUACUCUGGUCUGUCAAUUCCCACUAGGUCGCUGGGGAAGGACCCCUGGAUUGGACACGAAACACAUCUCAAUGGUAUGGCCAAGGCGCUUGCAGGAAGCACAGUAGAGAGGGAUUUUCUAAAAAAUUACACUCUGCCAAAAUCCAGAAUCUCUCACACUGAUUCGUAUUCGUGGCAACGAAGGUUGAGUGACAUCAUACUCCAUUAACACCCUAGUUGCAGAAGGGCGAGCUAAAGAGGCAGUAGCUUGGUCAAUCCGUAAUGGCUUGCCAAUAGCUUAUGUAAUAGAAAAUAAUGCUUCCUUACAGUGCAUAAAGUGGACAAGCAAGUAAGGAAAUGAAAUCCAUACUGGAACUAUAGGGGACUCCUCGGAACAUCGAAAAUCGAUGGUCUAUUUAAAAAUUCUCAUGGCACUCUCAUUGAUGUACCAUGUCUAUCUAACCCGUAGGCGGGAGUAGUCCUCCUCAACAUCCAAUUGAAUUAACACAUGUCGAUUAUCUAAAAAGGACACCUUGGAAGUUCCCUUCAAUCUCAUAGUAUUAAAAAAAUUUUAAAUUAAUUCCAUACUAGGUCUAUUGUAGGAAAAUUUACCUACCAAUGUCAGCUUGAAAGGAAUAGCCAUCGCUUGAAUUUCAGCAGUGGAAAAUUGCACUUUAGGCUCUCCCUCGAAUGAAGUGGCAAUCUUGAUUAGAAUCGACGAGCUAGUUGGGCCGUUCAUAAUAUCCACCAAAGAUUUUUUAGUGGGUUUAUUUUGAUUCAGAUUAGGGAUGGAUUUCAAAACCGAGGCAUGAGAAGGUGCGGAUGUGGGCUGAGUGGUAUUUUAGAUUAGCAGAUUAUUUUGGGGGUUAUUUAAUAAGAUUGGAGAGGGCAUUCGGGAGGGCUGGGUGUUGGGGUUUAUUUCGAAAACAGAUUGGGCUUAGGUUUUGUUUGGGGGAAAAAUAAGAAAGAUAGUAGAACGCCACGUGUCGAAGAAUGAAAUAACUUCAGUGCAAUCCGAGGUACCCGACAUGAUUAGAGGUACCUCGCAUGAUUAGAAAUACCUGUCCUGAUUUGAGGUACCCGGCACCGUCAGAGGUACCCCGCAUAGACUGGGGUACCCUGUAUAAUUCGAGGUACCCGGAAUAACUCCAGCAUAAUUUAAGGUACCCGGCCUGAUUAGAGGUACCCUACAUAAUUAGAGGUACCCGGUGUGAUUAGAGGUACCCAGCCUGAUUAGAGGUACCCCGCGUGAUUAGUGGUACCCUGCGUGAUUAGAGGUACCCGGCCUGAUUAGAGGUACGCCGCAUGAUUAGAGGUACCCGGCGUGAUUAGAGGUACCCCGCAUGAUUAGAGGUACCCGGCGUAAUUAGAGGUCCCCGGCUUGAUUAGAGGUACCCUGCGCAAUUAGAGGUACCCGGCGUAAUUAGAAGUACCCUGCUUGAUUAGAGGUACCCCUCACAAUUAGAAGUACCCUACAUGAUACGAGGUACCCCACACAAAUAGAGGUACCCCGCACAAUUAGGGGUACCCCACAUAAAUUGAGGUACCCCACGUAACUCGAGGUACCCGGCAGAUCAGAUGCAAGAGAAUCCUCCAAAAAUAUCCGCCAUGAGAAACGUCUCCACCUCUUAAAAGAUAUUAUUCGAUUUUGUCAGAAUUAGGAAUCAAGAACUUCGUACCAAAAGGGGGGGGACAACCGCCUGCUACCUCUGUCAAAAGUAAAGGACACUGUCCCAAGGGCAGUGGUCCUCAGCCGUCUACCCGACAGUUACUGCAGAGGUACCCUGGACCACUCUCCAGCGCACGCCACGUUUCCAAAGGAUGAGAUACGCCGCGAACAUGCACAUAACGGCCCAAAAAUCAUAAAAAUGUAAAAGGACGUUAGCCAAAAGGAUACGCCACGUGAUAGCUGAGGUACUCCAUGUAUAAAGGUGCCUAGAUUUCAUUCUCCAAGAGUUUCUGACUCACCAAAAACACUCACACUCCAAAAUAGAGAUUUUCUUCAACCUUAAACUCUAAUUUACAGAGGGUUAGCCAGCUCUCUUUGCCAUAAAAGCUUAAGUUUGCUAACUUGAGCGUCGGAGUGUGAACGCCGGGGUACCCCGGUUUCACCUUUAACCUCUAUUUCACUGUUUUGCUGGCAUGUAGUUCAUUUUGAAGGACACCUCUCUUGGUUUUGACCUUUCACCAUUGUUACCACUCUCUCUCCCCUUCUCACCUCCCCCGAACUUCAGAUACACCGCACCGCACACAACAAACCAGUGAGGUACCCCAUCUCCCCCAAAAAUAUAAAUUCAUUGUUCAAGAUAGAUUUUGGCUUUUCCUACCUCAAAAUCAGUUGAAAACAGGUUUGACUAGUGGGAAAGGUUAAUGGGGCAUGGGAAGAGCUAGUGGGAGACACACAUAAGGAGCACAAUUCAUGUGCUAUCGAAAGUGUCUUAUGAGCAUGGGAAUUACACGCGUGUAGACUUUUAAGCUGGUGUUGGGUGGAUGUUUGCUGACCUUGGCUGGGUUCUGUGGUGGUUGCUUGCAUCUGACUUUCUGUUGACAGCUGCAGCUGGCCGUGAGCUUGUGAUUUGCAUGGGGUUUUUUGUCUUGUGGGAGUUGUUUGUGUAGGUGGUGAUUGUGGCUGGCUAGUGGUUCUAUCUUGGACCGAAUCUUGAGACAAAUGGCCAUGGAGUACGGGCUGGUUUUGAUGGUGUCUAGAGGCUGUGACAGCAGGAUGAACUCCCGAAUGGUGUGUGGUUUGUGUUGGCUACGGGCUAGAGGCUGGUGGCUGGUUGGUUUGAGAUGAAAACCCAUUCACCAAGUCUGGUGGUGAAAGCUUGGAGUUGGAUGUUGAAGAGGUGACGAUGGCGGUUGGAGAUGAUUGUUGAAGGGACGACGAUAGCGGUGUGUUUGCAGAAGUUGAGGGCUGUUGGGGUUGAGCUGGUGUUUGACUCCUAUAUUUUGAGCGAGUUUGCCUUUGGGAUCUCCUAAGAAAAGGAGGUUCAUUUCUGGAAGUGAGGGGAGGAGCCGGUGGUGGUUGGCUGCCAUUAUCGUCAACCGGCAAGAUAAGAAUCGACUUGUCUCCAGUAUUGGUUUCUUCCCCUUCUUCUAGUGAAUGGAGGGGUGAUUUUGCUACCUCACGGCAGCAUUCAUAGUCAUUAAUGCCACCAUUGAUUGCCAUUUCUUUUUGCUCACUUAUGGCAUUAGGUGUGAUUGAAGGUUGUUGAAGUUUCGAGAGGAUAGCAACAGUGGACAAUGGUGGUUGGUUUGCAUGGGGUUGGAUUUGAGAUGGAGGGUCUGCAUGAGAGUGGUUUGGUUUGAUUCGCGGUGAUGGCAACUGGACGUCCGGUGGCGGUUCAUUGGUGAAUUUUGGGGGUCGUCUAAAUGAUUUCUUAGGAGGGUUCAAACUCCUGAUAAUUUGUUCUUCUGCAGAGAGGGUGUAGACUGGCGGCGGCCGGUUGCCAUCAUCGGCGGCCGGAGAGGCCAUUAAGGCCGUUUAAGGCUUUUGAAGGGGGAAGGGGGAGACAUGUAGUUGAUAUUAGCAAUUAGAUCAGUACAUGGAAAUUAACUAUUUAAGAAGUUAUAUUUGUUUAUUUAGUUGUUUUUAUUUUAUAUUAUUAUUGGCUAAAAUAUAAUAUAGUGUUAAUGUAACUAUAUUUUAAUUUAUUUAUUUACUAGUAAAUACUAAUGUCAUAUUUACAAGUUUUAUUUUUUUAAUUAAAUAAAUACUUUUUAUUUUUUUGCGGAUUCGUGGAUUUUUGUGAAUUUACAGAAGUAAAUCCAUAUUCAAUCCAUCGAUUGCGGAUUAUCAAAUUUUCAAUCCAAUUCAAUCCACGGAUCGGAUUUCUACGGAUCAGACGGAUUGAGCGGAUCGAAUUGGAUUCUGAACACCUCUAUAUGAAGGACCACUGAUAUUGAUGUUCAUACAUCCGAAUCAAUUUUCUUUACGAGGAGUCUACGUCAUGAUUUCUACGUCACGAAUUCUCCAAAAUAUGAUGUCUCUCACUCUUAUUUAAGGCAAACCUCAUAGAGGCAAUCACAGAACAUGAAGAAAAUUAAUUUUGUUCCUAGUCCUCACUAUCUAAAGAGAAUUUUCGUUGAAGCUAUAUAUAUAUAUAUAUUGAAUCUUUUGAAAAAAAUUGCUUCCUGAGCAAAUGAUUUCUUGCUGGGUUUCUUCAAUUGCUCUUCUUGUUCAGUUGUUAAAACUUUCCAGUUUCCUCUCUGUAGUACAAAGAAUAUUUGAUCAUUGAAGUGCCACCUUCGUAGUGUUAAUUUCGGUGAUGGAGUCCGCUGCUCAAGUGAGGGAUGUCGAUGCUUUGUAUGAGCUAAUUCGACAUGAUCGAUAUUUUUUGGACAACUUUGACGAGAAACCUUUUGUCGAUACUCCUUUGCAUGCUGCUGCAAGGGAUGGAAAUGUUGAAUGGUCCAUGGAGAUUAUCAGACUAAAGCCAUCAUUUGCCAGGAAGCUAAACCAAGAUGGCUUCUC
rnacentral:lncRNA from 1 species